rnacentral:lncRNA from 1 species
AUGUUUUGAUCAUCAACUGAUGCAACACACAUUGUAUGUACAAUGCCCCAGCCAACUGCUAAGCAACAACAACACUCGAAGCGAAUUUUUGACGAGGACGCAACCGCAGUCGAGGGAACUUGCACCGAAGAAAAUCCACCAUUUAUAUAUGUACAUACACAGCUCUUACUGGAGCGCUACGACAAAAUAAACAAGGAGAUGAAGAAGAAGAAGAAGAUGAAGAAAGCUGGCAAAGAAAGAGAAGAAAAAGGUGAGCUACUCCUAUAGGUACAUGACGGCUUGGGCUUACGAGAGCUACAAGGGAGGGAAAAUUUCUUCUUAUCGUGUACCAUCACAGGGAGGUUCUAAGCUUGCGUGGGAACCUCAGAAUGGUAUCAUCACAUCAUCAUCAAUCAUCUGAGAGGCUGAUUUCUACGGGUUUUUUCGCCCCCAAACCCAAACUGGACGGACGGACGGACGUGUUGCUGCCGGUCACCGCCGUCUGCGUGUCGCCGGUGGUCAUCUUCCUAAUCUUUCUCCUCCUUGGCCUCCUUGAGGGUCAUGUCCAUGACCCCAAAACCAGGAUCGUCGCUCAGCCCGGUAGCCACCGACGAGGUUUUCGAGUCCACCGUUGACCCAGCCUGGAUCUCCUUGAACAUCGUCAUCACCUUGAGCAUCGUUGGUCGCCUCGACGGCCUGUCAUCCAGGCACGCACAUGCGAUUUUCAAAUGCUCCAGCAGCUCAAGCUCCAGGGUGGGAUCGUCCUUCAGCAGCUCCGGGUCAAACACAUCAGUGAUCUUCAACUUUGUGUGCAUCUUCACCCAUCCUACAAGAUUAUGGUCCUCACCAAAAUCUGUUGAAUCCGUCGGGGGCUUCCCAGUGAGCAGCUCCAGCAACACAACACCGUAGCUAUACACAUCACCCUUGGUGGUGCAUCGGAAGCUCUGGUAGUACUCCGGUGGCACAUACCCCGGCGUGCCGGCGAGGGUGGACACGCUCAGGUGUGUGUCCACCACACUCAUCAUCCUCGCCAUGCCGAAAUCAGAGACCCUUGCCUCCAGAUUCUCAUCAACAAGCACAUUGCUUGACUUCAUGUCUCGGUGGAUGAUGUGCGGAAUGCAGUUGUGGUGGAGGAAUGCCAACCCCCUUGCUGCCCCGAUUGCAAUCUUUCGCCUUGCCGCCCAGUUCAGCCUUACCCCAAUCUUUUUGCGGUCGUGCAGCACAUCCUCCAAGCUGCCAUACUUCAUGAAGUCAUACAUCAGCAGCCGCUCCUCGCCGAUCUUGCAGUAGCCGAGGAGCGGAACAAGGUUGCGGUGUUUGAUCUUGCCAAUGGUCUCCAUUUCCGCUGUGAACUCCCGGUCACCCUGGCCACUCACAUGUAUUAGCUUCUUGAUAGCAACAACCCUCCCAUCCUUGAGCUGUGCCUUGUAGACAUCACCAAAUCCACCAGACCCAAUCAAGCUAUCAUUGUGGAAGCCAUUGGUGGCCUCAACAAGAUCACCCAAGGUGAGUUUCUGCAGUGGCUUCUCAAAUGCAGCAAGGUUGAUGCUGAGAGCAUUUGUACCAGAGAGUCUCCAAUUGGAAUUCAUCGUGCCAGAAUGUGACCGGCUAUCAAUGUAUAUAUCACGGGAGGUACUUGCCUCGUCAUUCUUCGGGGGGGGGGGGGGGGGCUCUCGAUGGCUAUGAUGACCAACCCAAAUAUACAGAAGAGCGAGAACAAGAGUCCCAUAGCAACGCUGCCCGCAAGGGACGCCUUCCUCCGGUUAGAUUGGCCACCGUUGGAAGAGCCUUGCCCAGUAUGCGACUCACAUGGUGGCAGUGGAAAGCCACACAGACCGGAGUUGUUCUCAUACUGGCUCUUUGGGAAUGUGGCAAGAGAACCAAGCUCUGGAAUUGUCCCAUUCAGCUGAUUACUCGACAGAUUGAUCUCAGACAAAGACAGUGACGAGAACGAGCUGGGUAUCUGCCCUUCCAAUCGGUUGUGCGAAAGGUCAAGUACUGCAAGCUUCUUUGCACCAGCUAGCUCUGUUGGGAUAGCACCAGACAGAAGGUUGUGCCCAAGAUUCAUGAUCAUGAGGUAGAACAUAUUGCCAAGCUCCUUGGGUAUCUCCGAGUCAAGCUGAUUAAAUGACAAAUCCAGAAAUAUCAUGGAGCCAUUCUUGUUGAAGGUAUACUCUGUGCUCCCCAUGUACAUCCUUGUGAAGUUGCACAGCUUCUUGCUCGGCAUCCGACUAAGGUCCUCGGACCGGAUGCUUGAGAACUCCAGCAAGCUGCCCUUGCCACGACACUGGCUGCUCAGCUCGUCGUUGCGAAGAUACACAUAGGGCCGCCCAAUAAUGAGGCCAACGGUCAUCUUCCCCGACUGCUCUGCCAGCUCGGGUGGAAUUGAUCCAUUAAGUUGGUUGCUGUUGAGGUCCAGCCAUACCAAGCUCUUGCAGUCACCAAGCUCUGCGGGUAUCUUUCCGGUGAAGGAAUUAUUGCUCAGCUUUAGGAUUGCCAAGUUGCUGAGCUUCCCAAGCCACGAGGGGAUCGGCCCAGACAGCCGGUUGCUCGCCAAGGAUAUCCAGUUGAGCUGCUUGCACUUGGCCAGCUCCGGCGGGAUGCUGCCGGUGAGCCCGUUGUAGUCGAGGAUGAGAUGCUCCAGGCCGGGAAUGCUUGACAGAGACGCAGGUAUCUCGCCCUCCAGUAAGUUCUGCCACAUGAUAAGGUCCUGGAGGCGGCUAAGCUCGCCGAGGGAUUCCGGGAUGGAGCCGUUGAUGUAGUUGAGACUGAGGUCGAGGGAGACGAGGUCGGUGCAGUUGGAGACGGCCUCCGGGAUGCUGCCGGAGAGAUAGUUGUUCUGAAGGUAGAGCACGCGGAGCCUCGAGUUGGGAUCUUGGCAGAGGGAGUCGGGGAUGCUGCCGGAGAAGUUGUUGGAGCUGAGGUCGAGCACCUCGAGGUCCGGCAGCGCAGCGACGGAAUCAGGGAUGGAGCCGCUGAAGUGGUUGAAGGAGAGGGACAGCGACUGGAGCUGCUGCAGGCCGGUGAAAGCGUCGGCGGGGACCUCGCCAGAGAAGUUGUUGUUGGACAGGUUGAGGGCGGUGAGCGAGGUGAGGCCGGCGAUGUUGGGCGGGAACGCGCCGGCGAGAUGGUUGCUGGAGAGGUUGAGCGCUCUGAGGCUGCGGCAGCCGGAGAGCGCCGCCGCGGCGACAUCGCCGGCGAUGAGGUUGCCGGAUAGGUCAAGGUACUGCAGGCCGGAGCAGUUGGUGAAGUCCGAGAGGCCGCCGGAGAUCUUGUUCCAGGCGAGGUCCAGCCACCGGACAGACCCAAGGCCGGCACCCACCAUCCAGCGAAGGUCGGCAUCUCCGGCGAUCUUGUUGCUGGACAAGUCGAGGGCGUCGAGGGCCGCAAACCCCUGCCCGCCACCGCCACCGCCAGCGGGCUUGGCCGCACCAACCGCGUCACCGGAGAGAUNNNNNNNNNNNNNNNNNNNNNNNNNNNNNNNNNNNNNNNNNNNNNNNNNNNNNNNNNNNNNNNNNNNNNNNNNNNNNNNNNNNNNNNNNNNNNNNNNNNNNNNNNNNNNNNNNNNNNNNNNNNNNNNNNNNNNNNNNNNNNNNNNNNNNNNNNNNNNNNNNNNNNNNNNNNNNNNNNNNNNNNNNNNNNNNNNNNNNNNNNNNNNNNNNNNNNNNNNNNNNNNNNNNNNNNNNNNNNNNNNNNNNNNNNNNNNNNNNNNNNNNNNNNNNNNNNNNNNNNNNNNNNNNNNNNNNNNNNNNNNNNNNNNNNNNNNNNNNNNNNNNNNNNNNNNNNNNNNNNNNNNNNNNNNNNNNNNNNNNNNNNNNNNNNNNNNNNNNNNNNNNNNNNNNNNNNNNNNNNNNNNNNNNNNNNNNNNNNNNNNNNNNNNNNNNNNNNNNNNNNNNNNNNNNNNNNNNNNNNNNNNNNNNNNNNNNNNNNNNNNNNNNNNNNNNNNNNNNNNNNNNNNNNNNNNNNNNNNNNNNNNNNNNNNNNNNNNNNNNNNNNNNNNNNNNNNNNNNNNNNNNNNNNNNNNNNNNNNNNNNNNNNNNNNNNNNNNNNNNNNNNNNNNNNNNNNNNNNNNNNNNNNNNNNNNNNNNNNNNNNNNNNNNNNNNNNNNNNNNNNNNNNNNNNNNNNNNNNNNNNNNNNNNNNNNNNNNNNNNNNNNNNNNNNNNNNNNNNNNNNNNNNNNNNNNNNNNNNNNNNNNNNNNNNNNNNNNNNNNNNNNNNNNNNNNNNNNNNNNNNNNNNNNNNNNNNNNNNNNNNNNNNNNNNNNNNNNNNNNNNNNNNNNNNNNNNNNNNNNNNNNNNNNNNNNNNNNNNNNNNNNNNNNNNNNNNNNNNNNNNNNNNNNNNNGGGGAGGGGGAGGUCGCGGUCCGAGGCGGGCGUGCGGAAUCCGGGACGCGUGGGCUGCGUUGCUUCGCGAAGGGUUUUUGUCUUUAAUUCCGAGGUGGGCUGGUAGAUCCGAUCCGGACGGCCGGCCGGAACGAGCGUGCGUGCGUGGGUGCGUGCGUGCGGCGUGCCACCUUUUUCCGGGCUCCCCACAACGCCCCCCUUCUCUCGGUCGUCCCCCUCCCGGGCGCCCACGCAGGCAGCAGCGAGCAGUGUCAGGCCGAUCGCUACGCUAGACUGCGCGACGUGAUCAAGUCAUCACGCACGGCCGCACAAGCUCGCCGGGGAUGCCCUUUCCUCCCCGGUACGCCUCGGUGCCGUCGUUUGUUCGAGCCUUUGGCUGACCCCUGACCGUACGUACGCGCUGGUUCGACAAGCGCAUGCAAUUUCCCGCAAGAAACAAUAACAUAGCGCAUGCAGUUACGCAGUGUUGUCUUGCUAGUAGACUUGCAAACCGUUGAGGGAAUAAUAUCCAUGCAAUGGCCCUGUUUGGAUCCCACCGCUAGAGCUAGUUUGAGCUAGUUUGAGCUGAACUAGCUCCCAAACUAUCCAAACACAUGGGCUAGUUUGGGUUAGAUGCAAACUAACCCAUCAAAAAAACUAGCCCUGAAAAGAGGUGCUAAUUGGAGCUAGUUGGGGAUGGACAGGUAAAAAUAAUAAUAUUUUGACCGCAUCACAUCCUUUCCUCUCCAUCAUCCCACGUCGCUCGGCCGCGCUCGCCCUCGCCCCGCCCGGCCGCACCAGGCCUACACAAAAGUUGGCCACAACAAAUCCUGGUUAAAAGAUACACAUGAUUGAAAAAAAUGCAUUUAUUGUCAAACUAACCUUUGCAUCCAAACACCACCAAAGGCUAGAGUUAGUUCAUGGUUAGACUAAAGUUAGAAACUAACUCUAACCUCUAGCAAAGUUAGAGUAUCCAAACAAGGCCAAUAUGAGCAUGAGCCGUUAUUUUGGCACACUUGGACGUAUGAUAAUCCGGACCAACAGUUUUUGGCCUCCUUUGGUUUUAGAUACUCCCUUCAUUUCUUUUACUUUUCAUAAUAGCUUUCUUAGUCAAACUUUGUAAAUUUUGAUCAAGAUACUACAAAAAAAAUUAACAUCAUUUAUAUCAUUAGAAUCGGCAUUUGUAAAUUCUUGUAAAUUAGAAUCGGCAGUAAUCAUCAGUAGUACCGCUGCAUGCGGUACUGUCGUACUGCCCUCCUCUGGUUUGGCUAAGUCCGCUUUCCUAUACUGCUAAGCGGAAGUACCACUCGCAAGGAAGUGGUAGUAACGCUCCGUCGGCACUACCGCCCCUUAUGACUAUGUCAGCUCAAUGGGAGCCCGAAAUUUUCGUGCAAGCGGAAGUACCGCUCACCAGAGCGGUGCUUGAUACAUCUUCGUCGUAUCUACAAUUUUUAUUUUUCUGUGUCAAUAUUAUACGACUUUUACAUAUUUUUUGCAACAUUUUAUAUGAUUUAUUGGACUAACAUAUUGAUCGAGUGUCAAGUGCCAGUUCCUGUUUAUUGCAUGUUUUUUUGUUUCGUAGAAUAUCCAUAUCAAACAAAGUCCAAACGCUAUAAAAAUUUACGGAGAAUUGUUUGGAAAUAUAUGUGAUUUUUGGGAGGUGGAAACAACACAAACGGAGGCCCGUGGCCUCCACUAGGUACCAGGGCGCGGCCCAUACCGCGUGGCACGGGAUGGUGCCUAGUGGCCACCUCGUAAGUUGGUUGGGGAUCUUCUUCGAUCGCAAGAAAGCUAAUUUAUGGAUAAAAUCCCCUCAAAAUUUUAGCCCGAUUGGAGUUACAGAUCACCAGGAAAUUAAGAAACUGUGAAGGGCGGAAAAACAAGAACGCGAAACAAAAGAGAACAGAGAGGGAGAUCCAAUCUUGGAGGGGCUCCUGCCCCUCCACCGCCAUGGAGGCCAUGGACCAAAGGGGGAACUCUCCUCCCAUCUAAGAGCAACUCUAGCAGACCAUGUAUAAUCAUGAUCUACAAACGCGUUUUGCAGUUCGAUGAAGUGGGGUUUUGCGGGACGAAAAGUUGCGUUGUAGAACAGAACCCGCAUAAUGAAACUGCAUAAUUUGAAAAAUAAACAUUUGCGGGCGAAAUUGAAACCACAGUCAUGAUCAUACAAACUACAUUCAGUACUAGAGGGGGGCAUCACCUACUGGAGCUCAUCGAAGCUCACCAGAGCUACUAACUAUCCUACCGCACUACGCAAAAUGGAGCUCACGGGAGUCAAGCUCGUGCGGUAGUAGAUAUCUGAUGACCCACAAGUAUAGGGGAUCAAUCGUAGUCCUUUCGAUAAGUAAGAGUGUCGAACCCAACGAGGAGCAGAAGGCUCUGAUAAACGGAUUUCAGCAAGGUAAUAACUGCAAGCACUGAAAGUAGCGGUAACAAGUGAUUGUGUAGCGAGGUGAAACGUAGCAAGCAAAAAGUAACAAGUAACAAGUAGUAGCAAUGGUGCAGCAAGUGGCCCAAUCCCUUUUGUAGCAAGGGAAAAGCCUGAACAAAGUCUUAUAGAAGGAAAAACGCUCCCGAGGACACACGAGAAUUUCUGUCAUGCUAGUUUCAUCAUGUUCAUAUGAUUCGCGUUCGUUACUUUGAUAGUUUGAUAUGUGGGUGGACCGGCGCUUGGGUACUUCCCUUACUUGGACAAGCAUCCCACUUAUGAUUAACCUCUCUCGCAAGCAUCCGCAACUACAAAAGAAGAAUUAAGACAAAGUCUAACCAUAGCAUUAAACUAGUGGAUCCAAAUCAGCCCCUCACGAAGCAACGCAUAGACUGGGAUUUAAGCUUCUCUCACUCCAACAACCCAUAAUCUACUUACUACUCCCAAAUGCCUUCCUCUAGGCCCAAGUAUGGUGAAGUGUUAUGUAGUCGAAGUUCACAUAACACCACUAGAGGAAAAGACAACAUACAACAUAUCAAAAUACCGAACGAAUAUCAAAUUCACAUGACUAUUAUCAGCAUGACUUAUCCCAUGUCCUCAGGAACAAAAGUAACUACUCACAAAGCAUAAUCAUAAUCAUGAUCAGAGGGGUAAUGAAUAGCAUCAAGGAUCUGAACAUAAACUCUUCCACCAAGUAAUCCAACUAGCAUCAACUACAAAAAGUAAUCAACACUACUAGCAACCUUACAAGUACCAAUCGGAGUCGUGAGACGAAGAUUGGUUACAAGAGAUGAACUAGGGAUUGGAGAGGAGAUGGUGCUGGUGAAGAUGUUGAUGAAGAUGCCUCCCCUCUGAUGAGAGGAGUGUCGGUGAUGACGAUGGCGAUGAUUUCCCCCUUCGGGAGGGAAGUUUCCCCGGCAGGAUCGUCCUGCCGGAGCUCUAGAUUGGAUCUGCUCAAGUUCUGCCUCAUGGCGGCGGCAAAACCACGAAAAAGCUCCCGAAUGAUUUUUUUCUGGACCAAGACCCUUCAUAUAGCAAAAGAGGGGGGCUAGUGGGCCGUCGGGGAGCCCACAAGCCCCCACUCCACCACGAGGGGGGUGGCGGUGGCAGUGCUUGUGGCGCCCUGGCAGCCCCCCCUCCGGUACUUCUAUCACCGAGUAUUUUUUAUAUAAUCCAAGAAAAAUCCACGUAACUUUUCAGGGCAUUUGGAGAUGUGCAGAAUAGUGGACUAAGAUUUGCUCCUUUUCCAGUUCAGAAUUCCAGCUGCCUGAAUUCUCCCUCUUCAAAUAAACCUUGCAAAAUAAGAGAGAAAAGGCAUAAAUAUGGUACCACAAAGUAAUAUAACAGCCCAAAAAGCAAUAAAUAUCAACAUGAAAGCAUGAUGCAAAAUGGACGUAUCAACUCCCCCAAGCUUAGACCUCGCUUGUCCUCAAGCGAAAACCAAGUUCCAUAAACAUAUCCACAUGUUAAGGGACGAAGGUGUCGAUAAAACAUAUUACGGACAUGAGGGCAUUAUGAUCACAUAUAGAACAGCGAUACAUCAUAAAGAUUCUUAUGGGAAAGUAACAAUUCCUUCACAAAGCAAAGCAUGAAGCAAAAACCUUACCGAGAAGUAACCAACAAUAAUCAAUAGUCAUUGAAGCAAUUGCAAUUUAUCACAACGUCGGAAAGAGUCAAAUAAGAGCUUGUAAGGCAAAUCCACAUACUCAAUCAUCUCUUUGUUUUCCACAAUUGUUACAAGUCACGUGGUACUCAUGGUGUCAAAUUUCAGCUGGACACAGAGGAAGAUAGGGGCUUAUAGUUUUGCCUCCCAACGAUUUACCUCAAGGGUAAAGUCAACAAUAAUAAAGCAUGAGUACUCAACUCCAAGUUGAUAUAUGAAUAUAGAUCUUUCCCAAGCAUGUGACGGUAGCCAAGACAAAGGCAAAAUAGGGAAUUGGUGAAGAUCACCAUGACUCUUACAAGGGCAAAAAGUAAAGGUACAAGAUAGGCCCUUCGCAGAGGGAAGCAGAGGUUGUCAUGCGCUUUUGAGGUUUGAAUGCGUGUCCUCUUAGUGUGGAGGAACAUCACUUUAUAUUGCCUCCUGUGAUAAAAAACUUUACUAUGCAGUCUGUCGCUUUUAUGUCUUCCUCAUCACAGGUACGUACAAAGCUUAUUUUCCACACACUAAUAGAUCAUACAUAUUAGAGAGCAAUUUUUUAUUGCUUGCACCGAUGACAACUUACUUGAAGGAUCUUAUUCAAUCCGUAGGUAGGUAUGGUGGACUCUCAUGGCAAAACUAGGUUGGAGGUUUAUGGAUGCACAAGUAGUAUCUCUACUUGGUGCGGGAGUUUUGGCUAAUAUGAGGUGGAAGCAAUCGUCACAUGCUAGGGGAUCUCUAAUCAUAUAACAUUGUUUGGAACCAAGCAAACACAAUUCAUUAUGUUGUCUUCCUUGUCCAACAUCUACUCCUAAGCAUGUAAUAGUUUGGUGAGUGCUCACAAUUGUAAAAAGUGUCUAAGAUGAUAUAUUUAUAUGUGAAACUCUCUUUCCUUAUUACUUCUUAUUAAUUGCAACAAUGACUGAGGUCUAUGUUGAUUUACUCUCAACAAGUUUCAAUCAUCAUACGUGUCAUAAGUGAAGUUAUCACUUUCCAUAAGAUCGUCUCAUGAUCUUUCAUGCUAUCGUUCUUUUCAUACUAUUGAUCAUGGCACAAAGCAAAGCCCUUGACUAAGACACUCUUUAUUAUAUAGCUCGUAAGCUCGAAUACAUCGGGGGAGAGACAAAAGCAAAAGACUCAAACUAAACACUAAAGACUUAUUCCUCUAAGAGAAGAAAUAAAAACUGAAAAGGAAAGAACUAAAACAAAGGUAAAAGCAAAAUAUAUAAAGGUGAUACGAUACCAGGGCAACUCCCCCAAGCUUGACAGAAGCUAAGGGGAUUGCCCAUACCAAUGCUUAGUUGUCUUCCUUCGGUGAUGAUGGUGGUGGAGUUGUCGCCUUUGAUUCCAAGAGAGCUAUAAAUCUUUGAUUUAUACCUUUGAGAUCUGUGACAUGGUUUUCCAACAAAACAACUUCACGAGAAAGGGAAAUAUUGCAAGCACGAGCUGUUUCACAAAACCUCAAGAGUUCAAUCAAGGAUGGAGAUAGCACGUGGAGGAAGGGUUGGAGAAAAUCUACUCCUUCAACAUCUUCAAUGUUGAACAUAGGUUGAACUUCCUCCCUAGCUUGGGUUUUCUCCUUAGCUUGGUCCGUGGCUUCCAUGACUUCUACUCUUUUCAGAUCAGCAUCUACUUCCUCAUGAACUUGGUGAAGAUCAUUCUCCCCAACAGAUUCCUGAGACAUCUUUGCUCUAAAUCUGCGGCAGACAACAAGCUCGAAACGAAAACAGAGGAAAACUACGUGAUACGGAGAUCAAAACCUUCGGGCGAGUAUAUAUUGAUUUUUUGUGGAUCAGAAGGAGUGCUCCGCAAGAAAACGGAGUCUGGGAGGCACACGAGGUGCCCACAAGCUUGCCCUCCACCACCAGGGGAUAGAGGGCGAUGGCAGGGCUUGUGGCUGCCCCGUGCGCUCUCCGGACUGCUUUUUAUUUUUCUAAUUUUCCAAAAAUUCCAAAACGAAGGAAACUUCCUAUUGGAAAAGCAUCGGAGUCCAAUUUCUUACCGAAACAGACACCUCUUCGUUUUCAGGGUCCGAAACAGGCUGAUAAACAUCCCUUAUGUACUCCUCUGGAGUUAUGACAUUGAUGAUAUUGGUCUCAACAUUUAUGGGAGUACCAGAGAUAUAAUGCUUGAUUCUUUGCCCGUUAACCACUCUAGGAAAAUUGCCUUCCAUGUUAUUGAUUUUGAUGGCACCGGAACGAUAUACUUCCUCAAUAACGUAAGGACCUUCCCAUUUAGAGAGAAGCUUGCCUGCAAAGAAUCUCAAACGAGAAUUGUAUAGCAAGACAUAAUCACCUACAUUGAACUCUUGUUUUUGUAUUCAUUUGUCGUGCCAUCUCUUAACCAUUUCCUUGAACAACUUGGCAUUCUCAUAUGCCUGGGCCCUCCAUUCAUCUAACGAGCUGAUAUCAAACAACCGCUUCUCACUAGCAAGUUUGAAAUCAAAGUUGAGCUCUUUGAUUGCCCAAUAAGCUUUGUGUUCCAGCUCAAGAGGUAAAUGACAGGCCUUACCGUAAACCAUUUUAUACGGCGACAUGCCCAUGGGAUUCUUAUAGGCAGUCCUAUAAGCCCAUAGUGCAUCGUCAAGUUUGCUAGACCAAUUCUUUCGAGAUCUAUUGACGGUCUUUUGUAGGAUCAAUUUGAUCUCCCUAUUACUCAACUCCACUUGACCACUAGACUGAGGAUGAUAAGGAGAUGCAACUCUAUGGUUGACAUCAUACUUAGCGAGCAUCUUGCGGAAAACACCAUGAAUGAAGUGUGAACUGUUGGGAAACGUAGAAUAAAUUCAAAAUUUUCCUAUGCAUAUUCAGAUCUUCCUAUGGAGAGACCAGCAACGAGAGAGGGGUAAGAGCAUAUUCAUACCUUUGAAGAUUGCUAAGCGGAAGCGUUGCUAGAACGCGGUUGAUGGAGUCGUACUCGCAGCGAUUCCGGUCUAGUGCCGAACUACGGCACCUCCGCGUUCAACACACGUGCAGCCCGGUGACGUCUCCCGCACCUUGAUCCAGCAAGGAGGAGGGAGAGGUCGGGGAAGAACUCCAGCAGCACGAUGGCAUGGUGUCGAUGGAGAGACGAGGUCUCCCGGCAGGGCUUCGCCAAGCACCGGCAGAGAGGAGGAGGAAGAAGGGCACGGCUGCGCCGAGAGAGAGGCAAAAGUCUGAUCUCCAAUGGCCAAAACUGCCCACUAUAUAUAGGGGAAGGGAGGGGCUGUGCCCCCUUGAGGGUUUCCCUCUCCUGGGGGGGCGGCAGCCCUAGAUGGGGCUGGUGCGGCGGCCAAGGGGGGAGGAGGGGUGUGGCGCACCCCUGGUGGGCCUUAGGCCCACCUGGCUUAGGGUUUGCCCCCCCCCUUUUCUCUCCCCCACGCAUUGGGCUGAGUGGGGAGGCACACCAGCCCACCUAGGGGCUGGUUCCCUUCCCCACUUGGCCCACCUUACCUCCCAGGGUCGUUGCCCCCUUCGGUGGACCCCCGGGGCCACCUCCGGUGGUCCCGGUGGUCCCGGUACGUUACCGGUGAUGCCCGAAACACUUCCGGUAUCCGAAACCAUCUGUCCUAUAUAUCAAUCUUUACCUCCGAACCAUUCCGGAGCUCCUCGUGACGUCCGGGAUCUCAUCCGGGACUCCGAACAACUUUCGGCAACCUCAUAUAACAAUUCCCUAUAACCCUAGCGUCGUCGAACCUUAAGUGUGUAGACCCUACGGGUUCGGCAUAUAGGCAGACAUGACCGAGACGCCUCUCCGGCCAAUAACCAUCAGCGGGGUCUGGAUACCCAUGGUGUCUCCCACUAGCUCCACGAUGAUCUCAUCGGAUGAACCACGAUGUCAAGCAUUCAAUCAAUCCCGUAUACGAUUCCCUUUGUCUGUCGGUAUAGAACUUGCCCGAGAUUCGAUCGUCGGUAUACCUAUACCUUGUUCAAUCUACUUACCGGUAAGUCUCUUUACUCGUUCUGUAGCACGUCAUCAUGUGACUAACUCCUUAGUCACAUUGAGCUCAUGAUGAUGUUCUACCGAGUGGGCCCAGAGAUACCUCUCCGUCACACGGAGUGACAAAUCCCGAUCUUGAUUCGUACCAACCCAACAGACACUUUCGGAGGUACCCGCAGUGCACCUUUAUAGUCACCCAGUUACGUUGUGACGUUUGAUACACCCAAAGCACUCUUACGGUAUCCGGGAGUUGCACAAUCUCACGGUCGAAGGAAAAGAUACUUGACAUUAGAAAAGCUUUAGCAUACGAACAAUACGAUCUAGUGCUAUGCUUAGGAUUGGGUCUUGUCCAUCACAUCAUUCUCCCAAUGAUGUGAUCCCGUUAUCAAUGACAUCUAAUGCCCAUGAUCAGGAAACCAUGAUCAUCUAUUGACUAACAAGCUAGCCAACUAGAGGCUUGCUAGGGACACAUUGUGAUCUAUUUAUUCACACAUGUAUUACUGUUUCCUGUUAAUACAAUUAUAGCAUGAACAAUAGACGGUUAUCAUGUACAAGGAAAUAUGAUAAUAACCAUUUUAUUAUUGCCUCUAGGGCAUAUUUCCAACAGUCUCCCACUUGCACUAGAGUCAAUAAUCUAGUUACAUUGUGAUGUAUCGAACACCCAUAGCAUUAUGGUGUUGAUCAUGUUCUGCUCAUGGAAGAGGUUUAGUCAACGGGUCUGCAAUAUUCAGAUCCGUGUGUACUUUACAAAUAUCUAUCACUCCACUCUGGACAUGGUCCUGGAUGAAGUUGUAGCGGCGUUUGAUGUGCUUCGUCCUCCGGUGAAACCUGGGCUCCUUGGCUAUGGCAAUGGCCCAAGUGUUAUCAUAGAAGACUGACAUUGGACCCGACGCGCUUGGAACCACUCCAAGGUCGGUGAUGAGCUCCUUCAUCCAAAUUCCUUCAUGAGCUGCUUCUGAAGCAGCUAUGUACUCCGCUUCACAUGUAGAUGCUGCCAUGACUUCUUGCUUGCUGCUGCACCAGCUCACUGUCCCACCAUUCAACACAUAUACGUAUCCGGUCUGUGACUUAGAGUCAUCCGGAUUUGUGUCGGAGCUAGCGUCGACGUAACCCUUUACAACGAGCUCUUCGUCACCUCCAUAAACGAGAAACAUUUCCUUAGUCCUUUCAGGUACUUAAGGAUAUUCUUGACCGCUGUCCAGUAUUCCACACCGGGAUCACUUUGGUACCUCCCUACCAAGCUUAUGGCAAGGUUUAUAUCAGGUCUGGUACACAGCAUGGCAUACAUUAGAGAGCCCACGGCUGAUGCGUAGGGGACAUAACUCAUCUUCUCUCUAUCUGCUGCCGUGGUCGGCGACUGAGUCUUACUCAAUCUCACACCUUGCAAAACUGGCAAGAACCCUUUCUUUGAGUUUUCCAUAUUUAACUUCUUCAAUAUCUUGUGAAGGUAUGUACUUUGCGAAAGACCUAUGAGGUUUUGAUCUAUCUCUAUAGAUCUUGAUGCCUAAUAUGUAUGCACCUUCUCCAAGGUCCUUCAUUGGAAAACUUUUGUUCAAAUAGGCCUUAAUGCUCUCCAACAUCUCUAUAUUAUUCCCCAUCAAGAAUAUGUCAUCCACAUACAGUAUGAGGAAAGCUACAGAGCUCCCACUCACUUUCUUGUACAGACAGGCUUCUCCGUAAACCUGUAUGAACCCAAACGCUUUAAUCACCUCAUUAAAGCGAAUGUUCCAACUCCGAGAUGCUUGCACUAGCCCAUAGAUGGAGCGCUGGAGCUUGCACACUUUGUUAGCACCCUUAGGGUCGACAAAACCUUCUGGUUGCAUCAUAUACAACUCUUCCUUAAGGUUCCCGUUAAGGAACGUUGUUUUGACGUCCAUUUGCCAAAUUUCAUAAUCAUAAAAGGCGGCAAUUGCUAACAUGAUUCGGACUGAUUUCAGCUUCGCUACGGGAGAGAAAGUCUCUUCGUAGUCAACUCCUUGAAUUUGUCGAAAACCCUUUGCGACAAGUCGAGCUUUGUAAACGGUUACAUUACCAUUUGCAUCAGUCUUCUUCUUGAAGAUCCAUUUAUUUUCUAUGGCUCGCCGGUCAUCGGGCAAGUCCACCAAAGUCCAUACUUUGUUCUCAUACAUGGAUCCUAUCUCGGAUUUCAUAGCCUCAAGCCAUUUGUUGGAAUCCGGGCCCGCCAUCGCUUCUUCAUAGUUCGAAGGUUCACCGUUGUCUAACAACAUGAUUCCCAUCACAGGGUUGCCGUACCACUCUGGUGUGGAGCGUGCCCUUGUGGACCUUCGCGAUUCAGUAGUAACUUGAUCCGAAGCUUCAUGAUCAUCAUCAUUAACUUCCUCUUCAGUUGGUGUAGGCGCCACACGAACAACUUCCUGUGCUGCGCUACUAUCCUGUUCUAGAGGGGGCGUAAUUACCUCAUCAAGUUCUACCUUCCUCCCACUUACUUCUUUCGAGAGAAACUCUUUCUCUAGAAAGGAUCCGUUCUUGGCAACAAAGGUCUUACCUUCGGAUCUAAGAUAGAAGGUAUACCCAAUAGUUUCCUUAGGGUAUCCUAUGAAUACGCAUUUCUCCGCUUUGGGUUCGAGCUUUUCUGGUUGAAGUUUCUUCACACAAGCAUCGCAGCCCCAAACUUUAAGAAACGACAACUUAGGUUUCUUGCCAAACCAUAGUUCAUACGGUGUCGUCUCAACGGAUUUUGACGGUGCCCUAUUUAAAGUGAAUGUUGUAGUUUCUAAUGCGUAUCCCCAAAAUGAUAGCGGUAGGUCGGUAAGAGACAUCAUAGAUCGUACCAUAUCUAAUAAAGUGCGAUUACGACGUUCAGACACCCCGUUGCGUUGCGGUGUGCCACGCGACGUCAGUUGUGAAACGAUUCCAUACUUCCUUAGGUGUGUGCCAAACUCGUGACUCAAAUAUUCCCCUCCACGAUCAGAUCGCAGACAUUUAAUUUUUCUGUCACGUUGAUUCUCAACCUCACUCUGAAAUUCCUUGAACUUUUCAAACGUCUCAGAUUUGUGCUUCAUUAAGUAGAUAUACCCAUACCUACUCAAAUCAUCGGUGAGAGUGAGAACAUAACGAUAGCCACCGCGAGCUUCAACGUUCAUUGGACCACACACAUCAGUAUGUAUUAUUUCCAAUAAGUCGGUUGCUCUCUCCAUUAUUCCUGAGAAUGGAGUCUUAGCCAUCUUGCCCAUGAGGCACGGUUCGCAUGUGUCAAAUGAUUCAAAGUCAAGAGACUCUAAUAGUCCAUCAGUAUGGAGCUUCUUCAUGCGCUUAACGCCGAUAUGACCAAGGCGGCAGUGCCACAAGUAUGUGGGACUAUCAUUAUCAACUUUACAUCUUUUGGUACUCACACUAUGAAUAUGCGUAACAUCACGAUCGAGAUUCAUCAAUAAUAAACCAUUCACCAGCGAAGCAUGACCAUAAAACAUAUCACUCAUAUAAAUAGAACAACCAUUAUUCUCUCACUUAAAUGAGUAGCCGUCUCGCAUUAAGCAAGACCCUGAUACAAUAUUCAUGCUCAAAGCUGGUACUAAAUAACAAUUAUUAAGGUUUAAAACUAAUCCCGACGGUAGAUGUAGAGGUAGUGUGCCGACGGCGAUCACAUCGACUUUGGAACCAUUCCCCACGCGCAUCGUCACCUCGUCCUUGGCCAGUCUCCGCUUAUUCCGCAGUUCCUGCUUUGAGUUGCAAAUGUGAGCAAUAGCGCCGGUAUCAAAUACCCAGGAGCUACUACGAGCGCUGGUAAGGUACACAUCAAUAACAUCUAUAUCACAUAUACCUUUAACGUUGCCGGCCUUCUUGUCCGCUAAGUAUUUGGGGCAGUUCCGCUUCGAGUGACCUUUUCCCUUGCAAUAGAAGCACUCAGUCUCAGGCUUGGGUCCAUUCUUUUUCUUCUUCCCGGCAUCUGGCUUACCGGGUGCGGCAACAGCUUUGCCGUCUUUCUUGAAGUUCUUCUUACCCUUUCCUUUCUUGAAACUAGUGGUCUUGUUGACCAUCAACACUUGAUGCACUUUCUUGAUUUCUACUUCUGCAGACUUGAGCAUCGAGUACAACUAGGGAAUGGUCUUUUCCAUCCCUUGCAUGUUGUAGUUAAGCACAAAGCCUUUGUAGCUUGGUGGGAGAGACUGGAGGAUUCUGUCGAUUAUAGCAUCAUCCGGAAGUUCGACUCCAAGUGAAGUCAGACGACCGUGUAACCCAGACAUUUUGAGUAUGUGCUCACUGACAUAACUGUUCUCCUCCAUCUUACAGCUAAAGAACUUGUCGGAGACAUCAUAUCUCUCGACACGGGCAUGAGCUUGAAAAACUAGCUUCAGCUCCUAGAACAUCUCAUAUGCUCCGUGUUGCUCAAAACGCCUAUGGAGCCCCGUUUCUAAACUGUAUAACAUGCCACACCUAACUAGAGAGUAGUCAUCACUCCGCGUUUGCCAGACGUUCAGAAUUUCCUGGGCUGCUGCGGGAGCGGGAGGGUCACCUAGCGGCACAUCAAGGACAUAACCCUUUUUAGCCGCUUCAAGGAUGAGCUUCAAGUUGCGAACCCAGUCCGCAUAGUUGCUACCAUCAUCUUUCAGCUUAUUUUUCUAUAGGAAUGCGUUGAAAUUGAGGUUGACGUUGGCCAUCUACAAUAUUUAUAAAGACAACUUUUAGACUAAGUUCAUGACAAUUAAGUUCAUUUAAUCAAAUUAAGUAUGAACUCCCACUUAAAUCGACAUCCCUCUAGUCAUCUAAGUGAUGCAUGAUCCAUGUUGACUAACCCGUGUCCGAUCAUCACGUGAGACGGACUAGUCACCAUGGUGAGCAACUUCAUGCUGAUCAUAUUCAACCAUACGACUCAUGUUCGACCUUUCGGUCUCUUGUAUUCGAGGUCAUGUCUGUACAUGCUAAGCUCGUCGAGUCAACCUAGGUGUUUUGCGUGUGUAAAUCUGGCUUACACCCGUUGUAUGCGAUCGUUAGAAUCUAUCACACCCGAUCAUCACGUGGUGCUUCGAGACAACGAACCUUCGCAACGGUGCACACUUAGGGGAAUAUGUCCUCGAAAUUUUAAGAGGGAUCAUCUUAUUAUGCUACCGUCGUUCUAAGCAAUAAGAUCUAAAACAUGAUAAACAUCACAAUGCAAUCAUAUAGUGACAUGAUACGGCCAUUAUCAUCUUUGCUCUUUCGAUCUCCAUCUUCAGGCAUCGCAUGAUCAUCAUCAUCACCGGAGUGACACCAUGAUCUCCGUCAUCUUGAUCUCCAUCAUCGUGUCUCCGUGAAGUCGUCACGCCAACUACUACUAUCACUACUACUAUAGCUAACCGUUAGCAAUGAAGUAAAAGUAGUAAGCACAUGGCGUUGCAUCUCAUACAAUAAACUAAGACAACUCCUAUGGCUCCUGCCGGUUGUCAUACUCAUCGACAUGCAAGUCGUGAAACCUAUUACAAUAACAUGAUCAUCUCAUACAUCAUACAUGCAACAUCACAACUUUGGCCAUAUCACAUCACAUGUCAAACCCUGCAAAAACAAGUUAGGCGUCCUCUAAUUGUUGUUGCAAGUUUUACGCGGCUGAUUUGGGUUUCUAGCAAGAACGUCUUCUUACCUACGUGACAGCCACAACGAUGAUAUGCCAAAGCUAUUUACCCUUCAUAAGGACCAUUUUCAUAUAAUCCAAUCCGACUAGAGUAGGAGAGACAGACACCCGCUAGCCACCUUUAUGCACGGUGUGCAUGUCUGUCGGUGGAACCAGUCUCACGUAAGCGUACGUGUAAAGUCGGUUCGGGCCGCUACAUCCCACAAUACCGCCGGAAAAGAAUAAGACUAGUAGCGGCAAACAAAUUGAAAAAUCAUCGCCCACAACUUUUGUGUUCUACUCGUGCAUAGAAUCUACGCAUAGAAAACCUGGCUCGGAUGCCACUGUUGGGAAACGUAGCAUAAAUUCAAAAUUUUCCUACGCAUAUUCAGAUCUUCCUAUCGAGAGACCAGCAACGAGAGAGGGGUAAGAGCAUAUUCAUACCUUUGAAGAUCGCUAAGCGGAAGCAUUGCUAGAACGCGGUUGAUGGAGUCGUACUCGCAGCGAUUCCGAUCUAGUGCCGAACUACGGCACCUCCGCGUUCAACACACGUGUAACCCGGUGACGUCUCCCGCACCUUGAUCCAGCAAGGAGGAGGGAGAGGUUGGGGAAGAACUCCAGCAGCAUGACGGCGUGGUGUCGAUGGAGAGAUGAGGUCUCCCGGCAGGGCUUCGCCAAGCACCGGCAGAGAGAAGGAGGAAGAAGGGCAGGGCUGCGCCGAGAGAGAGGCAAAAGUCUGAUCUCCAAUGGCCAAAAGUGCCCACUAUAUAUAGGGGAAGGGAGGGGCUGUGCCCCCUUGAGGGUUUCCCUCUCCUGGGGGGCGGCAGCCCUAGAUGGGGCUGGUGCGGCGGCCAAGGGGGGGAGGAGGGGUGUGGCGCACCCCUGGUGGGCCUUAGGCCCACAUGGCUUAGGGUUUGCCCCCCUUUUCUCUCCCCCGCGCAUUGGGCUGAGUGGGGAGGCACACCAGCCCACCUAGGCGCUGGUUCCCUUCCCCACUUGGCCCACCUUACCUCCCGGGGUCGUUGCCCCCUUCGGUGGACCCCCGGGUCCACCUCCGGUGGUCCCGGUGGUCCCGGUACGUUACCGGUGAUGCGCGAAACACUUCCGGUAUCUGAAACCAUCCGUCCUAUAUAUCAAUCUUUCCCUCCGGACCAUUCCGGAGCUCCUCGUGACGUCCGAGAUCUCAUCCGGGUCUCCGAACAACUUUCGGCAACCUCAUAUAACAAUUCCCUAUAACCCUAGCGUCAUCGAACCUUAAGUGUGUAGACCCUACGGGUUCGGGAGACAGGCAGACAUGACCGAGACGCCUCUCCGGCCAAUAACCAUCAGCGGGGUCUGGAUACCCAUGGUGGCUCCCACUAGCUCCACGAUGAUCUCAUCGGAUGAACCAUGAUGUCAAGGAUUCAAUCAAUCCCGUAUACGAUUCCCUUUGUGUGUCGGUAUAGAACUUGCCCGAGAUUCGAUCGUCGGUAUACCUAUACCUUGUUCAAUCUCGUUACCGGUAAGUCUCUUUACUCGUUCCGUAGCACGUCAUCGUGUGACUAACUCCUUAGUCACAUUGAGCUCAUGAUGAUGUUCUACCGAGUGGGCCCAGAGAUACCUCUCCGUCACACGGAGUGACAAAUCCCGAUCUCGAUUCGUACCAACACAACAGACACUUUCGUAGGUACCCGUAGUGCACCUUUAUAGUCACCCAGGUACGUUGUGACGUUUGAUACACCCAAAGCACUCCUAUGGUAUCCGGGAGUUGCACAAUCUCACGGUCGAAGGAAAAGAUACUUGACAUUAGAAAAGCUUUAGCAUACGAACAAUACGAUCUAGUGCUAUGCUUAGGAUUGGGUCUUGUCCAUCACAUCAUUCUCCCAAUGAUGUGAUCCCGUUAUCAAUGACAUCUAAUGCCCAUGAUCAGGAAACCAUGAUCAUCUAUUGACUAACGAGCUAGCCAACUAGAGGCUUGCUAGGGACACAUUGUGAUCUAUUUAUUCACACAUGUAUUACUGUUUCUUGUUAAUACAAUUAUAGCAUGAACAAUAGACGAUUAUCAUGAACAAGUAAAUAUGAUAAUAACCAUUUUAUUAUUGCCUCUAGGGCAUAUUUCCAACAUGAACCGCCAUGAGUCAUCAGAUAUCUACGGACUCGAAAUCUUGGGAAUAUGACUUCUUUAAGCAUCUUAAUAGAGGUGGGGUGAUCAUCAUUUUCAGUGGGGAUAGCUUCUACCCACUUAGUGACGUAAUCCACAGCAACUAAGAUGUGAGUGUACCCAUUGGAACUCGGGAAGGGUCCCAUAUAAUCAAAGCCCCAUACAUCAAAUGGUUCAAUGACAAGUGAAAAGUUCAUAGGCAUUUCCUGACGCUUAGUGAUGUUCCCUAUUCUUUGGCAUUCAUCACAAGACAAGACAAACUUACGGGCAUCCUUGAAGAGAGUGGGCCAAUAGAAACCUGAUUGCAAUACCUUAUGGGCAGUUCUAUCUCCAGCGUGGUGUCCUCCGUAGGCUUCGGAAUGACACUUCUGCAGGAUCUGUCCUUGUUCAUGUUCAGGUACACAACGUCUAAUAACACCAUCUACUCCUUCCUUAUAAAGGUGAGGAUCAUCCCAGAAGUAGUGUCUCAAAUCAAAGAAGAACAUCUUCUUUUGCUGAUAGGUGAAACUGGGUGGUAUGUAUUUGGCUACGAUAUAGUUUGCAUAAUCGGCAUACCACGGUGCACUAUGUGAAGUGCGGAUGACAUUUAAUUGCUCAUCAGGAAAUUUGUCAUCUAUAGGUAGUGGGUCAUCAAGGACAUUCUCUAACCUAGACAAGUUAUCUGCUACAGGGUUAUCAGCACCCUUUCGGUCAACAACAUGCAAAUCAAAUUCUUGUAGCAGGAGAACCCAUCUGAUUAGUCUAGGCUUAGCGUCCUUCUUCUCCAUGAGGUACUUAAUAGCAGCAUGAUCAGAGUGAAUAGAUACUUUGGAGUCAACUAUAUAAGAUCUGAACUUUUCACAUGCAAACACGACUGCUAAAAAUUCCUUCUCCGUAGUGGCAUAGUUUCUUUGGGCACUGUCUAGAGUUUUACUAGCAUAGUGAAUAACAUUCAAAUUCUUGUCAACCCUUUGUCCUAGAACAGCACCAACAGCAUAAUCACUAGCGUCACACAUGAUUUCAAAGGGCAAGUUCCAGUCAGGUGGUUGAACAAUAGGUGCGGUUAUCAAAUCCUUCUUAAGUAUUUCAAAGGCUUCCUCACAAUCCUCAUCAAAAACGAAAGGAACAUCCUUCUGCAAGAGGUUGGUAAGAGGCCUAGAAAUCUUAGAUAAGUCUUUAAUGAACCUUCUAUAGAAACCAGCAUGACCAAGGAAACUUUGUAUACCUCUGAUAUCUGUGGGGCAAGGCAUUUUCUCAAUUGCAUCAACCUUAGCCUUAUCAACUUCAAUGCGUCUUUCAGAGAUUUUGUGUCCUAAGACGAUACCUUCAUUAACCAUAAAGUGGAACUUCUCUCAAUCAAGACGAGGUUGGUUUCUUCGCAUCUGUGUAAGACUCGAUCAAGGUUGCUGAGGCAAUCAUCAAAGGAAGACCCGUAAACGGAGAAGUCAUCCAUGAAAACCUCGAGAAUCUUUUCACAAAAGUCAGAGAAUAUAGCCAUCAUACAUCUUUGAAAGGUGGCAGGUGCAUUGCAUAAGCCAAAAAGCAUACGUCUAUAGGAAAGGUACCGAAGGGGCAGGUGAAAGUGGUUUUCUCUUGAUCAGAUUGUGCAACAGGUAUUUGCGAGAAACCUGAAUAACCGUCUAGAAAGCAAAAGUGUGUGUGUUUGGAUAACCUUUCUAGCAUUUGGUCGAUAAACGACAAAGGAUAAUGAUCUUUCCUGGUUGCCUCGUUCAGUUUUCGGAAGUCUAUCACCAUCCUAUAGCCGGUAAUAAUCCUUUGUGGGAUUAGUUCAUCCUUAUCAUUAGGAACGACGGUGAUACCUUCCUUCUUAGGUACGCAAUGUACUGGACUUACCCAAUCACUAUGAGCAAGAGGAUAAAUGAUUCCUGCUUCCAAAAGCUUUAAUAUUUCUUUUCUCACGGCCUCUUUCACCUUAGGAUUCAAUCUCCUUUGAUGAUCAGCAACUGGUUUGAAGUCAGGAUCGGUUUUGAUCUUGUGCUAACAUAGAGUAGGACUAAUACCCUUAAGAUCAUCAAGAGUAUAUCCAAUAGCAGCCCGGUGCUUCCUCAGAGUUCUUAGUAACUUAUUCUCUUCGUGCUCUGAGAGGAGGGCACUAAUAAUAACAGGAUAUAUCUCCUUCUCAUCAAGAUAAGCAUACUUAAGAGUAUCAGGCAACUGUUUAAGCUUGAACACAGGAUCACCCUUUGGUGGGGGAGGAUCCCCAAGCAGUUCAACAGGCAGAUUAUUCUUGAGAAUAGGAUAUUGUUCUAAGACAAUUUUAUCUAUCUCAUCUCUCUCCUCCAUAUGCAUAUCAUUUUCAUGCUCAAGCAGAUAUUGCUCUAAAGGAUCCGUAGGAGGUACGGCAAUAGAGGCAAGAGCAAUGAUUUCAUCCCUUCCAGACGACUCUCUUUCAUGGGGUUGUCUUCCAAACUUAGAGAAGUUAAAUUCAUGAGACACACCCUCGAAACUAACGGUUACAGUCCGCUUAAUGCAAUCAAUAUGAGCAUUGACAGUGUUGAGAAAGGGUCUACCAAAUAUGAUGGGACAAAAGCUAUCUUGUGCUGUACCAAGGACGAGGAAAUCAGUAGGAUACUUCGUCUUACCACACAUGACUUCUACGUCUCUCACAAUUCCCAGAGGGCAGAUAGUGUCUCUAUUAGCUAGUGUAAUAGUGACAUCAAUGGGUUCUAACUCAGCAGGUGCAAUCUCAUCUUUGAUUUCAUCAUAUAGAGAACGGGGUAUUGCACUAACACUAGCUCCCAUAUCACAUAAACCAUGGUAACAGUGAUCUCCUAUCUUGACAGAAACAACGGGCAGGCCAACUACAGGUCCGUGUUUGUCUUUCGCGUGAGGUUUAGCAAUUCUAGGAGAGUCCUCACAGAAUUUGAUAACAUGCGUCUACGUCUUCGGCUAAGAGAUCUUUGAGAAUAGCAACACUAGGUUCAACUCUAAUCUCCUCAGGGGGUGCAAGUGGUCUAAUGUAACCCCUACAUAUCAUAGUUGGAGCUUUAGAACAAUCCUUUAUCCUAGCAGGGUAUGGUGGUUUCUCAAUGUAAGCACAAGGAACAGCAGGAUCACGAAAAGCAAUGAUUUUCUCCUCAACUAGAUUGGUUUUGGCUAUGUUGCUUUCUACAGGAGGAUGAUAUUUAAACCACUUCUCUUUGGGAAGAUCAACAUGAGAAGCAAAAGAUUCACAUAGAGAAGCUACUAUCUCAGAGUCAAGUCCAUACUUAGCGCUAAAAUCUCUAGAAGUGUUUGUCUCAACAAAACAUUUAACGCAAUCAAACUGGAAAUUCAUACCUGACUCCUUACCUUCCUCCAGCUCCCAAUCUUCAGAGUUGCAUUUGAUUCUCUCCAAUAAAUUCCACUUGUGAGCAAUAUCCUUCUUCGUAACAGAACUGGUACAAGAAGUGUCAAGCAUGGUACGAUCUUCAUGAGAAAGUCGAGCAUAAAAGUUUUGAGUGAUGAUUUCUCUCGAGAGCUCAUGAUUGGGGCAUGAAUAUAGCAUUGAUUUAAGCCUCCCCCAAGCUUGAUCUAUGCUUUCCCUGUCACGAGGCCAAAAUUUAUAAAUAAAGUUCCGAUCACGAUGUACUAAAUGCAUAGGAUAAAACUUUUGAUGAAAUUCCAAUUUCAACCGGUUGUAGCCCCAUGAUCCAAUAUCAUCACAUAGCCUAUACCAUGUCAACGCCUUAUCCUUCAAAGAUAAAGGAAAUACUUUCUUCUUUACCUCAUCCUCGGGCAAACCUGCAAGCUUAAAUAAACCACAAACUUCAUCUACAUAGAUCAGAUGCAAGUCUGGAUGUGAAGAUCCAUCUCUUGUGAAAGGAUUAGCCAACUGUUUCCCAAGCAUACCCGAAGGACUUUCAUAAAAGAUAUUUUCAGUAGGUACCUCAGGUUGAGGAACAACUCCUCGUGCGUCCGUUCGUGGUGAAGAUACCCCGAACAAACUUCUCAAAGGAACAGUUUCCGUAGUGACAAGUGACAAUAAAUUUCAGCACAGUAUAAAGAUGUUUCCUUACCAAUUUCCACUUACCAAAGGCGAUUCACUCCCCGGCAACGGCACCAGAAAGUAGUCUUGAUGACCCACAAGUAUAGGGGAUCAAUCGUAGUCCUUUCGAUAAGUAAGAGUGUCGAACCCAACGAGGAGCAGAAGGCUCUGAUAAACGGAUUUCAGCAAGGUAAUAACUUCAAGCACUAAAAGUAGCGGUAACAAGUGAUUGUGUAGCGAGGUGAAACGUAGCAAGCAGAAAGUAUCAAGUAACAAGUAGUAGCAAUGGUGCAGCAAGUGGCCCAAUCCCUUUUGUAGCAAGGGACAAGCCUGAACAAAGUCUUAUAGGAGGAAAAACGCUCCCGAGGACACACGGGAAUUUCUGUCAUGCUAGUUUCAUCAUGUUCAUAUGAUUCACGUUCGUUACUUUGAUAGUUUGAUAUGCGGGUGGACCGGCGCUUGGGUACUGCCCUUACUUGGACAAGCAUCCCACUUAUGAUUAACCUCUCUCGCAAGCAUCCGCAACUACAAAAGAAAAUAUAAGACAAAGUCUAACCAUAGCAUUAAACUAGUAGAUCCAAAUUAGCCCCUCACGAAGCAACGCAUAGACUGGCGUUUAAGCUUCUGUCACUCUAGCAACCCAUCAUCUACUUACUACUCCCCAAUGCCUUCCUCUAGGCCCAAGUAUGGUGAAGUGUUAUGUAGUCGACGUUCACAUAACACCACUAGAGGAAAAGACAACAUACAGCAUAUCAAAAUACCGAACGAAUAUCAAAUUCACAUGACUAUUAUCAGCAUGACUUAUCCCAUGUCCUCAGGAACAAAAGUAACUACUCACAAAGCAUAAUCAUAAUCAUGAUCAGAGGGGUAAUGAAUAGAAUCAAGGAUCUGAACAUAAACUCUUCGACCAAGUAAUACAACUAGCAUCAACUACAAAGAGUAAUCAACACUACUAGCAACCUUACAAGUACCAAUCGGAGUUGUGAGACGAAGAUUGGUUACAAAAGAUGAACUAUGGAUUGGAGAGGAGAUGGUGCUGGUGAAGAUGUUGAUGAAGAUGCCUCCCCUCCGAUGAGAGGAGUGUUGGUGAUGACGAUGGCAACGAUUUCCCCUCCAUGAGGGAAGUUUCCCCGACAGGAUUGUCCUGCCGGAGCUGUAGAUUGGAUCUGCUCAAGUUACGCCUCGUGGCGGCGGCGAAACCACGAAAAAGCUCCCGAAUGAUUUUUUCUAGACCAAAACCCUUCAUAUAGCAAAAGAGGGGGGCUAGUAGGUCGUUAGGGAGCGCACAAGCACCCACUCCGCCACUAGAGGGGUGGCGGUGGCAGGGCUUGUGGCGCCCUGGUAGCCCCCCUGCGGUACUUUUUUCGCCCAGUAUUUUUUAUAUAAUCCAAGAAAAAUCCACGUAACUUUUCAGGGCAUUUGGAGAUGUGCAGAAUAGUGGACUAAGAUUUGCUCCUUUUCCAGUCCAGAAUUCCUGCUGCCUGAAUUCUCCCUCUUCAAAUAAACCUUGCAAAAUAAGAGAGAAAAGGCAUAAAUAUGGUACCACAAAGUAAUAUAAUAGCCCAAAAAGCAAUAAAUAUCAACAUGAAAGCAUGAUGCAAAAUGGACGUAUCAAUAUCCUACAUUUAGUCAUCGUCUUCGUCGUCCUCAUCGUCCUCGUCGGAGUAGAGCUCGAUGUAGAUGCGCUUAUACGCAAUCGCUUCACCGCGCCACUCGUCCACCUUGUGGCCGAAGGCGAUGGCCGACGCAACACCCCGCUCGUAGAGCACGGUGUCGAUCUCCUCCUCCCUCCAGCGGCGCUGCUGGUCCUCUUCCCCCUCUCUUGCACUCCACGCCAGCAGCACGGGCAUGAGGCUAUCUGCCUCCACCGGAGGGAGGAAAUCCUCCGGUCCGAUGACGGCCCCGGCACGUCGCUCCGGCACCGCCUCGGCCUCCGGCUCCAUCUUCACCGACGGGAGCUCUUCGAGCUCCCUCUUCACCGACGGGAGGGAGGAGGACGAGCUCGAGCUCGACGCCUUGAAUGAGCUGCUGCUGGAGAAGAGGCGGUCGCGUGCGCGGUCGUACUCCUGUGUAUCACGACGGAGCAGCGACGGCGGUGGCGUCAGGCCCCACCGCGUGUACCGGCGGGCGGUGCGCUUACGGGCAGCGUCAGAUCUGACGUGACGAGCCUUCUCGGGGUCGUCGUUCCUACGGCUACCGGAGCUGGCCAUCAAGGGCGAUGGAUUGGAUCGGCUACGCAGCAGAAUGGAGGCGCGCAGCGGCGGAUUGGAGGCGCCGGCGGUGAGGUGGGGGACUUUUCGCGGCGGCGGAGGGAUAGGGUUUCGACCCACAUGAAGCGGUUGAACCCGCAGUUAUACCGAUCGAGCGGUCGCGUUUACGGGCCACCUCAAAAAAAUUACGGGUCGGGCCGCAUUUCCAGUGUCUGCUCUGGCAGGAAAACCAGCCCAAACCCGUAUAGUUGCCGUAUUUUUUGCGGGUCGGCCGUUUUGCGGGGUCUGGUAGAGUUUCUCUAAGGGAGGCCAAGGAAGAAGAAGAAGGAGCGGGGCUCUCCCCCCUCUCUCCGACUGGCGUCGGAGUGCCGCCGGGGCAAGGAGUGUGACGAUGAUCUACAUCAACAAUCUUGUCGCCGUCAACUCCAACUCUCUCCCCCUCUAUGCAGCGGUGUAACACCUCUAUUCCCACUAUAACUCUCUACUUAAACACGGUGCUCAAUAUUACAUACUAUUUCCCAAUGAUACGUGGAUAUCAUAUGAUGUUUGAGUAGAUCUGUUUUGUCCUACGGGUUAAUUGCGAUAUGAUGUUAUUGAUAUGAGUUGUGUGUUUAUAUGGUGUUGUCCUAAGGUACCUUCCUUGAGGCACACACGUGAAGGAUAAAUGCUGGAGGGUUUGCAAUAUUUUAGUGAUUCGCUUAUAGUGGGUGGCGAGAGUGACAAAAACUUAAACCCGUGUGGGAGUAAAGAGGACUUGAUGUUUAAAGUUAUGGUUGGGUUUACCUUAAUGAUUUAUAGUAGUUGUGGAUCCUUGCUAGAGGUCCAAUCAUAAGUGCAUAUGAUCCAAGUACGGAAAGUGUGUUAGCAUAUGCCUCUUCCUCAUUGCACAUAAUAAGUAUCUAUCAUGUUAUAUUCAAUUGCCUAUGGGCAAUCUUUUUCUUGCGUUCCACAAAAAGCUUCCUGCUAAACAACCGCAAACUUUUAUUUACUUGCUUUUUAUUUUUCCGCAAAAUAGUUUCAUACUUGUUCUAGAUAAAGCACAUUGUAAGUGUGUGCAGAGUUGCAUCGGUGCUCGAUAGAACUUGAGUGAAUAUUUGUUCUACCUUUAGCUCCUCAUUGGGUUCAACACUCUUACUUAUCAAAAAAGGCUACAAACGAUUCCCUACACUUGUGGGUUAUCAAGACCUUUUUCUGGCGCCGUUGUGAGGGAGCAAUAACCUAGGGUGAAUAUUUGUGAUUGUUUGCUUUAUCACUACAUAAUUUUUUUUAUUAGUUGUUUUAUAUCUUUAGUUAUGGAUAUGGAACACAAAAUACCAGAAACAAAUAGGUGUACUUUCUACUCAUGGAGAUGGGGAACCUCCUAAAACCCUCGAUGCUCAUUAGGUGGAAAAUAUUAAACACUGCUUUCAUAAUCCUGAGAAAAGCCCAUUCAACUUGAUAAUGGGAGUAACGUUGGAUCAACGUGAAUAAUUUAGGGAUUAUUUCUUGACUCAAAAAGGGAAAUUAUGAUGGGAUCAAAUUCAUAUGUUGCAUUGGUAUUCUUGGAAUUUAUGCGAGAGAUAUGAUUAUACUUGUUGCUCAAGGAUGAAGGCCCGACACCUUCCCUUUUCAUGUGAAUUUAAUGAUAAUGAAACCUUAGCUUCUUAUGCUAAUGGUAUAUAUGAUUACUAUGAUGUAGAUAGAAGAAUUUGUUGAUUUCAAGGGUGCUUAUGAAAUUGAAUCUUUUUAUGAAAAGUGUGAAAAUUAUGAUGAUGCUAUUUACAGACCUGAAAUUUUUUCUAUACUUAAAUAUUGCUAUGAUAAAUAUCAAUAUAAUUAUGAUAUUGAUGCAUUUCUUGAGAAAGUCUCCACUUUCCAAUAAGAGACUAAUAUUUUAUACAAGUCUAUGGAAGAAUAAAUUGCUGAAACUAUGAGCUUAUUAGAUGAAAAAUAUGAGGAGGAGAGCGAAGAACAAAGGAAGGAAGAGCGGAUUAGCUACCGUGCCCACCUUCUAAUGAGAGUAACUCUUCAACUCAUACAUUGUUUAAUUUCCCUUUGCACAUGCCAAAAGAUGAAUCAUAUGAUGAUUGCUAUGAUCCCUUGGAUUCAUUUGAAAUAUCCCUUUUGAUGAACUUGAUGAUUACUAUGCUUCUGACCAAGAUGACAAUAUGAAUUAUGCUUAUGGCGAUGAACUUGCUAUAGUUCCUUAUGUUAAGCAUGAAAUUGUUGCUAUUGCAUCCACACAUGAUAGUCAUAUUCUCUUUUUGAAUUCUCCCAUCUACACUAUUUCGGAGAAGUUUGCUCUUAUUAAGGAUUAUAUUGAUGGGUUGCGUUUUACCAUUACACAUGAUGAUUUUGAUGGAUAUAAUAUGCAUGUGCGUGCUGCUCCUAUUUGCAAUUAUUAUGAGAGAGGAACUACAUCUCCACCUCUUUAUAUUUCCAACACGAUAAAACUGCAAGAGACUACUUAUGCUAUGUAUUGGCCUUUACUUUGUGUGAACGAAUUAUUCUUUUAUGACAUGUCAAUGCAUAGGAAGAGAUUUAGACUUUGUUAUCACAUGAUUUAUAUCACUUUGUGAUCACUACUAAAUUACAAAUCAUUGUUAAUUAAAAUUGUCUUUGGUAUACAUUGGGAUCCAAGUGGAUCCAUUACUUGGGCACAUCAUGCCUAGCUUAAUGGCUUUAAAGAAAGCUACCAAGGAGACAACCCAGAAGUUUUAGAGAGUCAUUUAUUUAUGUUGAGUGCUUUUAAAAAGUUUUAAAACAAAAAAAAUAAAGUGGGGAACUUAAAACCUUUUCUAAAAGAAAAGUUAAAGUGAGAAGGAAGAACACCGUUGAAGUGGGGUCUUGCCUUGAACUUUGUCCAUGCCCAUGGAAACAUUGUGAAUCUUGAUUACAGAAACUUGUAAACAAAAAUGAUUAUACCCUUGUGUAAAUACCAUUGUAUUAUAAAAAUAUGUGCCAAUUUUUGCCUUUAGGAUGAUUAGAUUGCUUGUUGGUAUGUGUGGUGCAAAAACAGAAACUUUGGUUGUAGUGCGUGGAUUUACAUUUUUUACUAGAACGUCAAAAGUUUCUGAAAAUUUUACACGGUAAUACUAUAAAAAUUUAGUUAUUUAUUACUAAUUAUCAACAAUUUUUUAAGUUACAGAAGUAUGUCAAUGUUCAGAUUACUACAUACUGUCUUGUUUUUGGCACAUUCUGCUUUUGAUGCAUUGUUUUGCUCAUUGUGAUGAAACUAUCGAUUAAAUUGACUGUAUAAGCCAUGGAGAAGUUAUAUUACAGUAGCUAUAAUGGAAACACAAGACAUGAAUGGGUUUUAAAUAGUACUUAAGGUAGUAAUUUGCACUAUUAUACUAACAGAUCUCAUGAGUUUUCUUUUAUGUUUUGUGUGGAUGAAGUGUUCGAAGUUCAAGGAGGUCUCGAUAUGAGGAGAUGGAGGAGAGUCAAGAGUUCAAGCUUGGGGAUGCCCAAGUCACCCCAAGUAAAUAUCCAAGGAGACUCAAGCAUCUAAGCUUUGGUAUGCCCCGAAAGGCAUCCCAUCUUUCUUCAACAAGUAUCGUAUGUUUUUGUCUUUGUUCCGUUCACGUGAUAUGCGUAAAUCGUGGAGCGUAUUUUGUAUUUAGUUUUCAUUUUUAUUUUAUGCACCAUGCUGGUAUGAGAUAUUCCAUGGUUGAUUUAUAUAAUUCUCAUUGCACUUCACUUAUAUAUUUUGAAUAUGGCUUUAUAGAAUGCUUCAUGUGCUUCACUUAUAUCAUUUGAAGUUUGGAUUGCCUCUUUCUCUACAUAUAGAAAACCAUUAUUUGUAGAAUGCUAUUUUGCUUCACUUAUAUUUAUCAUGGCAUGGUCUUUUGUAUAAAUAGUUAAAAUCUCAUGCCUCACUUAUAACUAUUUGGAGAUUCAAAAGGAACUGGUCAUUUACAUGGUUAGUCAUAAAAUCCUACAUAAAACUUGUAAAUCACUGAGUAUGAUAUGUUUGAUUCCCUGCAACUGUUUUGCAACAUCAAGAUAGUAAUAUGUGGGUGAACUAGUUGAUGAUUGUGGAUUAGUAAUAAUAUUUAUGUUAAGGUUUGUGAUUCCCGAAGCAUGCAUGUAUAGUCUCUGCUUAUGCGAUGAGGUUGGAUCAUAAUUUGUCCUUGAUUGAAAUCCUUUGUGUUGUUACAAUCGGAGUCGCGCGAUGGUUAACUCCAACCAACCUUCUCCCUAGGGGCAUGCGUGUAGUGAUUUGCUUCGAGAGAGCUAAUAAAAUCUUGCAAUAAGUAUAUGAGUUCUUUAUGACUAAUGCGAGUCCAUGGAUAUACACACUCUCACCUCUACAUAUUUUCUAGGCUCUUCGGUACCGUGCAUUGCCCUUUCUCACGUUGAGAGUCGAUGCAAGCUUUGUAGGUGCAUCUAGAACCCGUGAUAUGAUACACUCUAUCACACAUAAGACUUAUUAUAUCUUCCUCAAAACAGCCACCAUACCUACCUAUUAUGGCAUUUGCAUAGCCAUUCCGAGAUAUAUUGCCAUGUAACUUCCACAGCUUUCGUUUCAUGACUUGAGCAUUCAUUAUCAUAUUGUUUUGCGUGAUUGUAAGAUAGCUAGCAUGAUAUUUCCAUGGCUUGUCCAUUUUUUUAUGUCCGCGCUACGCUAGAUCAUUGCACAUCCUUGUACACUGCGAUAGGCAUUCAUGUAGAGUCAUAGUGUGUUCUAGGUAUUGAGUUGUAAUAUUGAGUUGUAAGUAAAUAGUAGUGUGGCGAUCAUCAUUAUUCAUUAUUAGAGCAAUGUCCCAACGAGGAAAGGAUGAUGGAGAAUAUGAUUCCCCCACAACUCAGGAUGAGACUAUGGACGAAAAAUGAAAAAUGGGGGAGGCCGAAUGAGCCCAACAUAAUGAGAAGAAAAGAGAAGAAAAAANNNNNNNNNNNNNNNNNNNNNNNNNNNNNNNNNNNNNNNNNNNNNNNNNNNNGAGAAGGGGCAUGCUAAUUCCACAAUUGUGCUCCAAAGUAGCACCAUGUUUUUCAUAUGGAGAGUCUCGUAUGUUGUCACUUUCAUAUAUCAGUGGGAAUUUUUCAUUAUAGAGUUUGAUGCACACCCACUUAGUUUUCAUAGCUUUCAUACACUUAUAGCUCUUAGUGCAUCCGUUGCAUGGUAAUCCCUACUCCUCGUAUUGAUAUCUAUUAAUGGGCAUCUCCAUAGCCCGUUGAUACGCUGAGUUGAUGCGAGACUUUCUUCUUAACUUUUAAACCUUUGAAACCUAUCACCAUAUUCUAUUCCACCUUUAUGAUAUAUCGAUGGUUCACGCUCAUGUAUUGAGUGAGUAAUAAAAAGUUGAAGCACGUUAAAAAGUACGAUCCAAUUGCUAGGUUUGACACUAGGGUGCUCGUGAUUUAUACCUUAUGCUAGGAAGACCAAGCAUGGCACGCUAUAUGAUUUUGUAGGGAUAGCUUUAUUUAGCAUUGUUAUUUUGAAAGGACGUGAUUGUUUGCUAGUAAACCUGAGUAUGGAUGUCUUUUUGUCAAAUGAUAGACUAUUGCCUUGAAUCACGCGUAUCUUAAUAUUCAUGACAUGAUUAGAUUUAUGAUCAAGAUUAUGUUAGGUUGAAUUCCACAUAAAAAUUAUAUUUUUAUCAUUUACCUACUCGAGGAUGAGCAGGAAUUAAGCUUGUGGAUGCUGAUAUGUCUCUGUUGUAUCUACAAUUUUUUAUUGUUCCAUGCCAAUAUUAUAUGACUUUCACAUAUUUUUGGCAACAUUUUAUAUGAUUUAUGGGACUACAUAUUGAUCGAGUGCCAAGUGCGAGUUCUUGUUUGUUGCAUGAUUUUUGUUUCAUAAAAUAUCCAUAUCAAACAAAGUCCAAACGCGAUAAAUUUUUAUGAAGAAUUAUUUUGGAAUAUAUGUGAUUUUUGGGACGUGGAAUCAACACAAACGAAGGUCCAUGGCCUCCAGUAGGUAUCAGGGCAUGACCCAUACCCCCUGGCAUGGGGUAGUGCCUAGUGGCCACCCCUUAAGUCGGUUGGGGCUCUUCUUUGGGCAUAAGAAAGCUAAUUUAUUGAUAAAAUUCCCCUCAAAAUUUCAGCCUGAUCGGAGUUACAAAUCUCCGGGAAUUUAGGAAACAAUGAAGGGUUAGAAAAGAGGAACGCGAAACACAAGAGGACGGAGAGGGAGAUCCAAUCUCGGCGGGGAUCCUGCCCUUUCGCCACCAGGGAGGCAAUGGACCAGGGGGGAACUCGCCUCUCAUCUAGGGGGAGGCCAAGGAAGAAGAAUAAGGAGGGGGCUCUCUCCCCCUCUCUCCCGGUGGCACCAAAGUGCCGUCGGGGCAAGGAGCGUGACGGCGAUCUAUAUCAACAAUGUUUCCGACGUCAACGCCAACUCUCCCCCCCUCUAUGCAGCGGUGUAACACCUCUUUUCCUGCUUUAACUCACUACUUAUACAUGGUGCUCAAGACUACAUACUAUUUCCCAAUGAUAAGUGGCUAUCCUAUGAUGUUUGAGUAGAUCUGUAUUUUCCUACGGGUUAAUUGUGAUAUGAUGUUAUUGAUAUGAGUUGUGUGUUGAUAUGGUCCUGUACUAAGGUGCCUUCCGUGAGGCGCACACGUGAAGGAUACAUGCUGGAGGCUUUGCAAUAUGUUCAUGAUUCGCUUAUAGUGAGUGGCGAGAGUGACGGAAACUUACACCCGAGUAAGGAGUUGUGCACGUAUGAGUGUAAAGAGGACUUGAUGUUUAAUGAUAUGGUUGUUGAAAGGAUCGAUAUGGUUGACUAGAGAGGGGUGAAUAGGCAACUACCAAUUUUUAGCUUUUCUUAAUAAAUAAGGAUUAGCAAUCAUAAAGGUUCUCUAAAAUGACAUUAGGUGAGCAACCUAUAUUAUGCUACUUACAACGAGUAAAGAAGCACGUAAGAGAUACUCUACAACAACAACAAAUACAAAGUAAAGGGAAGAGAUAACCACAAGUGGAACUGAUGAAGAUGAGGAUGUGUUACCGAAGUUUCUUACCUUUGACAGGAAGUACGUCUCCGUUGGAGCGGUGUGGAGGCACAAUGCUCCCCAAUAAGCCACUAGGGCCACCGUAUUCUCCUCACGCCCUCGCACAAUGCAAGGUGUCGUGAUUCCACUAUAGGUGCCCUUGAAGGCGGCGACCGAACCUUUACAAACAAGGUUGGGGCAAUCUCCACACAAAGCUUGGAGGCUCCCAACAAGACCACAGAGCUUCACCACAAUGGAAUGUGGCUCCGAGGUGACCUCAACCGUCUAGGGUGCUCAACCACCCAAGAGUAACAAGAUCCGCAAGGGAUUAGUAGGGGGAAUCAAAUAUCCUUUGGUGGAAGUGUAGAUCAAGGCCUUCUCAAGCAAUCCCUAGAGAAUCAACAAGGUUGAUUGGCUAGGGAGAGAAAUCGGGCUAAAAUAAGCUUGUGGAGCAACAAUGGAGCUUAGAGAGGUAAAAGGUGAGCUCUAGGAAGAAGAAGAUGCCUUUAUAUAGUAGGGGGGCAGAUCCACCCGUUACCCACCUACCACAUAAAUGCACGAGCGGUACUACCACUCCUGGAGUGGUACUACCGCUCCUGGGAGCAGUACUACCGCUCAGCUUCUCACCAACCACGGUAGUACCGGGAUACUACCGUGCCACCACCUCCUUGGAAAAGUAUGGGAGAAAAAAGCCCGUCGGUGCGGUAGUAAAUUAAUACUACCGCACUAAGGGCGGUAGUACCGCCCUUGGAGCGGUAGUAAAAGACUACUAUCGUACUUAGGGCGGUAGUACCACUCCUGGAGCGGUAGUAAAAGUUUACUACCGCACCUGGGGCGGGAGUACCGCUCUUGGAGCGGUAGUAAAAAUUUACCAUCGCUUUGAGGGCAGUACUACCGCUUACCCUUUUCGCAUAGGCAUAGAAAACACAUAUUGGGGCUCCAUUGAGGCCAAAAUAUAGGUGGGUGCAUGAGGUGUGUGUGUGAGGAUUCCACCCAAACAUUUCCGACGCGGACCCCAUCUUAAUAAGAAGACUUUCCUAUGACUCAAACUAGGAAGAGAAACGUAGAACAAAAUCUGUCUUCGAGAACCUCCGAGGGGCGUCGAGUCAUCUUGUGCCUAGAAGAGAAUAUUCUGAAAUGCUCAGGACACAAGAUUAGUCCGCACAACAAUUGUCAUCAAUCACUAAAACCACUUAGGAGAAAUAUGCCCUAACAAUCUCCCCCUUUUUGGUGGAUUGAUGACAAUGUUGGAUUUGCACAGAACAAUAUAGAUAGGCAUAUGCAAACUCCAAAGAUAUCACAAGGGGACUAGUUUCCUCUAGGUAUGUGCAUACCAACAACUAACCACACAGAGAACACUCCCCCUAGAUUAUAUAGACUAGGCCAUCCUUACUACAUAUGUACGAGAGAUGUAAGAAUAUUGAAGCAUGGCAAAGCAUGUGAGCAAAGGAAUACUGGCACAAGAUACUAUGUCUCACAGGCUAAUAACAAGAUAGAUAAAACUGAUAAUACUGAGACAAAAGAUAAGGAAGAUAAAACAUAUAUCUCACACCAUGAUAGGGUCUGACGACUCAUAGUCUCAACCAUAACGCAAAAGCAACGAACGAAAGCAAGAAAGUUUUAUCAAACCAAAUAACCAGAAAACCUAGAGAACGAGCAAACCCUACUCUCUCUCCCCCUUUGGCAUCGGAACACCAAAAAGGCGGAGAGGAGCCCUACGACCCAGGUGGUAGAAACAUCAGUCGGUGUCCUCCUCAUCACGAUACUCCUCAUCUGAGUCAUCGUCGGUGUCCUCCUCAGAUGCAGCCCACUGAAACCGGUGCUUCGCCAUCCAUUCAGCCUCCGGGGUGAUCUCGCGGUCAGAACCGCUGGAGAAGGGCAGGUCAAGCUUCCUCAUGAUCAAUUUAUCGCGCUGGCGACUUUCCUUCUGAGCAACAUGGGUCUUGUAUUGGCCCUUGGCCUGCAUGCAUAACAGGGUCUUCAUCCUGUCGGUGAGCCGUGUGGCCCAUGAUGGUUCUGCACAGGCAGGCAUAUGGGAACCCUCACCCUGUCAGUGAGCCUCUGGAGGGGCCUCAUCCUCAGCAUCAACUACAUCCUCAUCAGAAUCCCUUGGGGCAGUAGGACGAGAGGAGGUGUUUGCCCAUUUGUCCUUCUGGCGCAGUUUGAUGGGCUCAUGGCGGACCCAAUCAGGAGCAAGAAACUCAGCCCCGGGAAAAGUGUUGGUCCAAGUGGUCUUGAUGAAGUAGAACAGGUAGGGACCGUAGAUUAGGACCUUAAGGUUGAUGACUGCGGAGUACAACUCACUCCACAUGACAUGGGAGACAUCAAGGGGCUGGCACUGACGAUUCUUCCCCUUCUGACACAUUAGAAGCAUGUCUACCAGGUAAGAGUGAACCUGGUCCUUGUUGCCAACCCUGGGAAACAGCGUGUUGCGAAAAAUGCGGUGCAUCACAUCCAAAAAGGGGUUCAUCACAUAAGAUACCUCGCCAGCUGGGGUGUGCUUCACAGUGAGGUAAGGGUGCAGCUUCUCCUUGGCAGCAACUUGAGGCUUGGCAUGGGGGCGCAAGCCAACAGGAGUAUUGAGGCCCUCAUCCCUAACCUGAAGGAGAUCCAUGAAAUCAUUCCAGGUAGCAGUCAGCUGCACUCCAUUGGUCAACCAAGUCAUAAUACAAGCAUCAUCAUGGUGAAAGUGCACUGUAGCAAAUAAGUGAGCCACAAUCGAAAUAUCAAAAUCUUGGUGAAAGGAGAUGAGGUCCGCAAUCUGAAGUUGUUCCACCAUAGAGAUGGCCUCCCCAAAGUAAGACAUGUCCUUCUUCAAGUGAUCAAGAUCAAUCCAUUGCAUCAGUACAUAUAGGUUCUUCUUCGAUCUGAGAACGUCUUCGUAAAUCAAGAACCGAUCGCGAUUCCAAAAUAGUUCACUGCCAGGGAAUGUCUCCCUAUUGCUGGCAUAGGGGUUGGGCUUGCGACGGUGUUGAAACUCAGCAAGCGGCAUGGUGUUCUAGUUGACUGAGGGCUUCUUCGGAGCAGGCUUCUUGAAAGUGCGCUUGGGGGCAUUGGACCCUUCAGAUGGAUCGUAGGAAGGUCGCUUGGAGCUGGCAGUGCGAGACGGGUUGGAACGUCGGGAACCACCACUUGAAUCAAUGAUAUUUAGCUCAUGCCUUAACUCACGGAACCUUGCUUCAUCUAGGGGCUUAGUGAAAAUAUCUGCAAGUUGCUCUUCAGUGUUGAUGAAGUGAAUCUCAAUAUCACCUAGCUUGAUAUGUUCACGAAUGAAGUGAUGGCAAAUGUCAAUGUGCUUGGUCUUGCUGUGUUGUACCGGAUUAAGAGAAAUCUUGAUAGCACUUUGAUUGUCACAUAGAAGAAGCACUUUGUCACAAGUGACACCGUAGUCCUUUAAGGUUUGCCUCAUCCAUAGCAACUGGGCACAACAACUUGCAGCUACUACAUACUCAGCUUCGGUGGAGGAUAGUGAGACACAAUUCUGCUUCUUUGAAGACCAACUUACCAGUGAACGACCAAGGAAUUGGCAUCCUCCAGAGGUUGACUUCCUCUCCACACAGUCUCCUGCCCAAUCUGAGUCAGAAUAGCCCACUAGGUUGAAGUUUGCUCCUUUGGGAUACCAGAGACCAAAGUUUGGGGUAUGAGCCAAAUAUCUAAAGAUUCAUUUGACAGCCAUAUAAUGGAUUUCCUUUGGUGCGGAUUGAAACCGUGCACAAAUCCCUACACUCAACAUGAUAUCCGGUCUAGAUGCACAAAGAUAAAGGAGGGAUCCAAUCAUGGAGCGAUAUACCUUUUGAUCCACUGCUUUACCAUUGGGAUCACUGUCAAGCUUGCAUCUUGUUGGCAUGGGAAACUUGACCGGCUUGACAUCCUCUAGCUCAAACCUCUUGAGCAUGUCUUGAGUGUACUUGGCUUGUUUGAUGAAGGUCCCUUCUAAGCCUUGUUUGAUCUCGAACCCGAGGAAGAACUUCAACUCACCCAUCAUAGACAUCUCAAAUUUCUCGGUCAUCAGUGCAGCAAAUUCUUCAUUGAAAGAUUCGUUAGGAGAACCAAAAAUGAUAUCAUCAACAUAUAGUUGGCAUAUGAACAAAUCCCCUUUGACCCUCUUAGUAAAAAGAGUGGGAUCAAUCUUCCCAAUUUCAAACCACGAUCUUGUAACAACUCAGUAAGAUACUCAUACCACGCACGUGGGGCUUGUUUAAGGCCAUAGAGUGCCUUAUUGAGUUUGUACACAUGAUUGGGGAGCUUGGGAUGUUCGAACCCCGGGGAUUGUUUGACAUAGACCAACUCAUUUAAAGGACCAUUAAGAAAGGCACUUUUCACAUCCAUUUGUUGCAAUUUGAAAUUAUGAUGAGAAGCAAAUGCAAGCAGCAUGUGAAUAGAUUCUAGACGAGCAACAGGGGCAAAGGUUUCACCGUAGUCGAUACCCUCGACUUGGGAGUAGCCUUGAGCCACCAAUCUUGCCUUGUUUCGAAUCACAAUCCCAUUGGCAUCUUGCUUGUUUUUGAAGAUCCAUUUGGUCCCGAUGACAUUAUGUUCCUCCUUUGGCCUUGGCACUAAAUCCCAUACUUGAUUACGCUCGAAGUUGUUGAGUUCUUCAUGCAUGGCCAUAAGCCAAUCCUCAUCAUCGAGCGCUUCCUGUACCUAUUGAGGUUCACAAUACGAAACAAACGCGUGAUGCUCACAAUAAUUCCAAAUUUUUUGACGAGUGGAUACUCCCCUUUUCAAACUACCAAGUACAUUCUUCAUGAGAUGUGACUUGACUCUCAGCUUGUUGGCAAUCUUGGCUGCGCGACGCUCCAAGAUUUCUGCAUUGGAUAACUGGGGAGCAUCGACUGGAUUGCUUUGCUUGACCUUGCAUUUUGAUCCUCCCUUGGCACCAGUAGCCUUCUUAGGCGCCGCGGAAGGGAAUUGGGAGAUAGCAUCCUGGUCAACUUGAUCUUCGACUUGAGCAAGUUCACUGGUUUGUCCUUGUUCUUGUGGUUGCUCUUGAUCUUGAUCUUGUGCUUCUUUUUGGUCUGGAUCGUGUAGUUGCACUUGAUCUUGAUCUUGAACAGAUUCGGAACCUUGUGAAAGCACUUGUACAUCAUGGGACACAUCACCAUCUUUGAGCAAUUGAUCUUGUCCUUGAGCUUGUUCAACUGGUUGAGGGUCUUCUCUUUGUUCAUCGGAAGCGUGUGGGGCUUGUGAGGAUGAUGGCUCCACUUGAGUAGAGCAUUGUCCUUCUCCUUCAGCCACAAGGGGUUCCUCAAUGGGGAGUAUUUGACCAAUCCUCAUUCUUCUUAUGGCUUGGGGAGGAAUUUCAUCACCUACAUCACAAAGACCACUUUGCUCCACUUGGGAGCCAUUAUUUUCAUCAAACUCCACGUUACACGUCUCCUCAAUGAGCCCGGUGGACUUGUUGAGGACACGGUAAGCAUGAGAGUUUGUAGCAUAACCAACAAAGAUGCCCUCAUGAGCUCUAGAAUCAAAUUUAGCUAAACGUGCACCUUUCUUGAGAAUAAAGCACUUACACCCGAAUACCCGGAAGUACUUGAGAUUGGGUUUGUUUCCGGUGAGAAUCUCAUAUGGGGUCUUGUUCAAGCCUUUGCGCAUAUAGAGACGAUUGGACGCAUGACAUGCUGUGUUGAUGGCUUCGGCCCAAAAGUUAUAUGGAGAUUUGAAUUCUGCCAUCAUUGUUCUUGCAGCGUCCAUCAAUGUUUGGUUCUUCCUUUCCGCCACACCAUUUUGUUGAGGGGUAUAUGGUGCUGAAUAUUGAUGUUUUAUAUUCUCAUCACUUAGAAACUCAUCCAAGGUGUAGUUCUUGAACUCGGUGCCGUUGUCACUUCUAAUCAUCAAAAUCUUUGCUUCAUGUUGACAUUGAGCUUCAUUAGCAAAGUUGAUAACAGUUUGUUGAGUCUCACUCUUCCUCUUGAAGAAAUAUACCCAGGUGUAUCUUGAGUAAUCAUCAACAACCACCAAGCAGUACUUUCUGCCCCCAAGACUAUCAAAUGAUGGGGGACCGAAGAUAUCCAUAUGAAGGAGCUCCAACGGCCUCUUAGUGUAAGUGAGAGUCGUUGGACGAUGAGCAGUUUCAUGAAUCUUUCCUUCAAUGCAGGCACUGCAAGCACGAUCUCUGGCAAAACUCACAUUUGUUAGUCCACGAAUAUGGUCCCCUUUGAGGAGACUUUGCAAAGAUCUCAUAUUGACAUGAGCUAGUCGGCGAUGCCAAAGCCAGCCCACAUCAACUUUAGCCAUUAGACAAGUCGCAGUCUUAGUGGGUCGCUUUGAAAAGUUCACCACAUAGAGACCAUUUUCGACAUAUCCAACAUAGGCUACUUUAAGAGUCUUGCUCCACAAAAGGACCACAGUAUCAAGAUUAACAAAUGUGGAAAGGCCCAUAAUUGCGAGUUGACGAACCGAAAGUAAAUUGUAAGCAAGGGACUCAACAAGCAUGACCUUCUCAAUAGAUAACUCUUGAGAGAUGACCACCUUACCAAAUCCCAAUACCUUUGACGAUGAAGCAUCGGCGAAUCGGACAUGGGUGGGCAUAGAUGGGGAAGGAUGCACAUCCACCACUAAGUCCUUGCUUCCGGUCAUAUGAUUUGUUGCUCCACUCUCGAGCAACCAUGACACCUCACCGGAAGCAAACUCCUGCAAUAGAUCAAGGCUUGGUUUUAGGUACCCAUUUUUGAAUGGGUCCUUUAAUGUUAGAGACAAGGGUCUUAGGAACCAAAAUAGCACAUUCAAUGAACUCAUAGUAAGAACCAACAAAUCUGGCAUAAACAUGCCCAUCACCAGCACGACAUAAAACAUAGGAAGGAUUGAGUUUGUCGGCUGUGUUGGUAGGAAUGGUUUUGCCCUUCUUGAUGCUCCCAUUUUCCACCUUGUUCCUGUUCACCUCCUGAGUCCCUUCGCCCUCUUUGACAUGAGGGUGGGGGAUCGGUUGUUUCUGUUCUUCCUUUUUCUUUUAGACUUGGAUGUAAGUCCAAGUCCCUCCUUUCCUACCACACCCUUUUGAUUGCUCAAAAGGUUGUUCAGGCUCUUCUUGCCUUGGAUGCAUGACACAAGGCCCUUCUCAAGUUUAUCCUUCAACUUGGCAUUUUCCUCCACAAGUUGUACAUGCUCACAACAAGGGUUAGUUGUACAAGCAUUAUCAAUUAAAACAAAAGGAGGACAAGUAGAGAUUUCCUUGGUAAGCUUUGCUUGGAGUUGAUCAUGAGACUCUUUCAAGGAGAAAUGACUACCUUUCAAGACCUUGUGAGCCUUGUCAAGUGUGUCAAACUCCACUUUGAGUCUGUCAUGGUCAACCCCAAGAGCAUCCUUUUCAGACUUAAGCAUACGAGUAAGAACAGUAGCAUGAUCUAGUUUAUUUUGCAAUUUAGCGCAGUCAUCGUUGUAUGACUCCUUAGGAGCGAAACAAAGAGUGCUCUACUUUUCUAGUGCAAUAGAUAGUUCAGCAAUCUCAUCGGCAUAGUCACGACUAUGUCCUUGCAUCUCGGAGAUGGUCUCCUCAUGAGACUCGAUGAGGUCAUUAGCCUCACCCAGUUGUUCCAAAAGAGCAACAAAGUGCCUUUUGGUCUCUCCUUUGAUAGUACACAGAAAUUUGUCAAGAUCAUGCUCAUUAAGUUCCACAACAUCACUAUCAUCAACACAAUUCAACAAUGAGGGAGCACUAGUGAUGUUGGUCUUAAUGCUGGGUGUUACCUGAUCGAUACCUUUGGCCAUGAGGCACUUGGCGAUGUGAUUAUCGUUGGGGGCAUUGAAGAGAGACACAUUCUUGGGAGAAGGGGUGGCAAUAGCGACAGUCGCAGUUGCCACCAUAUCAUCAUCGUCAUCAUCAUCGGAGGGGUACUCUUCAAGCGCCACCAUACCCUUUGGAUGGGGUUUCUUGACAAAGUUGUUCUUGCUUGGGUAUGACUUUGUUUUGUCUUUGCGAAUGAGCUUGCCUCCGUUGUCUUCCCUCUUUUCAUAGGGACAUUCCGCCAUGAAGUGGCUCACAUUACCAGAGUUGUAGAAUGUCCUCACUCGUUGAUUGGGUUUGAACCCACUUGAGUUGUUCUUGGUGAAGUUGGGUCUUGAGUUCCUCUUGUUGCCCCAGAAUUGCCUUGACGCAAGAGCAAUGUGCUCGUGAUAAGCAUACUUCGUGUGUUCAGGGAAGCUCUCCUCUUCCUCAUCCUCUUCUUCUUCUUCAGAAGCAGCCUCUGCCUUUAAAUCAAGGUUAGGUGAAAUUGUCUUUGACCGAACUCGAGCAAGUGCAUUGUCAGCGGUCUCGUUCAUGAUUGACAUUGCAAUGAAUUCAUCCAACACCUCACUGGAAGACAAGGAGUGGAAAUCUGGUCGUUGGCGAAUGACUGAUGACAUGGCUUUGUUGAAAGGCAUGAUGGCCUUGAGAAACUUGCGCUUGAUCCAUGUGUCAUCCACAUCCUUACUCCCAUGAUCCUUGAGAGCAACAACAAUAGCAGUCAUCCUUCGAUAGAGAUCACGAGGGUCCUCAUCUUCCUUCAUCACAAACUCAUCGGCCUUAUCAAGUACCACUUCAUAGUUUGACCGUUGAAUGCUUGAGAUUCCCUUGUACAACACCAUAAUGUGCUCCCAACAGUCCUUAGCCAGAGUGAAGGGGCGCAAGUGAGGAAGAUCUUCAGGAGGUACUGCAGACUAUAGAAUAAACAAUGCGGAGUGAUUAUAUUGAUUGUCCGCUUCUUCUCUUGGAGUGAGGUUGCUUGGGUCAUGAGGAUAGUAGCCUUGCUCGAUGGUUCUCCAUAAAUUUGUUGAGCUGUGAUUCAAAUGAGACUUAAUAGAAAACACCCAGUUAGCAAAAUCACCCUUAACAAGCUUAGGAGGAGGACCAACAGGGUUAAGACGCGGUGUGGGAAUAGGUCCUCCAUAGACCAUGGGAGGUGGAACUGAGGCAUAGGUUCUAGUCCCAUCCUUUUCGAGAGAAGAGGAAGGUCGCAUACCUUUAGCCGCUUCCUUAGAGGAAUUGGCCUCCAAAUCUGUGUUGGUGGGUUUAACCACCAAUGCCGGUUCGGGUGAACUUUUAAUUCCCUCAAUUAACUCUUUAAGCAUGGUCUUGACUUCGUUCGUCAAGGAUGUCUUGAGGGCGGCCAUAGCCGUAUUCAAGUCGUCCCUUGUGACCGAAGUCAAGUCCAUGGCCUUGGGUUGCACAUGGGGAAGUCCCUCUUCGCCUUCUAUACUCUUCGGGUGGUGAAACCCUUAAUAAAGAGACGUGGCUCUGAUACGAAUUGAAAGGAUCGAUAUGGUUGACUAGAGGGGGGUGAACACGCAACUACCAAUUUUUAGCUUUUCUUAAUAAAUAAGGAUUAGCAAUCAUAAAGGUUCUCAAAAAUGACACUAGGUGAGCAACCUAUAUGAUGCUACUUACAACAAGUAAAGAAGCACGUAAGAGAUACUCUACAACAACAACAAAUACAAAGUUAAGGUAAGAGAUAACCACAAGUGGAACCGAGGAAGACGAGGAUGUGUUACCGAAGUUCCUUCCCUUUGACUUGAAGUACGUUUCCGUUGGAGCUGUGUGGACGCACAAUGCUCCCCAAUAAGACACUAGGGCCACCGUAUUCUCCUCACGCCCUCGCACAAUGCAAGGUGCCGUGAUUCCACUAUAGGUGCCCUUGAAGGCGGCGACCGAACCUUUACAAACAAGGUUGGGGCAAUCUCCACACAAAGCUUGGAGGCUCCCAACAAGACCACGGAGCUUCACCACAAUGGAAUGUGGCUCCGAGGUGACCUCAACCGUCUAGGGUGCUCAACCACCCAACAGUAACAAGAUCCGCAAGGGAUUAGUAGGGGGAAUCAAAUAUCCUUUGGUGGAAGUGUAGAUCAAGGCCUUCUCAAGCAAUCCCUAGAGAAUCAACAAGGUUGAUUGGCUAGGGAGAGAGAUCGGGCUAAAAUAAGCUUGUGGAGCAACAAUGGAGCUUAGAGAGGUAAAAGGUGAGCUCUAGGAAGAAGAUGAUGCCUUUAUAUAGUAGGGGGCAGAUCCACCCGUUACCCACCUACCACAUAAAUGCACGAGCGAUACUACCGCUACCUAGAGCGGUACUACCGCUCCUGGGAGCGAUACUAUCGCUCAGCUUCUCACCAACCACGGUAGUACCGGGAUACUACUGUGCCACCACCUCCUUGGAAAAGUAUGCGAGAAAAAAGCCUGUCGGUGCGGUAGUAAAUUAAUACUGCCGCACUGAGGGCGGUAGUACCGCCCUUGGAGCGGUAGUACCGCCCUUGGAGCGGUAGUAGAAAACUACUACCGUACUUAGGGCGGUAGUACUGCUCCUCGAGCGGUAGUAAAAGUUUACUACUGCACCUGGGGCGAAAGUACCACUCUUGGAGUGGUAGUAAAAAUUUACUACCGCUCCGAGAGCGGUACUACCAUUGUGCCAGCGGUACUACCGUUGUGCGAGCGUUACUACCGCUUACCCUUUUCGCAUAGGCAUAGAAAACACAUAUUGGGGAUCCAUUGAGGCCAAAAUAUAGGUGGGUGCAUGAGGUGUGUGUGUGAGGAUUCCACCCAAACCUUUCCGACGCGGACCCCCUCUUAAUAAGAAGACUUUCCUAUGACUCAAACUAGGAAGAGAAACGUAGAAGAAAAUCCGUCUUCGAGAACCUCCGAGGGGCGUCGAGUCAUCUUGUGCCUAGACGAGAAUAUUCUGAAAUGCUCAGGACACAAGAUUAGUCCGCACAACAAUUGUCAUCAAUCACUAAGACCACUUAGGAGAAAUAUGCCCUAACAAUCUCCCCCUUUUUGGUGGAUUGAUGACAAUGUUGGAUUUGCACAGAACAAUAUAGAUAGGCAUAUGGAAACUCCAAAGAUAUCACAAGGGGAGUAGUUUCCUCUGGGUAUGUGCAUACCAACAACUAACCACAGAGAGAACACUCCCCCUAGAUUAUAUAGACUAAGCCAUCCUUACUACAUAUGUACGAGAGAUGUAAGAAUAUUGAAGCAUGGCAAAGCAUGUGAGCAAAGGAAUACUGGCACAAGAUACUAUGUCUCACAGGCUAAUAACAAGAUAGAUAAAACUGAUAAUACUGGGACAACAGAUAAGGAAGAUAAAACAUAUAUCUCACACCAUGAUAGGGUCUGACGACUCAUAGUCUCAACCAUAACGCAAAAGCAACGAACGAAAGCAACAAAGUUUUAUCAAACCAAAUAACCAGAAAACCUAGAGAACGAGCGAACCCUUGUGAAUCUUGUUACUCUUGGGUGUUUGAGCACCCUAGACGGAAUAGGUCACCUCGAAGCCAUAUUCCAUUGUGGUGAAGCUUCAUGGUACUAUGUGGAGCCUCCAAUUAAGUUAUGGAGAUUGCCCCAACCUUGUUUGUGAAGCUGCAAGUGCACCACUAAUGGAAUAACGACAUCUCGCGUUGUGUGAGGGUGUGAGGAGAAUAUAGUGGCCUCAGUGGAAUCUUGGGGAGCAUUGUGCCUCCACACCGCUCCAGCAGAGACGUACUUCCCCUUAAAGGGAAGGAACUUCGGUAACACAUCUUUUUCUUCAUCGCUUCCACGUGUGGUUACUUUUUACCUUUAGUUUGUAUUUGUUACUUGCUUGUUAUUGUUGUUGUUAGUAUCAUAUAGGUUGCUCAUCUAGUUGCAUAUCUAGACUACCAAUUUGUUGCUAGACUUAAUUUGUUAAAGAAAAGCUAAAAAUUGUAGUUUACUAUUCACCCCCCCUCCAUUCAAACAUAUCGAUCCUUUCAAUUGGUGUCAGAGCUACAUCUCUUUGUUAAGGGUUUCACGACCCAAAGAGUAUGGUUAACGACGGGGAUCGGAUUAUGGAUUUACCCGAGGCCAUGGGUGUGAACACGGUCUCAUGAGAGAAUUUAAAUGAUGCAAUUUCUUCUAUGGCGACCGAGGUCAAAUCCAUGUUUAAAGAUUUCCUUGAUGAGAUCAAACUCUUUACCUAUCCGUUGCGAGUGGUUAACCCCACUACUUUGGAUUCGGAUGCCAACUCCGAUAACGAGAGGGCUAGUAGUGAUAAGGAUAAGUUGCCUCAAGGAAGGAACGUGACACAUAUAUACCUUUGCCUCCGUUCCUCCUCUCGUGGUCUAUGAAGGACCGGUCCACCCACCGCAUAUCAUCAACCUUGGUCCUCCUCCUAAACUUAUUAAGAAUGAUUUUGCUAAUUAAGUUUUUUGUAUCAAGUCUUAGUUGAAUCAUGGAUCAACACAACUUUUGAGAAUCAUUGAGCAAGGGUACUACCCACAUGAUCCAUGCAACCUCACUCCAAGAGAAGAGGCCGACAAUCAACUCAAUCACUCCGCCUUGUUCAUUCUUAAGUCUGUUGUCCCCAUUGAAGAUUUUGCUCACUUGUGUCCUUUCACUCUUGCUAAGGAUUCUUAGGAACACAUUGUUUCUAUGUACAAGGUAAGCUUGACUAUUCAAUGGUCCAACUUUGAGGUCGUUCUUGAUGAGGCCGAUGAAUUUGUGAUGCUUGAUGAUGAGGACCCUCAUGAGCUUUAGAGAAGAGUGAAAACUCUUACCGUCGCCAUUCAAGACCACGAAAGCAAGGAUACAUAUGACAAUUGCAUAAAGCAUAAGUUUCUCAAGACCAUCAUGCCAUUCAGCAAGGCCAUGUACUCUGUCAUCUAUCAAAGGCCGAACUUUCACUCCUUGCCCUCAAGCGAUGUGUUGGAUGAGUUCAUUGCCAUGAACAUAUUGAACAAGACCGUCGAAAAUGCUCUAGCUCGUGUCCAACGGUCAAGAAAAACCACACCCAACCUAGCUUUGAAGGCCAAGGCGGCUGCAGAGGAAGAAUAAGAACCCCCCCCCCCCCCCCCUUCCCGAAUACAGCAAAUAUGCUUACCACGAGCACAUGUCUCUUGUGUCAAGGAAAUUUUGGGACAACAAGAGAAACUCAAGGUCCAACUUCUCCAAGAACAAUUCAAGUGGGUCUAAGGGCAAGCAACGUGUGAGUACUUUCUACAAUUGUAGCAAUGUGAGUCACUUUAUAGUGGAUUGUCCGUAUGAGAAGAGGGAAGACAAUGGUGGUAAACUCAUUCGCAAAGACAAAGCCAAGUCCUUCCCCAACAAGAACAAAUUCUCCAAGAAGAUGCCUCAAAAGGUGUUGGUGGGUCAAGAAGAGUACUUCUCCAAUGACCCCCCCCCGAUGAUGCAAGUGGUGAAGUAAUAUCAAUGGCCAUGGUGGACAUUGCAUCCUCCUAUCCAAGCAAGGUGUCUCUCUUUGACUUCCCAAUGAGAACCGCAUUGCAAAGUGCCUUAUGGCCAAGGUAUCCAACAAGGUAACCUCCAACAUCAAAACUACCAUUUCCACUACCCCUUCUUCUAUAAAUAGUGGAGAAUAAAAAGAGGAGGUAAAAGUUGAGAUAAAAUUAUUUGAUAAAUUCAUGAGAAAUAUUAGGGGUGAUACCAAGAAGCAUAUUGUUGCUCUGUUGGAACAACUAGGUGAGGCUAGUUAUCUCACUAAGUCUCAUGAAAAGACCAUCUCUCAAUUAGAGGGACAUAUUCGUGACUAUGUCAAUGAGAUAGCGGAUCUUUCCAUUGCUCUUGAGGAAGAGUGAGAUAUUCAUUUGACUCUUGAGGAGUCACACAAUGACGACCUUGCUAAAUUACAAAAAAGAUCACGAUCAUGCUCUUGUUCUUUCUCGUGGGCUCCAAACCGAAAAGGUUGCACUUGGGGUUGACCAUAAAUAGUUUGUCACACUUUACAAGGCUCACAAGGCUUUGAAGAGUGCUCGUGCUUCUCUAAAAAAGCCUCAUGUUCAACUCCAACUAAAACUUACUAAGGAAAUAACCACAUAUUCUCCUUCCAUGCUCAUUGAUAAUGUCAAUGCUACUAACCCUUGUUGUGAGGAUGUGAAUCUUGUGGAGGGGAAUUCCAAGUUGAAAGAUCAACUUGAGAAAGGCCUUGUGACGUGCAUCCAAGGCGAGAAGAACCCCAAUGACCUUUUGAUCUAUCAAAAGGAAGUGGUUGCAAAGGAAGGAAUUGGGUUUGCACCCAAGUCCAUGAAGAACAAGAAGGUCAAGACCAAGCAACCUCCCCCUCUCAAGGAAACCUUUGUCAAAGCCGAGGAGGGUAGUCAUGAGAAGAAUAAGUACAAGAUUAUGGGUGGUAAUGCCAAGAAUAGCAAAACCAAUCCAUCCAACAAUGCCGACAACUUUAACCCCUCUUAUGUUUUAUGUCACACCAGUGAUGGACAUGUUUUUGCUAAAUUUGUUAGUUCUUCUUAUGAAUACAUUGAGUUGUCUAUUUGGGUCCCUAAGACCCUUGUUACUAACAUGAAAGGACCCAUUAAAGAAUGGGUACCGAAUUCCAAGCAUUGAUCUCUUAUAGGAGUUUGCUUGUGGAGGAGUGUCAUGUUGCUUGAUAGUGGAGCAACAAAUCAUAUGACCGGAAGCAAGGACUUGGUGGUGGACGUUCAUCCUAAUCCAUCCUUUUCCACUAAAGUCUCCUUUGGUGAUGAUGUGAUUUCAAAGGUAUUGGGCCUUGGCAAGGUGGUAAUCUCUCUGGAAUUAUCCAUUGAGAAUGUCAUGCUUGUUAAGACCCUUGCAUACAAUUUACUUUCCAUUCAUCAACUUGCACUCAUGGGCUUUUGUGCCUUAUUUGGUGUUGACACCGUGUCCCUUUUAUGGAGCAAGACUCUUAGAGUAGCCUUUGUUGGAAAUUUCAAGAAUCGUCUCUAUGUGGUUAACUUUUCGAAGCGACCCACUAAGACCGCGACUUGCUUAAUGUCUAAAGUUGAUCUAGGAUGGCUUUUGCAUUUCCGGCUAUCCCAUGUCAAUAUAAAAUCUUAGCAAAGUCUCCUCAAAGGGGAUCACAUCCAUGGACUAAAGAAAGUUAGUUUUUCCAAAGAUCGUGCUUUCAAUGCUUGUAUCUAAGGAAAGCUACAUGAGACGACUCACAGUCCCACGACUACCAUCUACUCGAAGAGGGACUUGGAGCUCCUUCACAUGGAUCUCUUUGGUCCUCCAUCUUUCAAUAAUCUUGGGGGAAGAAAGUAUUGAUUGGUGAUUUUGGAUGAUUACUCAAGAUAUGCUUGGGUAUAUUGUCGGGCCUCUGGGAUCUGGGGUACCUAGACCCGUCGGCGUGCGGCCCCAAGCGCGACGCGGCUGGGCAAGCCUGGAUCGGCCCAUCGGCAAGAUCGGCAACAAAGACCCUCACGAGGGCCCCUACUUCUCGAGGAAAGUGUCAAGGGAUCACCAUUGAGGAUCACGAGGGGUCUCCUGCAGGAAGGGCGCAUCCCGAGGCCACCCGUCAAGCCCUCGCAAGGCGAGCUCGUCAAGGGCGACAUGGCCGGGCCCCACGACCCUGCGCGCUCCGCGUGGGUGAUAGGGAUUGCACAUGCGGCACAAGGGGGGUGUCAGCACGCAUGGAUAGGGAGGAUUUCCACUUCCGUGCUAAGGAAGAGGGGCCAGCUGGUGGGCCCCAAAGCAACCUCCCAAAGGUUCCCACAUCGGUGCAAGAGGACUAAGGCUGGGAGCUCGGCAGGAUGGAGGUCACCCGUGAGCCCACCAACGCGUCAUGAAAAGAAGCUUUUGCCCGCGAAGACCACCUUUGUCAGGGCGGACUGCAGUCAUGUACCCUUUCAAAACAGCCGUUGUGGCACCCUUCCCACCAAUGUUUUUGGAGGGGAAGAGGAAUAAUGCUAGUACAAAAGUGUUAGAGCAUAUCUCCAUAUGUGGUUUUGGUAAUUGAUGACAAUUCCUAUGGACUAAUGGUUGCCUUAAGUCAUAUUUAUAGGAUUUGUCCAUAGGCACUUCUUGAAGUCCAUCUCUUGGGUUCAAGGAGUUUAUAUGCUGACCAAGAUGGUAUUCAAGGUAUUAUCCAAAGAAUGGUCAUAGAGACACUAGGUUGAUCAAGAUCUCAGACAAAGAGUAAAUCAAGAUGAUCAACACACAAAGCGUAUAAGAUGUACCGAGAGGGAUCAAGUGAUCCCAUGGUAUGGUAAGCAUUGUCCAUUACGUGUUUGUGUACUAACCCAUGGUCUUUGUGAGAGACCUAUGUGGGGGUUAGGUGUGCUUACAUGGGCUUGCAUCAAAAGGAAGAUCUCAUACAACCCAUGAAGGAUGACGUCAAGUGGUGAUCGUCAUCAAGAUUGUGGUGUGCAAGUUCAAGUGGAUCAGCACGAAUAUAUCAUUGAAACUAUUGUUAAUGAUCAUGUGUUGAUAAGGACAAGCUCAUGUGCUAACAAGGACAAGAUCAAGAUAAGCAUUCCUGAGCACUACAUGCUUGAUUCUUGUGGAUGUUCACAUGGUGGACAAAUGAAGAUGAAUACAUAAGCUAGGCUUUCCACAUUGUGUAUGGGAGAGCUGCUUGAAGACUUCAUGAUGUCUUGCUUUCAACUUGAGCCAAGAAGGAACAACAACAUCAAGCUCAAGUGAAAGGGCUAACUCAAAGGUAUCAGUUCCUUUGACGUUAGUGGUGCGGAGUGAUGAUCAGCGAAUAAAAGUAUACACUCAAGUAUGGAUCACCAGUACCCCUUUUAUGAUUCUUGAGUCUUUAGGGAGCCCGCACUAUUAAGAGGGGAUCACAGGUUUUGCGAUGAACUUGCUCAAACUACAUCUCUACUUUUCUGCUCAUACCACAUCUCCACCGCUCUGCUGUUAUCUAAAAACAGAACCAAUGCAUCGGACAUCCGGCUUCCUCCGGACGUCCGAGGGACGGACGCCCGACCACUUCGGAAAUCCGGAACCUUAUACCAGAGAAAUCCAGAGUCAAAUAACUCGGAAUUCCGGCUCUCUCCGGACGUCCGAGGGCCUGACGUCCGGCUCUCUCCGCACGUCCGACCCCCUUCGGAAAACCGGAACCUUGCACCACAAGAAAUUUGAGUCAAAUAACUCGGACUUCCGGCCUCCUCCUGACGUCCGAGGGCGGGACGUCCGGCUCUCUCCGGACGUCCGAGGGCCGGACGUCCGGCUUCCUCCGGACGUCCGGUCCCUGUUCGACUACACAGUGGUUCUUGAUAUAUAUACAUCCCUCGGACGACCGACCCAUGUCGGACGUCCGACCCCUUGUGGGAGUCCGGACAUCCGAGAACUGUCGGACGUCCGACCACUGUCAGACUUAAGUGACCCCAAUGGUCACUUUCCCUUCUCCACUAUAAAUACCCCCUCCCACUUCGUGAGAGGGGGCCUAACACAGCCAUAUCCUCAUAAGAACACAUUUCUACCUCACACACAUUUGCUCACACCAAAUCUUAGAUCCCAAGAGCAUUUGUGAGCGCCUUUGAGAGUUGUUCCGAUCAAAAGAUAGAUCGUCUGCCUCUCCUGCUCUCAACCCAAGCUAUUUGAGAUUUGAGCAAGUUUUGAGCAUUCCCCUGGAUCUUGUUACUCUUGGAGGUUGGAGACUCCUAGGCGGUAGGAGUUCUUGGGAGAGGAAUCAAUCCGUGUGAUUUCCCCCGGAAAAGUUUGUGAGGGUUUGGAAGCCACCUCAAAGGCUUACCACUAGUGGUUGAGAAACGCCUUCGUGGUGUUAUCUCAAAGGUAGAAUAGGGUGAGCCUUCAUGACGUUGGUGUGCCUUCGUGGUAACAUCCACCUCUCUAACGGUGACUAGCUUCCCUCCAAGGAAGUGAACAUCGGGAUACAUCUUCGUCUCAGUGACCUUGGUUAUCCUUAACCCUAACUCCUUACUUGUGGUUUACUNCCUUUGAGAGUUGUUCCCAUCAAAAGAUAGAUCGUCUGCCUCUCCUACUCUCAACCCAAGCUAUUUGAGAUUUGAGCAAGUUUUGAGCAUUCCCCACGAUCUUGUUACUCUUGGAGGUUGGAGACUCCUAGGCGGUAGGAGUUCUUCGGAGAGGAAUCAAUCCGUGUGAUUUCCCCCGGAAAAGUUUGUGAGGGUUUGGAAGCCACCUCAAAGGCUUACCACUAGUGGUUGAGAAACGCCUUCGUGGUGUUAUCUCAAAGGAAGAAUAGGGUGAGCCUUCAUGACGUUGGUGUGCCUUCGUGGUAACAUCCACCUCUCUAACGGUGACUAGCUUCCCUCCAAGGAAGUGAACAUCGGGAUACAUCUUCGUCUCAGUGACCUUGGUUAUCCUUAACCCUAACUCCUUACUUGUGGUUUACUUGUGUUACUUGAGCAUACAUAUAUUGCAUAUUGUUUGUGCUCAUUAUAUUGUGUUGGCUAUUUCUUUGUACAACAUUAAUCAUUCAAGCAUACCCUCUAUAUCCACACGUUCACACUUGCAGCUUUUGAUAUAUCGUGUGCUAUAGUGUGAUCUAGUAUCUUGUGUCGUUCACCUACUUGUCGUGUGAUAUAGCUCAAGUAAGUUUGUGUAACUUACUUGUGCUUGUUAGUUACCGUGUUGUGUCCAUCUUGGUAGAUCGUGUUGUUGGUGCACGUUGCGGUGCCUAUUGCAUUUAGGAUUUGUGCUUGAAAAGUAUCCUCUUAGUUUAUUUCCGCAUUAGGUUUAAAGCCAAAUCAAAAGAAGUUUUUAAAUAGCCUAUUCACCCCCCUCUAGGCGUCAUCGUGGUCCUUUCAAUUGGUAUCAGAGCAAGGUCUCUCUUUAAUUAGGUUUCAUGACAUAGAGAGUAUCUAUGUCGACUAUUGGAUUAGUGCACAAUGACACCUUUGACUUUGAUGGCACAAAUUAUACCCUAUGGAGAAUUCGUAUGCUUCAUCUCUUUCGGGCCAUGGGCACAAAUACUUUACGAAUUGUUCUUGUAGGGAUUGCCGACAAAAAGGAUGAUGCAUCUUCAUCUACUAAUGAAAUGUAUCUUGAUUGUGAGGCUUUUCUUGCCAUUCAUCGCACCAUAAGUCCUGAAGUGUUUAAGUCUAUCUCGACUUGCAAGUCAGCUCAUGAAGUUUGGACUGAACUUGAAGAUAUAUAUGGUGGGUCCAAUCUUGAUGAAGACGAUAUUAUGAUGAAGGAGUUGGUGCAUGAGCUCUUCACUCUUUUUUAUCUUAAAGAGUCCGCCACUACUUCCAUAUCCGAUUGCUUGCACACCUCAGCAUCUUCAAUCUCACAAGGUAAUGACAUGGUGAGUGAAGAAAUAUAUGUUGAUGAAAAUGUCAUAUCCUCUAUGGACACGAGCAUAUCUAGCACCACACAUAGUGUAAAUUAUUGUGUUGAUAGGUCAUGCAUUUCACCUAAAGAUCCCUCGACAAAUGUCUGUGGUGAUAUGCCUGCUUUCCCGUGUCCUCUUGAUCAAAAUAUCUUGUUUCUCCCUAGUUGCUCUAUGACUAAUCAUUUAGGGGAAAUCAAGAAAUAUGAAGUACUUUUGACUAAUGAAGAAUCUGAUUCACCAAAAGAAUCAUCAUCAACUCCUCCAGUUCACAUGUGCCUCAUGGCAAGAGGUAAUAAUGAGGUAUCAUCUUCCCUGUGAAAUAACGAUGAUAUUUGCGAUGAGGAAGAUGAUGAUGACUUGACUGAAAAUAUCUAUGUGAUCAGUAAAAUUCUUCAUAAACCUAAAAAUAACGCUCUUCAAAGAUUCCAAGAUGUUCUUGCUUACUUUGAAAAUUGUAAUGAUUCACUUAAUCAUGAACAAGCUAAAAGUGAACAACUUGAACAUGAACUUGAGAAGAGUCAUCAAGCAUGUAGAGACGUAAGAUCUUCAAAAGGAGAUAUUGAAGUUGCUCGUGAUAAACUUAAAAAGGAUUUUGAGGUCCUUCUCCUUGAAUGCAAUAAUGUCAAGGGAGAGCUCAUCAAAACCUCUAAGAUCUAUGAGGAGCUUCAAUCUACUCAUGAGAAGUCUCUAUUUGUUACUUACUCCUCUCAAAUUGUUGAUGAUACUUGUACAUCUAACUCUACCUCAUUUGAAGUAUCAACAUUGAAGCAGAAUAUUGAGCUACGUGCUCAACUUGAUUCACUAACUAGAAAUUAUGGGAAGUUGGAAGAAAACCAUGUAAUGCUCACAAGCUCUCAUGCCAAUCUUCUAACAUCCUAUAAUGUGCAAAAGUUAGCUCAUGAGGCUAUCAUCACCAAGGUAACAUCAAGUGAGCCUCAUGUGGACAAUGGCACUACUUCUAGUCAAAGUACUAUAUUUCCAUGUGCUAGUCCUCGUAAUUCGUCUACUCAUAAUGUUGCUACCUCGUGUGAUGAAUUACUUUCCUUGCCUUGUUGCUCUAACAUUGAAGCUUACACUUCCUCUAGUACUUGCAUUGAUACUAAUCGUGCAUAGGAAAUCGAAGAGCUCAAGGCCCAAGUCACUUCUUUGAAGAAAGACUUGGAACAGUGUCAUGAAGGGAUGUCCACACUCAACAACGUCCUGUGUGAGCAAACAUCUCCGAAUGACAAAAAUGAUGUUGGAGUAAACUCAAACAAGAACAAGAGGGGCCUAGAACAAGUCAAGAAUUCGGCCAAAAUCAUUUGCUUCAAGUGCAAAGUUAAAGGGCACCAUGUUAGAUCUUGCCCUCUGAAGACGAUGUCUCAAAGUCACAAGCAACAAGGGAAGCAACCACAAACUCAAUCACAUAUUCAGCUACAAGUUGAAGGAAGGCCUCUUCCCAGUAAGAUCCAAGCCAACACUCCCCAAGGUGAGAAAUCAACUGGGAAGAAAGCAAAGGGUAGAUGUUGCUACUUAUGUCGUGAGAAGGGUCACGUCGCUUCGUCUUGCACAAGAGGUAACUUAUCCAACCCAAUUACUAUUGAUGAUAUCUAUUCCCUUGGGAAGGAUAAGGUUGGCAAUGUGUUUGCCAAGUUUGUUGGUACUCAAAAUGGUGUCAAGAAAAGAACCAUUUGGGUUGCCAAGCCUAUUGUGAUUAACAUCUUAGGACCCAACGUAGUUGGGGACCAACAAGCUCAAAUUUGAUCAAUAGGUGACUAUGGAGGACAUUAGAGACUUGGAUACAUAAUGAAGAAUUAAGGGGUCUUCAUCAUUCAUAUUAUCUCAAGCCAAGUCAUUUGGAUUAUCGAGUUUCUAUCUUAUAUCCAAUGUGCCUCCUUACGGUAACUUAUACUUAAACUAUUUACAUUGUUAGGUGCUUGCCCCUUUGCAUGUUGUGCUUUUGUACCUUGCAUGCAUUUGUAUAUGUUGUGCUUCCAACUUGCUUAUCUUGAGUAAUCGAGUAUGUGUAUGUUGGUUUGCAUAUCAUGUACAUGUGAGUCUUGUAUUGAGCCUUUUUGCAUCUUGUUUGUAUUUUUGUUGGCUCUUGUGAGAGAUUAAUGGAUUAUCCCAUUGUGGGGGAGUGAUGUGCUUUGCACACCUCACAAUCCUAUAAAUGUGUAUACAUGGGGAAUACCACUUAGUUUUGAUAUUUCAAGAUUAUCUAGUUUCUAUGUGGUAUGUCUUACCCAUGAGAAAUUCAAAUUCUAUAUGGUCCAUUAAGUAUCUCUUGUUGGUUUUAAUUUCCACUUGUUAAUAUUGUUGGUUUAGCACAUUAUGGGGGAGUAAUAUGCUAUGUGCAUAUUACAAACCUAGAAAAUGUGUACAUUUGAGGUGUUGCCACUUAGUGUUAAUAUUGUAAAUUAUCUUGUUCCUAGGUGGCAUGUUAGCUCUACAAGUGUCAUUUGCUUGCGUUUUAUGGGUAAAAAUGAUCUUGGAUAUAUUUGCGAUCUACCAAUGAGUAUCACUUCCAAAAUACUUCUUGUCCUUGACAAUUUGUAUUCCCAUCAUGUGAUAGGAAUUGCUAAUCGUCUUUACAUUGGAUUUUGUGUUUCGUUUGUCUUCCUUGCCUCUUAUGGAUCUAUUUUAACAUGUCUAGUGUUUUUAUAGAUAUAGAGAAAGUUAUGAUCCCAUCGUGUGCAUUUUGUAUUUAAAUGCAAAUUCUAUAUAAUGCACGCCCCUUGGGGGAGCUAUCCUAUUUUCUUUAGAACACUCUCUUUAUUCACCCAUCAUAAAAUCUUUUGAUCCCCAUCAAGUGUGUGUUGAUGGGAGGCAAGUCUUGCUCUUUAUGAUGCUUUGUGCCAUCAUGAAAAUUUGUCGAGGGCUUGGUUUCUUGGAACCUAGCUCUCUUUUGGAAAUUAGAUACCUCGUGUUUGUUUUCCUUCAAUUGGUUUCUUGUUUCCUUUUAUUUGGCAUGUGUCAAUGGAUAUCUCAUUCCUUGAGGUAUCUUUUAAUUGAUAUCCUUCACGUGACAGUUCUUUUUUGUUUAGGAUCUUAUUAUCACUUGAUACCUUGUCUUUUGGUGACUUAUCAACUUUGUGUUGAGUUGAUUCUUGAGAGUCUUGAGCAUGCAUAUCUACUAUAUACAACUUCUUUUGCUUGCUUUCCUUCUUUGACCCAAUAUAUAGGGGAAACUCCACCUUGUCAUAAAUUGGCUAAAGUGUGCAUGAAAUUCAAAUUCAUAUCUAUAUGCACAUAUGUAUGUGGAGUUUGUCCUAUGUAUUGCUGGUUUUCUAACUCUUUGGUCCCAAUGAGUUUGGGCACCAUUUUGUUUGUUUUGCUGUUCCAGGAACAACUGGAGAUGCAUUGGAUGCUCGGCUCACCUAUAAGGAAGGUGUUGAGACCAUGUGAUUAUUGGAGCCAAGUUAGGAUGAUCAAAGAACAACUAUCUACUACAUCAAUCCAAUGUUGUCUCGGUAACAAGUAUCCACUUCAUGCAUUCUUUACUUGCAAAGGCCCCAACCUGUCUUUUCUUUUCCAGGUUGCAUCAUGGCAUGAAUCUCUUGAUUCGUUCUUGUAGUACUUGUUUGCUUUCUCAAAGCAUCCAAACGAUGAUGUCUUACUACUAGUUGGGAUGUCUUUGAUGUUCGUAUGUUGGAAGUUCAUAUUGUACAAUAAGAAAAUAUUAGGCCAUGUGCUAUGCUUCCAAGCAAAAGAUCUCAUUGAUAUAUUUAUGACUUCCUUUUGGAUAUCUAGUUUGUUCCUUCUUGUAACCAUUUCGUGUGUACAUCCUUCUGUGUGGAUAUAUAUCAUCAUGAUUGUAUUCUACUUAGAAUCUUUUACACAUGAGAGAAGUUACAUCUCUAAUUGAUAUCCUCUUUUCUUUCACGUCCAUCGUUACAUUUGCUUUUUUAGUUUUUGGUGGCUUCGUGAAAGGAUUUGUUUUGAGUGCGUAUCUUAUUUUCCUACAUCUUGAUGCACUCUUUGGCUGUGAAGAUUAUUUUUCCUCAUGCUUGUCUUGCUGAGGGUUUUGCCAUUUCAAUUAGUAUCCCUCCUCUAGACAAGGUUCUUACUUCCUAUCUUCACAAUGGGUUGUCACAAGCGUCGGUUCUUAUUUUGUUUAUUAGUAAGCUUGUGAACCCAUUUUCUAGUAUGUGUGUGUGGGAAUGAUAUGUCUUGCACUUUGUAUCUCAUUUCAUCAAGACUAUGUUGAUGAGUAAUGCUCAUCCUUAUCUUAGUCUUCUCGAGUGCUUUGCCAUGACUCACACACAUUACUUUGGUUGAGCCUAUUCUUAAGUUGCUUCUUUUAUAUGUUGCUCAACCAUUUGUUUUGUGCAAUUGAUAUGCUUAUUGUCUCAUCUAUCUUCUUGCACUCGUUGUGUGUUUUUAUUAAUUUUGGGGGAGCAACGAUCCUAUUUUGUGCACCUGUAUCAAAUACAAAAAUCUCGUCUUAGUGCACAAAUCAUGGGGAGCUUCUCUAGUUUUUGAUAAAACACUGUGUUGCCUUUAUCAUAAUAUCUUUUAUUCAUGUGGUUCGAAGGACCAUAUGAUUGUUUGUUCCAUGUGGAAUCUUUUGAUUGCUUGCCUCUAUUUUUCAUGUCUUUGUGGCAUACGAUCCUUUUAUUUGCAAUCUUUGGGUCCUCAAUAUAGUUUGUUUUCCUCCAACUACUUAUCAUUGUAUUUGUGUAUUUCUCUGCACUCAUGUGCUGAGAAGUACACACUUUUUGGAGGACCACCUACUAUAUUGGCUUUCUAAAUUUGUGUGUUGAUCAUCUUGAUUUACUCUUUGUAUGACGAUCUUGAUCAACCUUGUGUCUCUAUGACCAUUCGUUGGAUAAUACCGUGAAUACCACCUUGGUCAUCAUAUAAACUCCUUGGACCCAACAGAUGGACUUCAAGAAGUGCCUAUGGACAAAUCCUAUAAAUAUAACUUAAGGCAACCAUUAGCCCAUAGGAAUUGUCAUCAAUUACCAAAACCACAUAUGGAGAUAUAUGCUCUAACAGUAAGCAUUGUCCAUUACGUGUUUGUGUACUAACCCAUGGUCUUUGUGAGAGUCCUAUGUGGGGGUUAGGUGUGCUUCCAUGGGCUUGCGUCAAAAGGAAGAUCUCAUACAAUCCAUGAAGGAUGACGUCAAGUGGUGAUCGUCAUCAAGGUUGUGGUGUGCAAGUUCAAGUGGAUCAGCACGAAUAUAUCAUUGAAACUAUUGUUAAUGAUCAUGUGUUGAUAAGGACAAGCUCAUCUGCUAACAAGGACAAGAUCAAGAUAAGCAUUCCUGAGCACUACAUGCUUGAUUCUUGUGGAUGUUCACAUGGUGGACAAAUAAAGAUGAACACAUAAGCUAGGCUUUCCACAUUGUGUAUGCGAGAGCUACUUGAAGACUUCAUGAUGUCUUGCCUUCAACUUGAGCCAAGAAGGAACAACAACAUCAAGCUCAAGUGAAAGGGCUAACUCAAAGGUAUCAGUUCCUUUGACGUUAGUGGUGCGGAGUGAUGAUCACCGAAUAAAAGUAUACACUCAAGUAUGGAUCACCAGUACCCCUUUUAUGAUUCUUGAGUCUUUAUGGAUCCCGCACUAUUAAGAGGGGAUCACAGGUUUUGCGAUGAACUUGCUCAAACUACAUCUCUACUUUUCUGAUCAUACCACAUCUCCACUGCUCUGCUGUUAUCUGAAAACAGAACCAAUGCCUCGGACAUCCGGCUUCCUCCGGACGUCCGGGGGACGGACGCCCGACCACUUCAGAAAUCCGGAACCUUAUACCAGAGAAAUCCAGAGUCAAAUAACUCGGACCUCCGGCUCUCUCCGGAUGUCCGAGGCCCGGACGUCCGACCCCCUUCGGAAAACCGGAACCUUGCACCAGAAGAAAUUUGAGUCAAAUAACUCGGACUUCCGGCCUCCUCCUGACGUCUGAAGGCCGGACGUCCGGCUCUCUCCGGACGUCCGGCUUCCUCCGGACGUCCGGUCCCUGUUCGACUACACAGUGGUUCCUGAUAUAUAUACAUCCCUCGGACGACCAACCCCUAUUGGACGUCCGACCCCUUGUGGGAGUCCGGACGUCCGACCACUGUCAGACUUAAGUGACCCCAACGGUCACUUUCCCUUCUCCACUAUAAAUACCCCCUCCCACUUCGUCAGAGGGGGCCCAACACAGCCAUAUCCUCAUAAGAACACAUUUCUACCUCACACACAUUUGCUCACACCAAAUCUUAGAUCCCAAGAGCAUUUGUGAGCCCCUUUGAGAGUUGUUCCAAUCAAAAGAUAGAUCGUCUCCCUCUCCUCCUCUCAACCCAAGCUAUUUGAGAUUUGAGCAAGUUUUGAGCAUUCCCCGUGAUCUUGUUACUCUUGGAGGUUGGAGACUCCUAGGCGGUAGGAGUUCUUUGGAGAGGAAUCAAUCCGUGUGAUUUCCCCCGGAAAAGUUUGUGAGGGUUUGGAAGCCACCUCAAAGGCUUACCACUACUGGUUGAGAAACGCCUUCGUGGUGUUAUCUCAAAGGGAGAAUAGGGUGAGCCUUCAUGACGUUGGUGUGCCUUCGUGGUAACAUCCACCUCUCUAACGGUGACUAGCUUCCCUCCAAGGAAGUAAACAUCGGGAUACAUCUUCGUCUCAGUGACCUUGGUUAUCCUUAACCCUAACUCCUUACUUGUGGUUUACUUGUGUUACUUGAUCAUACAUACAUUGCAUAUUGUUUGUGCUCAUUAUAUUGUGUUGGCUAUUUCUUUGUACAAGAUUAAUCGUUCAAGCAUACCCUCUAUAUCCACACGUUCACACAUGCAACUUUUGAUAUAUCGUGUGCUAUAGUGUGAUCUAGUAUCUUGUGUCGUUCACCUACUUGUCGUGUGAUAUAGCUCAAGUAAGUUUGUGUAACUUACUUGUGCUUGUUAGUUACCGUGUUGUGUCCAUCUUGGUAGAUCGUGUUGUUGGUGCAUGUUGCGGUGCCUAUUGCAUUUAGGAUUUGUGCUUGAAAAGUAUCCUCUUAGUUUAUUUCCGCAUUAGGUUUAAGCCAAAUCAGAAGAAGUUUUUAAAUAGCCUAUUCACCCCCCUCUAGGCGUCAUCGUGCUCCUUUAAAAAAGAGAGGCCCAGCCUCCAUAGAAGGGGAUCUGAUUCCCAUCAUCUCCUCUAGGGCAAGAACCCACCUUUGUACUCUUCUUACACCUCUAGCAAUACCAAAACAAGUAGGAGUAGAGUUUUACACGAUGAGGUGUCCCAAGCCUCGGUAAACUACCGUGUGUUCUAAGUUUGCUUCCCUUAGCUCGUCCUGUCGGAGAGUCGCUAUGAAGUUGAGAGAUAGAAUUGGGUAGGAGAGCGAGCGCACCCAAGAGUUCAAACCUUUUCUUGGGUCUGCGGAUCCUCGAUUCUGACAACUUCUUCAAGAGGAAGAGUGAGACCCAAUAAACCAUCAUUGACUUUGCCAAUGAAGCUCAACAUCAACAUGAGGCAAAGGUAUUGAUGAUUAGAAGGGACAAGGGCACCGAGUUUAAGAACUACACCUUAAAUGAGUUUCUUAGUGAUGACGGGAUCAAGCACCAAUAAUCCGCACCAUAUACCACUCAAAAAAUGGUUUUGCCAAAGGAAGAACCGGAUGUUGAUGGAUGCGGCAAGGACCAUGAUGGCGGAAUUCAAAUCUCCAUAGAACUUUUGGGCCCAAGCCAUCAACACCGCAUGGCAUGCAUCUAAUCGGUUAUACCUCCACAAAGGCUUGAACAAGAAUCCUUUUGAAAUUCUUACUGUAACAAGCCCAACCUCAAGUACUUCUGGGUGUUCGGUUGUAAGUGUUUCAUUCUCAAGAAAGGUGUUCGUUUGUCUAAAUUUGAACCUAGAGCUCAAGAGGACAUGUUUGUUGGUUAUGCUACGAACUCUCAUGCUUACCGUGUCCUCAACAAGUUCAAUGUACUCGUUGAGGAGACGUGUAACGUGGAGUUUGAUGAAAAUAAUGGCUCCCAGGUGGAGCAAAGUGGUCUUUGUGAUGUAGGUGAUGAAAUUCCUCCCCGAGCCAUAAGAAGAAUGGUUGUGGGACACUUCCUACCCAUUGAGGAUCCCCUUGUGGCCGAAGGAGAAGGACAAUGUUCCAUGCAAGUGGAACCAUCACUCACGCAAGACCCACACGCUUACAAAGAACAAAGUGAAGGCCCUCAACCAAGUGAUCAAGAUCAAGGAUGAGAUCAACUUCAUGAUGAUGGUGAUACACCAAGUGAUGUCCAAGAUCAAGCUCACACCAUCGAGCAAGUUCGUUAUCAAGAGGAAGCUAAAUAUCAUGAGCAAUAUCAAUAUCAAGACCAAGCUCACAAAGGCUCUCAAGGUCAUAAAAAUGUUGCUCCUCAACUUUCAAUAGUACAUUCUAGAAACACGAGUCGCCAAGAUUGCUUCCAAGCUUGAACAUAAACAACAUGUUUUGGAGAAUGUCCAUGGAAGCUUAAAUAAAGGUGUGACCACUCGUAGGCAAUUAACAAACUUUUGUGCUCAUCAUGUGUUUGUUUCUUGCAUAGAAUCCCUAAAGGUACAAGAAGCGCUCGAGGACAUGGAGUGUCUUGAAGCCAUGCAUGAUGAACUCAACAACUUCGAGCGCAACAAAGUGUGGCGGUUGGUGCCAAGACCAACGGAAUGCCACAAUGUCACUGAAACCAAAUGGAUCUUUAAGAACAAGCAAGAUGUGAAUGGUGUCGUCAUUCGCAACAACGCAAGAUUGGUGGCACAAGGCUACUCCCAAGUCGAGGGUAUCGACUAUGGUUAAACCUUUUAUCUCGUUGAUCGCCUUAAAUCUAUUCGCAUGUUGCUUGCAUAUGCAUCUCACCAUGAUUUCAAAUUAUAUCAAAUGGAUGUGAAGAGUGCAUUUCUUAAUGGUCCUCUUAAGGAGUUGGUAUAUGUCAAGCAACCCCUAGGGUUCGAGGAUCCCAAGUUCCCCAAUCAUGUAUACAUGCUUGAUAAGGCACUCUAUGGCCUUAAACAAGCCCCACACGUGUGGUGUGAGCACCUUACUAAGAUGUUGCAAGAUCGUGGGUUUGAAAUUGUGAAAAAUUAUCCCACUCUUUUCACGAAGAAGGUUAAAGGGAACUUGAUCAUAUGCCAACUAUAUGUUGAUGAUAUUAUGUUUUGUUCUCCUAACAAAACUUUUAAUGGAGAGUUUGUCGCACUAAUGACCAAAGAGUUUGAGAUGUCUAUCAUGGGAGAGUUGAAGUUCUUCCUUGGAUUCGAAGUCAAGAAAUGAAGUCAAGGAACCUUCAUCAACCAAGCAAAAUACACUUAAGACAUGAUCAAGAGGUUCAAGAUGGCUGAACUCAAAACGGCCAAGGCAAACACUCCCAUGCCACUCAAAUGCCAACUUGACAGUGAUCCCAAUGGUAAAGCUAUGGAUAAAAAGGUAUAACGCUCCUUGAUUGGAUCUUUGCUUGACGUUUGUGCAUCUAGACUGGAUAUCAUGUUGAGUGUGGGAAUUUCCGCACGAUUUAAAUCCGUACCAAAGAAAAGUCACUUCGUGGAGGUCAAGCGAGUCUUUUGAUAUUUGGCUCAUACCCCAAACUUUGGUUUAUGGUACCCCAAAGGAGCUUCAUUUGAUCACAUAGGAUAUUCGAACUCGGAUUGGGCGGGAGACCAUGUGGAGAGGAAGUCAACUACUGGAGGGUUCCAAUUCCUUGGUUGCUCUUCGGUAAGUUGGUCUUCGAAGAAACAAAAUUGUGUUUCUCUCUUGUUCGUCGAGGUCGACUAUGUAGCCGUCGCAAGUUGUUGUUCACAAUUACUUUGCAUGAGGCAAACUUUAAAGGAUUAUGGUGUCACUUGUGAUGAAGUGACUAUUUACCUUGACAACAAAAGUGCAAUUCAUAUCUCUAACAACUCGGUUCAACACUACAAGACGAAGCAUAUUGAGAUUCUUCACCACUUUAUCCAGGAGCAUAUCAAACGUGGGGAGAUUGAUCUUAUUCACCUUAAAACCCAUGAUCAACUUGCCGAUAUUUUCACGAAUCCAUUGGAUGGAUCAAUAUUUCGCGAGUAAAGCAUGAGCUAAAUAUCAUCGAUUCAUGCAAUGUGGAUUGAAGUUUUGCACACCCACCACUCUCAUCAUAUUAUCUUUUUUAGAUGUAGGCAUGGGUCUAGGGGAGUGUUAUUCUCUCAAUAAACUCUCCCUCCCCCUAUUAUGUGUAAAUUGGUCAAGCCUUUCACAUUAGUCAUUUUUGACGAAGCUUGUGCUUCAAAGAUGAGUUUUGGUCAUCGACCCAAGGUUAAAAUCUUUGUGGUGCUAUACCAAUUGACUCAAGCAUAGGUGGAUUCGGCCACCGCCCCUCCUAGUGAGGCAUUUGCAUUUGGGAGCUUAUUCAUGUGUUGUGUCACUCUAAGUUUGUUUUUCUUCAUGUUUGGACUAUUGAAACUUGGAGUGUCUCCCCUCGUUUGGAUGUUUUUGAGUGUCUCCAUCCCAAGUUUAUCUAUUCCUCAAACUCAUAACUUGCGCAAGUUUUUUUUGCUUUUGGGUCAUUUUUUGUUUGCAAGCGGUACUACUGCUCGGUCUGGCCAGUACUACUGCUCAAGCGGUACUACCGUGCCAUCCCACGGCACCACCGCUUCAGGGACUCCUCAAUGGUUAAAGUGGUGGGAAGGGGGAGUUAUAACUCCCCUAUACCCUUUCACUCCUCCCCUUCGAGUUCUCUCUCUCAAGUGACCAAAAACUCCCCUGAAGGCUGGCCCCGAAUCCCCCGUUCCAUGCCAUCCUUCGCAUUUCCAUUCAGUGCGAUUAAUCCCCUCUUCUUCCUCGUGCCAUGGACACCGGUAUUGCCCUCGUUUUUUUCUAUUUGUCUUUAGUUUUUGAAUCUUAGAUCUAGGGAAAUGCACAAGGUUUCCUUGUUUUUUUGCGAAAUCUAGGCAUGUGUAGGACAUGAAAUGGAUGCUAGAUAGAGAUAGUAGUUGAUGGUCAUCGGAAGUAUCGAUUUUUUGGUCACCGAUACUGCAGGAUCCCCGCUGCAGAAGUGGCACUGAGGUCUGGGCGGCACUACCGCUGGUGCCCGACCGAAACUACCGCUCCGGCACUGCGGUAUUACCGCUUAGCUCUCGAUGGUACUACCACCACUAGGCGCGGUACUACCGCUUGUGACCUUGUACUCCAGAUUUCCUAUGGUUCAACCUCUCGUUUCUUUAUUGUUUUUCUUUGGCUUAUGUAAUGGCUUUACACCAUCUCUUCCUUCGUUCCUUCUUUGUGAGUUAUAGGUGAUGGAUGCUCCAUUCCUCCAACUCGCCGCAUGAAUCCAAGCACGUCUAGUGGUUGCAAGCGUUUCCGAUCGUCUCAGGAAACUGAGGCUGAUUCUAGUUCUCAACCCCAACGGCAACCUAUGAAGAAGACUGUUGGCAAAAAGAAGGCCGCCAAAGAUCCUCACGAUAUGAAUGCUGAGGAGUUUUUGGAUUUUCCUCUAUGCAACCCUUAUCACCUCCUUAGGACAAGAUACUUGUUGGUCGUCCCUUCUGGAACAAGGCUGGAUCCCUUAUAUAUGUGGGAGUUCUGAAGCACAAGACGAACCUCUAUGUGCAUGUCAAAUCUAUUGACACGGGGUACACGAGCAGCCGUCCUCACACUGAGUACUUUGCUGAAGAUCGUGCACUUUGUCAGCAGUGGGGUUUGUUUCCCAUUAUCAGUUUCAACAAGGACUUCGAUAGCGAGAUUGUGGCUCAAUUCUAUGCCACUUUUCACUUUCACCCUGAUGCAGAGAGAAACUUGUCAUGGAUGACUGGUAGUAGAGUGUUGCGCUCCAAUUAGAAGACCUUCGUGAACUCUUUGGGAUGUGUUGAUCGAGGUCUCGAUGAGCCUAUUGGACUCACGCCACACAAUGGAGUUGCAGCUAUUCACAAGUCCAAGCUUUUUUGGUAUUCCAGGGUGGUGCAGACUGCCAAGGGUUACCGCACUAAGCUCAUUCCUUUUAUGGACAUUAUGCAUCGUAUCUUUUGCAACACUAUGUUUCCUCACGCUGGGAACAAGUAUCAUGUUCACUCUUAUCUUGUGAAUCUGCUGCUUAUGUGCAUGAGGGAGAGGGGCAACAAAUCUACUUUGGAUGUUUCCCACAUUAUGUGGAGGGAGCUCCAUUUAGCUAUGCUUGAUAUGAAGGUGCCUAUCUAUGGCCCAUAUAUCUUUAAGAUGGUUGAGGAUACUUGGACUGCUACGUUUCCUAGUGAGCCUCUUGAGACUGACCACAUGGUGCAUCACGGUAUUCUUAAGCUCCGUGUGAAGGAGAAUUGGGGCUUUCCUCCUUCGGUUCCUGAGAAUGCCCCCAGUGACUCCGAUGAUGAGCCAGAGCCAGACUAUGAGUUUGCUCCAUCGUUUGAGAAUGAACCUUCAUGGGCUUCCAAGGUUAAGGAAAAGAUGAAGAAUCUUCUUUGCUUCACAUCAAGGGUCAGUACAAGGCACAUGUAGAGGCCAAGAAGGCUUGCAGCCGCGAAAAUAUGAUCAUGAGGGAGAUUAGUAUGGAUGUUCACAGUGGGUCUGAGGAGAGUAACACUGACGAGGAGGAGUGGAUCAAGAAGAACUAUCCGUGGGUUGAGUCAGAGGAGGAUGUAUUUGCGGCUUGUGCUGGGUGCAAGGAUGAUGAGGAUGAGGCGGACUGAGCUCACCAUCACUUUGGAUCGUCUUAGUCCUCUCUUCCCCUUUUGGUGUCUCGAUGCCAAAGGGGGAGAGAGUGUUUAGGAAUUUGGUAGAUUUGCUGAGUCACGAGUGUUUUAUUUGUAUGUGUGUGUUUCUUCACUCAUGAAAUUUUUUAUUUGCUUCCUUUGGUUUAUGAUCUCCAGACUUAUGAGUACUUAAUUAUGGUGUAAGACAUAUUCUACCUCUCCUACUUAUUGUUAUGUCUAAAUUAUUUGGUUUAUGAGAUUAUAUUUCCUAUGCUUACUUACAUGCUCAUAACUCUUAUUUCGCAAGUUUGCAAGUAUACAACCUUAUCUAUAAAAUAUAGGAGGAGUGGUGAUCCUAGUGUGUGCUCUUUGCAUUCCAAAGGCAUAUUAAAAUAGAGAACGCAUCUAGGGGGAGUAUGUCUAUAUUUUGUAGAUGUUGGGUUUGCUUACGCCUCAUUGUUUAUCUUAAAUAGCAUAUCCUUUGUUGUCAUCAACCCACCAAAAGGGGGAGAUUGCAAGAGCAUAAUUUUCCUUAAGUAGUUUUGGUGGUUUAUGACAAUGCCAUUUGCGGACUAACCGUGUGCAUUAAGCUUUCACAGAAUAACACGUGGCACGAGACGGUUUUCUACCCCUCAGUGGUUAAAAGAGAGGAAGGUUAUUUUCUCUUGAUUUAAUGUUGGUGGACUCAAGUUGUAGGAAAAUCUGUACUAUCAAGAAGGGGUCCGCAUUUGGGAAGGUUGGGUGGAAUCAUCACGUACGUACUUGCACACCUUUCCCUUCCAGGAACUUUGGAGCUCCUAUUCCAUCCAAGAUAGCCUGAGUUUCACCUAAGCGGAAGUAUCGGUCCGGAGAGCGGAAGUACCGCUGCAGCGGUACUACUGCCCUACGGUGCAGUAGCCACUUCCGCUUAUAUGAAAUGGUGGAGGCUUUGCCUUUGUUAAGCGGGAAGUACCGUUGGGGUGGAAGUGACAGUACCGCUCGGGCGGUACUGCCGGCCUCCACUUCCAUGGUACUAGCUCUUAUUUUUUGCUCCCUGGGUAACUACCUUGCUCGAGGUAAAUUAGAGUGACAGUAAUCAAUGGUAGUAUCGCUGCGCACGGUACUGUCAUACUGCCCUCCUCUCAUUUCGCUAAACCCCACUUCCUAUAGUGCUAUGCGGAAGUAACACUCGCAAGGAAGUGGUGGUGCCGCUAUGGAGGCACUAUUGCCCCCUCUGGUUGUGUCAGCUGUAUGGGAGCCCGGAACUUCCGGGCAAGCGGAAGCACCGCUCACCAGAGCGGUACUACCGCUUAUCUGCGUCCUAUGAGGAGAAAACUAGAGUGACAGUAAUCAGCGGUAGUAUCGCUGCGCACGGUACUAUCGUACUGCCCUCCUCUCAUUUGGCUAAACCCCACUUCCUAUAGUGCUAUGCGGAAGUAACACUCGCAAGGAACUGGUGGUGCCGCUAUGGAGGCACUACUGCCCCCUCUGGCUGUGUCAGCUGUAUGGGAGCCUGGAACUUCCGGGCAAGCGGAAGCACCGCUCACCAGAGCGGUACUACCGCUUAUCUGCGUCCUAUGAGGAGAAAACAGUGAGAUUUUCUUCCACUAUACAAGUGGGUCUUCUUCUCCAAGUGGACUUAACUCUUUCCCAAAAAGCUCCAUUGUUGCUCCUGAGCUCAUUCUUGCUCGAUCUCUCUCCCUAGCCAUCGAAUCUUGUUGAUGCUCUAGGGUUUGGAGGAGAAGGCCUUGAUAGGGUUUAGGGUUAGGAAGGCCUUGAUCUACACUUCCAGCAAGAGAAAUUUUAUCCCCCACUAAUCCCUUGCAGAUCUUGUUACUCGUGGGUGUUUGAGCACCCUAGACGGAAGAGGUCACCUCAAAUCCAUAUUCCAUUGUGAUGAAGCUUUGUGGUGUUGUUGGGAGCCUCCAAUUAAGUUGUGGAGAUUGCCCCAACCUUGUUUGUAAAGCUUCAAGUGCACUACUAAUGUAAUCAUGGUAUCUCACAUUUUGUGAGGCGUGAGGAGAAUACGAUGGCCUUAGUGGAAUCUUGAGGAGCAUUGUGCUUCCACACCGCUCCAACGGAGACGUACUUCCCCUCAAAGAGAAGGAACUUAGGUAACACAUCCUCGUCUUCACCAUCUCCACUUGUGGUUACUUCUUACCUUUAGUUUGUACUUCUUUCUUGCUUCUUAUUUUUGUUGUUAGCAUAUAGGUUGCUCACCUAGUUGCAUAUCUAGACAACCUAUUUGUUGGUAAACUUAAUUUGUUAAAGAAAAGCUAAAAAAUGAUAGUUGCCUAUUCGCCCCCCUCUAGUCAACCAUACGGAUCCUUUCAACAGGCUCAUGAUUGUGUAUAUAGUUCACUCGAAGUAUAUACCGAAAAAGACUUCCGCUUCGCUUUAUAUAUAAAGCAAUGACGGACAACAAGUCGGUAUAACGCACGCGAUCACAACAUACGUAAACACCCAGGGCGAUAUACAAAGGCACUAAGCGCAACAACAACACCUCAAGCACUACAAGAGCAGGUGGAUCCUUGACCAUGAACACGCCACCGGAAGAGAUGAAGUUGCAUACAGUGGGCUCCAAGGCGGCGCCUUCAAGAAGGAUACAACACUGGAGCGGCGUCACCGCCCACUCCAGGGUCCGAGCUUCCCCUCGAGCAACACGAGGGCAAUGAAGGUCGCGAUGAGACCUUCAAUAAGGGAACAAGCCUCGCCGUCGCCGGUCCGUCUGUAGAUAAAACAAGUUUUAACCCCGGCCAGUACUCACCACCACCGAAUGCCACACCACGGCGACCAUGCCGCCCAGAUGACCAAGGUUACCGGGCAGCACCAAGCCAUAGGCUUUGACCAAGAGCUCCACGAUACCACCACCAGGGCCGGCGCCCCGACAUCCAAGACCUCAACGCGACCUCACCCACCACCCACCGCUACCCCAACCAAGGAGACGAGUGGAAAGUCACCGCCUUUUGCACCUUAAGCUGGCUCCAACACUGAGACCCAAUAGGCCGGCCAAAACUGGCCUCCAUCGACACGUCCUACCGCUGGGCACGAGGCGAGAUCGGUCCUACCUCUUGGCACGAGACGAGUCCAGUUGUGUUGCCGGGCGCGAGACAAGUCCGGUCCUGCGUACGGGUGUGAGAUGAGCUCGGUCUUGUCAUUGAACGGGAGACGAGUGAUGGACCGUGACUGGGAGAGGGCCAACCCUUUGAUGAAGCUAGCGCCCAGACGACAAGGAGAGGAAUUGAAGGUCCACAAGGGCGCUCAUCGACCGGCCGAAGCCAAAGAAGACCACACUCCAUCGUGAAACAACACAGACCACCGCUAUGAGCCACCACCAUGCCGUGGCAGCUCACAUCCACCAGGACCCCGACAGGCAGCCUCGAGCCAUCCUAUAGUAGAAAUGCCCUACUCUUGCCGCCAAAGGUCGCCAUACGCAAAGCCGACCAAAGCCCACAUCGCCACCAGCACCACCACCACCACUGCGUCGUCACCUCCCACCAACCGACCGCCACGGCAUGGGGCGACUACCCGCAGCCCAGGCCGCCCGUGGCCUGCACCUCGCGAGGGCCAGAUCCAAGCACCCCAAAGCAGCAAAUGGCGCAUCCGGUCACUGCGAGUGCCACGCCACUAGGACGCCCUAUACAAGGCCGACACCCGUUGCCCAAACGACACCAGCGUGGCCGUGUGGCACCGGCCGCCGGCCAACGAUGCACCCCGCCCGCCGCCAACACCCAUGCCGAGGCCACCGAACGAGGGGACGGGUGAAGCUCCACCGCCAUCGGCAUGGCCCGGGCGAACGAGCAUCGACGAGGGAGGAGGGAGAGGUGGUGGCAGGUGUGGCGGCGACACAGCCUAGGUUCAUCCUCGGUCGCACGCGGGGCAACGCGAAAGGGAGGGGGGAAAGCCAAAAGCUCGGGCUUGGGUUUGGGAUUGAUCGGAUCGGAUUAUUGUUGACCACUUAAAGUAUAUCAGGUGAGAUCAGAAUGCUAAGAUAAUUGGAAAAUAUUUGUUUUCAACCGGAUGAUUUCUUCCUCUCUUAAACCGGCUCCCGUGUGCGGCACGUGUCCCGUGGCUCGCCAUCCAUCACUCCAGCACAUCCUUAUCUCCUCGCAAGCACUCUUCUCCACUCGUUUUCUUGCUUUUCCCCUUUCUUACUCAUUGGUAACUAGAGGAGAGGUCAUCAAUCCACCACAGCUUGGAACCGAGAGGCAUCGCCACCGAAGACAGCAAGAGGCUACUCUGCCCCCACCCAGCUGCUACAAUCCCACCAUGGGCAGCUGCCAUUUAUGUAAGGAGGAGAGGGUCACACCGUUGACAAGCACAUGAGGACCCCAUAUCCGCUUCACAACAAUGAGCAAGCAACGCGUCGCGGCAUCCGCCAACAUCGUCGCUGUUGCAUCACUGCAUCCGUCGUCGCCGUUGUGCGCUGCAUCGCAUCAUCCAUCGCUGCUGACACGUGUUGUCCUUGCCGAGCGCUGCAUCGAAGCAUAUGUCGGAGCGGCCGUGUGAUGUCGUUGUUGCAUAAUUGCAUCCGCCAUUGUCGUCGCAUGCUCCGUCGCAGCAUAUGUCGGCGCCGGUGCUGUCAUGGAGCAUCGUCGAGGGUGGUCGGGGCUCCAUUAUAGCGCGACAACAUCGUUGAAUCCUCCGUCGGGAUGCUAUGAAGUGCCGCCAAAAGCUGCAAUGAUCAUUGCUAGAGCUACAUUGAAGCUUCACCACUGCUCGUCGGCGCUACAAUGGCGUGCUCGCCGACGCUCCUGACGCUGCAAUGGAGCGACAGACUGGUCAUUGCUUGCCCGCGCUGCAAUGGAUCGCUUGCCAGCUCCCGCCGCCGCAAUAGAGCGUUUCAUCGACGGUAUCGGAGCUGCAAUGGAGCUCUCAUCGGAGAUCUCGCCACUGCUCAUCGAUGCUCCGGGCGCUGCAACGGAGCAAGUGACGGCCAACGGAGGAUGUGGUCAACUGGUCAAUUGUGUCGGGAGCAAGCAGUGGCUCGCUGCGAUGCAGGAUGACAGGAACCGCGAGAGACAAAAGUAACGGUUGUGAUGGUACACAUCUAACGACAGUGGAGGUGACUUACGUUUCCCUCAAAUCAACCGAAUGAUCCGUAGCAGCCUACAAGAUAAUUGUACUCCUACACGCAAAGCUAAAAAUAAGUUGGAUGAAUUAGCCACACGGUUUAUGAUAUAAAUGCAAAGAUUGAUGAGUACAUAUAGCACACCGGAUAUCAAAGUUGUCGGAAUUGCAAUUCUGAAUUGGAUCGAAGCUCUGUCGCUAGGAUCGUGAAUCGUAGAAUCAUAACUAUCAGGAUCGUAGAAACUUAGAUUUUAUGAGCAAAAUCGUAAAAUCGGAGGGGCUAGUCUGGAUCGUAACAUCCUAAGAUUCUAAGACUUGGGUCACGAUUCUGACAACUUUACCGGAUAUAAUACAAGAGUGUUAAUUAUAAUAAAUAAAAAGUUCAAAAGAAUUAAAUAAAAGAGACCAAUUCGAGAAAAAUACUUGACGUGAGAUGGCAUGAUAGCAUUACGUGGAAACACGCCUUUGGUGACUACAAAGAAGAGUGUGCGCAAAACGAUUUAGGCGCUUUACACUUUAAAUCCGGGUGGUGUGAUGGGAACCCGGUUGGUUUACAACCCCUCCGGACCAUGCAGAAAACAUCCUUAUGUUUUAAGUGAUUUUCACCUGUUAAAAUUUAUCAACCAAUUUCUUAGUCCGACGAGAGCUAGUCGGCAACUCCGUAAAAAUAAAGUUGCAAUCUUCUGUAUGAGAUGUUCGGCUCCAUAUAUAUUUCACAUGUUCCGGAUUAUAACUUGUAUAACAUUCUUUUUAAAUUAGAUGAAAAUAGAAAUGUUUUAUUGUAUUUAUUCAUUUAUUUCAGUUCAUAUGCAGUUCAUUGUAAAGACGUAUAUAUCCCUCUAUAAAGAAAGCUCUUGUAUAAUUACACUUACAUGGAAAGUUAUCUUCGGCUCCCUAGCUCAUUUGAACUCGAAAUGAACAGUAGAAUAAUAAUAAAAAGAAAAUUCAUUCAUAAAAUUCUGAUUUUUUUUGGUGCAAACAUUGACAAGUUUUUCGUGCACAUAUCAUUUCAUCUUGAAAAGUCAUUCGUAGAGGCUGUGCUAAAAAAUCAAAAUCAACACUUGGAAAUGUUUUUUUACCACAAUUUCCAUGAAAGCCAUUUCAAUAUGGAAUUUUGGAAGCUCAUAAAACUUUUGUCAAUAUUUUCAUUAAAAAAAUCAGAAAUUUUUGGAUUUGUUAUUUUAUUUUAUUGUUCGCCGAGCUCAAAAGAGCUUGAGCUAAGAAACUACACUUCCCACUUACAUGUGCUUUUAACUAGCCCUGCUUGAUAAUACUAUGUUUUUUACAGUACCGCCUUGGGACUCCAUUGCCAUUAAAACGAAAAUGAAAAAGAAAAUGCACGCACAUGCAUGCCUUCCAUCUUCUGCAUACCGAGCUCACAAUCUACCACCAUGAUUUCUAUGAAUGACCAAACAAACGCAAAGUUGAAAAGAUCCAGCCGGUCAAACAGGGAACGGGAAAGCGGCUUUAUUAGUAGUGGCGCGAUGAUGAGGUUACGGCCGCACCCGUGCGCCUCGGCGUGUCGCAUAUUUGGGCUAUGAAGUGGAGAGCAUACCCCCGUGUGGGUGCGGUGGGCCCCACCGUCGACGCCACCACACCGUAUCCGUUUUCCAUCACCCCGCGAGUCUGUCCAUCGGUUUGGCUGACGUGCGCGGCCCGACGCCGGGGCCCGCCCUUCAGUGGGGCUGGCGUUUCCGUGGACGCCUGAUUGGACAAGUCGCUGGAAAAUGUUUUUUGGGCAACGGGGCCCCGCGUCGUGACCCAGCACGUGCGCCUGUCGCUGGACCACCGGCGAGAGACGCCCCUGGCCGUUUGAUUCAGAUUCUGGUUGAUAUCGUCCGUCCGCAGGGGGGGCGGGGUGGGGCCCGCGCGUCUGUGGCCGAGCACUGUCGUUGGGUGGGGUGGUGGGUGUGCCGGGUACGCGCAAUCUGCCGUUAGAUCGCCCCCGCCCACUUUGUCUUUGCUGACGGGAAAAAACUGGUUACGUUACGCGACGCUGUUCCAUGCGUGCGUAGUGACCACUGACCAGUCACGCCAUUUGCUGUUUCUUUGACCUGAUCGGCCCAAAGCGAACCGGAUUUGAUUGCCACCGUACAUCUUCUGUGCGUACCUCGCCGUAACGUAGUCCUAGUACUAGCAUAGCUCGUUUUUUCAAAGGUUUAGCCUAGGGUUCGUUGGGUAAAAAAGUUUAGCCCGGGGUUUUUCGGUCGUCAAGCUCUGUGCUGCCAUGAGGGCAUGUACGUGGCAUUUUCAUGUUUAUAAUGGGUUAUCUUUUAGGUUUAUCUUCAAUAACUAGGCAAGACAUAUUAUGCUAAGAAAUUAUGUCUUGUCAUAAAUCUUUUUUAUGAUUUUUCUCUCUUUCACCUUAUCAUUUAGAAACAAUUCUUUAUUUAGUAUUAUCUUAAAUUUCGUUUUCUUUUUUGACAUUGAACAAUUGUUUCUUUCCUAUAUAAUAACGAGUCUAAAUUUUAUGUCCUUUAUGAUAUUUUUGUUCAUUUUAAGCCUAAAUGACAUCUGAAAAGACUCUUUUAGCCCUCAUGUGAUAUGUGUGUGAUGGACAGUAGCACGCAUAAUAUCAAUGCGGAUAGUAGCACACACAACGACUGUAAGACACACGCAACAACACACACAUUAGCACAUACAUAACAUCACACAAACACGAGCGUACACAUGUAACCAUGCACACACACAACACCACACACAAGUAGCAGCUCAUGCAGCAACGCACGCGCGUAGCAACGCAUGAAGUAGCACACGCGCGCACACACAAACACGUAGCAACACACACGCAAUAUCAAUAGCAUGCAUGUGCACGCCCGCACACACGCAACAACACAGACACAAGCAUAUCAUAUGAGGGGCAAAAUGGUUUUUUCAAGUGUCAUUUAGGGCUAAAACGGACAAAAGUGUUAUAAAAGACAUAAAAUUUAGACUUGUUGUUAUAUAGGGAAGAAAUAAUUUGUCGAUGUCAAAUAAAGCAUAAAAUUUAAGCAUGGUGUUAAAUAAAGAAUUAUGUCUAUCAUUUAUCCUACAUGAUAUUUCUAAGAUAGAACCAUUGUACAUGCCGUGAGCCCCCUCCUACGUCCCCUGUUCGGCCGAUUGACCUAUCUGUUGACUCCCUCGCGCUCCUUCUGCGCCCUCUCCCAAGCUAAUCACGAGAACAACCCUCUAGACCUAGUUGGGUGUGGGAGUGGUUAAUGCUUGGGGUUCGACAAGUAUCAUAUUCUAUUAUGUUUGCGUUCAUGGCGGAAGGAACGGAUCCGAGGGCAUGGGUUUGGAUGGUCCAAGUGCCCUACUUGAGUGGCUAAAUCUACAAGAUGAUGAGAUAGGUGAUAUUGUUUAAGAAGGUGAAGUUGAUGUUGAGAAAGUCACACUGAAGUGGCUAGCGCUAGGGUGGAUGCUUAUGAGGAAGGUCUUCACUCAAAGCGCCCCGAUUGCACACAUGUAUGAUGUUUGGAAUCCUGCUUAGGUGGUCAUGUGGAGGAGAAUAAAUUUGAACAUGUUCUUGGUGUAGUUUAACUAUUUAGGAGAUUGGAACAAAGCAAUGCAUGAGAACCCAUGGUUUCUUCGUGGAUAGAGGAUGAUUCUUGUUGGGUAUGAUGGGGUUUUAUUUCUGACCCUGAAAAGAUGAAGCUGUACAAACUUGAGAUCAUGUGUGAGGUCCACAAACUUUCGGAUGAUGUACUAAAGAACAAGAUCUUCUUCGAGAAUUUAGCAAAGCGGAUAGGUGAGGUUCAUGAUGUUUACUAUGCAACUUUAUUCUUGUAGACGUUGUUGGGCAUCCAAGUGUAAAGUUUUGUAGGACAACAACAAAUUUCUCUCAAGUGAAUGAACUAAGGUUUAUUAAUCCGUGGGAGGUGUAGGAUGAACAUGAUCUCUCUCAAAAAAUCCAGCAAUCAAUUCAACAAAUCUCUUUUGUCUCCAAUACACCAAAUACAAUGGAAAAUUGUAAAGGUGCAUUAGUUCGACGAAGAGAUGGUGAUACAAGUGCAGUCCAUAGCCGCCACACUCCCUGACACGGUCCCUCCCGGGCGUGUGGGGCUUCGGGUCCUCAAAAGCAUCCGCCGACUGUCUUGCGUAUCGCACUGUCGGUCGGGUCUCCUUCGACGUGAGUUGUGGUGCAUCAUCCCCAGCAUCGAGGGUCCACAUGACGUGUUCGUGUGUCAACAGAUAGCUUUGCAUGAUAUUGGAGAACUAAAAUAUGAAAAGUAGUUGCCGCACUAAAUAGAGUUAGAAUAUAUCAGGUCAGAAUAUAUUACAAAUAGCAAGUGUGGAAUAAUGAUGGUAUGGUGUGCGGAAUCAUCCAGAGGAAUUGAUAAUAAGACCGGUAACCAUUCUUGCAAUUUUAUAUGAGGGAGAGGCAUGAUCUAACAUACUUUCCGUAAUUGGAUCAUAUCAACUUAUGAUUGGAUCUCUAGCAAGCAUCCACAACUACUAGAAAUCAUUAAGGUAAUCCGGACCAUAUCAUUAAACAUCAAGUCCCAUUUACUCUCAUACGCAAACAAUGCCCUUACUUGGGUGUAAGCUUCUAUCACUCUAGCCACCCACUAUAAGUGAAUCAUGAACAUAUUGCAACACCCUCCAGCGUGGAUCCUUCACAUGUGCGCCUCACAAAAGGCACCUUAGCAUAUCACCAAAAUAAAACAUACAUUCAAACCAAUCAAGAUCAUCCAUCAACCCAAAGGACAACAUAGAUCUACUCAAACAUCAUAGGAUGGAAACACAUCAUUGAUUAAUGUAUUGUGGCAUGAAACCGUGUUCUAGUAAGGGAUUAGAGCGGGGCGCGAGAGAGUGGAACACUGAAAAGAGAUGAGGAAGGUGAUGAAGACGGUGAUGUUGAUGAAGACGAUCACCGCGACAAUGGCUCCCCCGACGGCACUCUGGCGCCGCCGGAAGAGAGUGGGGGUGAGUCUCCCCCCUUAGGCUUCCUCCUCCAUGACCUCUCCCCGUCUAGGGAGGGGUUCUCCCUCUGGUACUUGGCCGCCAUGGCUCCCAGAGGGGCGAGAGCCCUCUGAGACCGGAUCUCUCUCUCGGGGGGCUCUGUUUCUCUCCUAUUUUCGUUGCUAUUUUUUGGCCCUUCACCGUUUCUGAAAUAUCCGGAGAUCCGUAACUCCGACCGGGCUGAAUUUUUAGGGGAUUUUUAUCGGAAAAAUAUCUCAGGUGCAGCGAAAGAAGGGACUCAACCGACUUAAGGGGUUUCCCAAGGCAUCACGCGUGGCUACCCCCCUAGUUGCGUCCUGUUACCUUGGGGGAGCCUGGGGCAUCGUGUGGCGUUUAUUCUUCUUCCCAAAAUUCACAUAUUUUCCAAAAAAGAUAUUUGUAUAUUUUAUCGCAUUUGUACUCCGUUUGAUAUGUAAUUUCUAUGAAACAAAAAACACACAGAAAAAGGAACACGCAUUGGGCACUGGAUAAGUAAGGUAGUCCCAAAAAUAAUUGAAAAUAUUCCCAAAAGUAUAUGAAAGUUGUAGAACAUUGGCAUGAAUACUUCAUAAAUUAUCGAAACAUUGGAUACAUAUCACCAUCCCCAAGCUUAGCUCCGGUUCGUCCUUGAGUAGGUAAAUGAUAAAAGAAAUAAUUUAUGAAGUGUGAAUGCUAGCAUAUUAUAUAAGUUCGAUCAAUGUUACUACCAAUUACUUUCUCUAGCAUCAUAAAACAAAAACUCUUUUCUCAUAGAACUUCUCAUGAUCAAGUAACAAGCUAUUCACAUGUUAAAGUAUAGACCAUUAACUUUCUUGAAAACUAGCAAACUAUGUUCUCAGUCAUCAAACAAUUAGUAUUCAUCUUAAUUUCGGGAAUGGUCUAUGUAAGAGCUUUGAUUUAGCAAAUUCCACAUACUAAACUAUCAUUUAGUCUUCCAUGAUUGCUGACACUCAAGACAUAUUUUUUUAGAACAAGCACUUUCAAUCAAAUAGAUAGGAAGAUAUGGGCUUAAUGUUCCGCCUCCCAACUUAUUCAUCUGAGGGAUACUGUCAACAAUAAUGAAUCAUGAUCGCCUAUAUCCAAUUGGAUAUAUGUGCCUGGAUCUUUCCCCACCACAUGAUGCUUGCCAACUAAUAGAAGUUGACUCAACAAGAAAAGUAAGUAACAUGAAAGUAAAUAGAUUGCCCCUUCGAAGAGGGCAGCAGGGAUUUGUGCCAUAGCUCAUUGUUUGAAAACAUAGAUGAAUAUGUAAUUUUGGAUGGUGUGCCUUUCAUGUCAAUGUCACAAUAGAGUUUUCAAUAUCAUCCAUAGAAAUUACAUUAUUGGCGAUUCCCAAACAUAAUUGAAAUUUUACACCCCCUCAACCAUUCAAUCACAUUCCAUGGCUAGCCGUAUCCACGGGUGCCCUCCAAACAAUCAACUUUCUAGGGGGAGUUCUUGUUUAUUUAAUUUUUGUAUUAUGCAGGACUGGGAAUCCUUUCUACCGGCCUCUCUCGGGCAAUGUCAAGUGAAUAAACACUCAUCAUGAGAAUAACUCACUUAUCAUGGAAGAUAAUGACCGCCUCGUCUCUCCAUGAGAAGUACGAGUACACAAAACAGAUGUUUAUUUGAAGGUUUUGGAGGUGACACAUGCAAAUUUACUUGGAAUGGCAGUGAAAUAGUAUAUAUAGGUAGGUAUCGUGGGCUCUCAUGGAAGAAACUUGGCUCAAGGGUUUGGAUGCACAAGUAGUAUCUCUACUUAGUAAUGAAUUUUGGGCUAGAAAAAGAUCUAAAGCAAGCACCACAUGUUAGAGGAUCCAUGACAAUAUAGCUUCUAUGUCAAUAUAAACAAACAUAACCAUUACAUUGUAUUCCUUGUCCAACGUCAACUACUUGAUCAAGUUUGAAAUUAAUUAAUGGGGGUGCACAAUCAUAGAAGAUGUCAAAGAUAGUAUAUUUAUAUGAGAAAUAUCUCUUCCUUCAAUAUUCUUUCAUGAACUGUUCGAGUGGCCAAUGCUAUGUUUGCUAACCUUCAAUGAAUUUUAUUGCUUAUACUCUUAGUCCUCUCCAUGGGACAAGCAUAUGAAGCAUACAUAAUUUCACAUUUUAUGACAUUCAAUUCAUUCCACAUUUUCUCUUAAGAUAUAAGUGAAGCACAAGAGCGAUCAUCAAACUACUCUCUGUUGGGUAACGUAACAUAAAUUCAAAAAAUUUCCUACGCAUAUUCAGAUAUUCCUAUGGAGAGACCAGCAACGAGAGAGGGGUGAGUGCAUCUUCAUACCUUUGAAGAUCGCUAAGCGGAAGCGUUGCUAGAACGCGGUUGAUGGAGUCAUACUCACGGCGAUUCAGAUCGCAGUGUGAUUCCGAUCUAGUGCCGAACCACGGCACCUCCGCGUUCAACACACGUGCAGCCCGGUGACGUCUCCUGCACCUUGAUCCAGCAAGAAGGAGGGAGAGGUUGCGGAAGAUCUCCGGCAGCACGACGGCAUGGUGUCGAUGGAGAGACGAGGUCUCCCGGCAGGGCUUCGCCAAGCACCGACAGAGAGGAGGAGAAGGAAGAGCAGGGCUGCGUCGAGGGAGAGGAAGAUUGGUGUCUCCAACAGCCCAAAGAGCCCACUAUAUUUAGGGGGAGGGAGGGGCUGCGCCCCCUUGAGGGUUUCCCUCUCCUGGGAGGGGCGGCAGCCCUAGAUGAGAGGAGGUGCGGCGGCCAGGGGGGGGGAGGAGGGAUGGCGCACCCUUCUGGUGGGCCUUAGGCCCACCUGCGCUAGGGUUUCCCCCUCUCCCCUCUUCUUGCGCCAUGGGCUGAGUGUGGGGGGGGGGCGCACUCAUACGUCUCAAACAUAUCUAUAAUUUUUUAUGGUUUCACGCUGUUAUCUUGUCUUCUUUGGUUGUUUUAUGUACCUUUUAUAUCUUUUUUGGGACUAACUUAUUAAUUCAGUGCCAAGUGCGAGUUCCUGUUUUUUUCGUGUUUUUGACUCUUUUCAGAUCUGAUUUUGGAAACGGAGUCCAAACGGAAGAAAAACCCCGAAAUGAUUUUUCCCAAACGGAAGAAGACCAGGGGGCUUUUGGGCCAAGCCAGGUGGGCUCGAGGGAGCCCACAAGCCCCCACUCCCCCCCCGGGGGGGAGGCGGCGAUGCGCAGACUUGUCGCCUCCCUGGCCGCCCCCUGACCUAGGUCUUUGGCCUAUGAAUUCCCAAAUAUUCCGCAAAAAAUCAGGGGAGCCUCGAAAAUACUUUUCCGCUGCCGCAAGCUUCCGUUUCCGCGAGAUCUCAUCUGGAGACCCUUCCCGGCACCCUGUCGGAGGGGACUUUGGAGUUGGAGGGCUUCUUCAUCGUCAUCAUCGCCCCUCCAAUGACUCGUGUGUAGUUCACUUCAGACCUACGGGUCCGUAGUUAGUAGCUAGAUGUCUUCUUCUCUCUCUUGGAUCUUCAAUACAAAGUUCCCCAUGAUCUUCAUGGAGAUCUAUCCGAUGUAAUCUUCUUUGGCAGUGUGUUUGUCGAGAUCCGAUGAAUUGUGGAUUUGUGAUCAGAUUAUCUAUGAUAUAUAUUUGAGUCUUUGCUGAUUUCUUAUAUGCAUGAUUUGAUAUCCUUGUAAGUCUCUCCGAGUCUUGGGUUUUGUUUGGCCAACUAGAUCUAUGAUUCUUGCAAUGGGAGAAGUGCUUGGUUUUGGGUUCUACCAUGUGGUGACCUUUCGCAGUGACAGUAGGGGCAGCAAGGCACACAUCAAGUAGUUGCCAUCAAGGGUAAAAAGAUGGGGUUUUUAUCAUUGGUUUGAGAUUAUCCCUCUACAUCAUGUCAUCUUGCUUAAGGUGUUACUCUGUUCUUAUGGACUUAAUACACUAGAUGCAUGCUGGAUAGCGGUCGAUGUGUGGAGUAACAUUAGUAGACGCAGAAAGUAUAGGUCUACUUGUUUCGGACGUGAUGCCUAUAGAAACAAUCAUUGCAUAGGUGUCGUCACGACUUUGCACGGUUCUAUCAAUUGCUCGAUAGUAAUUUGUUCACCCACCGUCUACUUGCUUUCAUGAGAGAAGCCACUAGUAAACACUACGGCUCCCGGGUCUAUUCACAUCCAUCGUUUACACCUCCGCUUUUACUUUUCUUUGUUACUUUGUUGCUUUGAGUUCUCACUUGGCAAACAAUCUAUAAGGGAUUGACAACCCCUUCAUAGUGUUGGGAGCAAGUUUUUGUGUUUGUGCAGGAUCUUGAGAUACUCCUCCACUGGAUUGAUACCUUGGUUCUCAAACUGAGGGAAGUACUUACCACCGCUACGCUACAUCACCCUUUCCGCUUCGAGGGAACACCAACGCAAGGCUCCAAGGCCACGGGGGAAAUCCUUUGCAUACUUUCCUAGGAAGUCCCUUAAGGCGUAGCCGCAGCUGAAGGAUUCCUGGUGCCGUUGCUGAGGAGUAUCAAGCAACACUCCUAUUUCUGGCGCCGUUGGAAGGUCUUUUGUUGCAGUAGCAGAAGUAUUUCUGGCGCCCUUGCCGGGGAUACACAGCUGACAUCAGAAGUAUUUCUGGUGCCGUUGCCGGGGAGGAGAAAUCAAGAUCUAUCCAAGUAGGUCUCACAAACUCUUCUCUUGCAUUUACUUUUGUUGCCAGUUGCCUCUCGUUUUCCUCUCCCCCACUUCACAUUUGCCGUUUUCAUUUGCCUUUCUCCUUCUCCGUUUUCUUUUGCUUUUUGCCUUUACCUUCCGCCCACCUGCUCUUAGGAUUGUUCGUGAGAGACUUUUCCUCAUGCCCAAACUAAACUAUUUUAGAAAAUUGGAGGAGAUUGAAACUAAUGUCAAAGGUUUCAUGUCUUCAUAGUUUGACCAAAAUAGUUACUUCCGUAGGGAAUUAAAAGAGCAAAAUUCAUUUAUGGUCUGCUUGAAUAAAGAGGUCGAUGAUAUGUCCAAUGACUUCCUUGCACUUAGUUCCCAGUUAGCUCAUCUUGAAAAAUUGGUGGGCCAAAUUUCUGACAAGCAGGCUACCUUAGUCAAUAAGAUGGCACCUAAACCUAAAAUUUGUGAUGAAAAUCACGAGGAUCUUAAAGUGCUUGGUGUGUCUCCUCUUGAAUCUUUGUUUUCACGUGUCAAGCCUACUUAUGGAGGGGCUGGAUAUGAAUCCACUUUGGUUGAAAAAUGCCCCAAUGAUUCGGAGUCCACCUAUCUUGAUGAUAAAUGUGUGGAGAGUGGAGUAGAAGAAGUCAAAAAAUUUGGUAGUAAUGAAACUCCCACUUUGGAUUUCAAGGAAUUCAAUUAUGAUAAUUGCUCCUUGUUUGAAUGCAUUUCUUUGAUGCAAUCCAUUGCAAACUCUCCACAUGCUUAUAGCCAAAGCAAAGCCUUUAUCGCGCAUAUCGUAGAUGCUAUGAUGAAAUCUCUUGAAGAGAAGCUUGAACUAGAAGUCUCUAUACCUAGAAAACUUCAUGAUGAGUGGGAACCUACUAUCAAAAUCAAUAUCAAAAACUAUGAGUGCAAUGCUUUGUGUGAUUUGGGUGCUAGUGUUUCCGCGAUUCCAAAGUCUUUAUGUGAUAUUCUUGGCUUUCAUGAGAUUGAAGAGUGUUCUCUUAAUUUGCAUCUUGAGGAUUCUAGUGUCAAGACAGCCAUGGGGAGGAUCGAUGAUGUUCUUAUUCUUGCAAAUAAGAACUAUGUACCCGUGGAUUUCAUUGUACUUGACAUAGAUUGCAAUCCUUCAUGCCCCAUUAUUCUUGGUAGAACUUUCCUAAGGACUAUUGGUGCUAUCAUCGAUAUGAAGGAAGGGAAUAUUAGGUUUCAAUUUCCUUUAAAGAAGGGAAUGUGGCACUUUCCUAGAAAGAAAAUAAGAUUGUCUUAUGAAUCUAUGAUGAGGGCUACUUAUGGUUUGAGCACCAAAGAUGAAUAUACGUGAUUCCAUCACUUUCGCCUAGCUAAGGGUGUUAAACAAAAGCGCUUGUUGGGAGACAACCCAACGAAUCUAUCCCUUUUCUUUCUGUUUUGUGUUUUCCACACUUUCAUAAUUCUGUUAUGGUUGUGUUUUUGUGUUUAUUUUUUGCGUUUGUGCCAAGCAAAACCGUUAUGAUUAGUCUUGGGGAUGAUCGUUUGGUCAUGCUGGAAAAGACAUAAACUUUCUGCUCACGAAAAGAAUUUUCAUUUUUUUUCUGUAAGAGCUUUUGGUCAUACUUGUCUAGGAAGUCCCUUAAGGCGUAGCCGUAGCUGAAGGAUUCCUGGUGCCGUUGCUGAGGAGUAUCAAGCAACACUCCUAUUUCUGGCGCCGUUGGAAGGUCUUUUGUUGCAGUAGCACGCACCAGCCCACCUAGGGGCUGGUUCCCUCCCGCACUUGGCCCAUCUAGCCUCCCGGGGUGGUGGCCCCCUUCCGGCGGACCCCCGGGGCCACUUCCGAUGGUCCCGGUACGUUACCGGCGAUGCCCGAAACACUUCCGGAGUCCAAAACCAUCCGUCCUAUAUAUCAAUCUUUACCUUCGAACCAUUCCGGAGCUCCUCGUGACGUCCAGGAUCUCAUCCGGGACUCCGAACAACUUUUAAUAACCUUGUAUAACAAUUCCCUAUAACCCUAGCGUCAUCGAACCUUAAGUGUGUAGACCCUACGGGUUCGGGAGACUUGGAGACAUGACCGAGACACCUCUCCGGCCAAUAACCAUCAGCGGGGUCUGGAUACCCAUGGUGGCUCCCACUUGCUCCACGAUGAUCUCAUCGGGUGAACCACGAUGUCAAUGAUUCAAUCAAUCCCGUAUACAAUUCCCUUUGUCUGUCGGUAUAAAACUUGCCCGAGAUUCGAUCGUCGGUAUACCUAUACCUUGUUCAACCUCGUUACUGGUAAGUCUCUUUACUCGUUCCGUAGCACUUCAUCGUGUGACUAACUCCUUAGGCACAUUGAGCUCAUGAUGAUGUUCUACCGAGUGGGCCCAGAGAUACCUCUCCGUCACGCGGAGUGACAAAUCCCGACCUUGAUUCGUACCAACCCAACAGACACUUUCAGAGGUACCCGUAGUGCACCUUUAUAGUCACCCAGUUACGUUGUGACGUUUGAUACACCCAAAGCACUCCUACGGUAUCCGGGAGUUGCACAAUCUCACGGUCGAAGGAAAAGACACUUGACAUUAGAAAAGCUUUAGCAUACGAACAAUACGAUCUAGUGCUACGCUUAGGAUUGGGUCUUGUCCAUCACAUCAUUCUCCCAAUGACGUGAUCCCGUUAUCAAUGACAUCUAAUGUCCAUGACCAGGAAACCAUGAUCAUCUAUUGACUAAUGAGCUAGCCAACUAGAGGCUUGCUAGGGACACAUUGUGAUCUAUUUAUUCACACAUGUAUUACUGUUGCGUGUUAAUACAAUUAUAGCAUGAACAAUAGACGAUUAUCAUGAACAAGGACAUAUGAUAAUAACCAUUUUAUUACUGCCUGUAGGGCAUAUUUCCAACAGUCUCCCACUUGCACUAGAGUCAAUAAUCUAGUUACAUUGUGAUGUAUCGAACACCCAUAGCAUUAUGGUGUUGAUCAUGUUUUGCUCGUGGAAGAGGUUUAGUCAACGGGUCUGCAACAUUCAGAUCCGUAUGUACUUUACAAAUCUCUAUCACUCCACUCUGGACAUGGUCCUGGAUGGAGUUGUAGCGGUGUUUGAUGUGCUUCGUCUUCCGGUGAAACCUAGGCUCCUUGGCUAUGUCAAUGGCCCCAGUGUUAUCACAGAAGAGUGUCAUUGGACCCGACGCGCUUGGAACCACUCCAAGGUCGGUGAUGAGCUCCUUCAUCCAAAUUCGUUCAUGAGCUGCUUCUGAAACAGCUAUGUACUCCGCUUCACAUGUAGACGCUGCCACGACUUCUUGCUUGCUGCUGCACUAGCUCACUGCCCCACCAUUCAAAACGUAUCCGGUCUAUGACUUAGAGUCAUCCGGAUCUUUGUCGAAGCUAGCGUCGACGUAACCUUUUACGACGAGCUCUUCGUCACCUCCAUAAACGAGAAAAAUUUCCUUAGUCCUCUUCAGGUACUUAAGGAUAUUCUUGACCGAUGUCCAGUGUUCCAUACCAGGAUCACUUUGGUACCUCCCUACCAAACUUAUGGCAAGGUUUAUAUCAGGUCUGGUACACAGCAUGGCAUACAUUAGAGAGCCUACGGCUGAAGCGUAGGGGACAGUAUUCAUCUUCUCUCUAUCUGCUGCCGUGGUCGUUGACUGAGUCUUACUCAACCUCAUACCUUGUAAAACUGGCGAGAACCCUUUCUUUGAGUUUUCCAUAUUGAACUUCUUCAAUAUCUUGUCAAGGUAUGUACUUUGCGAAAAACCUAUGAGGCGCCUCGAUCUAUCUCUAUAGAUCUUGAUCCCUAAUAUGUAUGCAGCUUCUCCAAGGUCCUUCAUUGAAAAACUCUUGUUCAAAUAGGCCUUUAUGCUCUCCAACAUCUCUAUUUUAUUCUCCAUCAAUAAUAUGUCAUCCACAUACAGUAUGAGGAAAGCUACAGAGCUCCCACUCACUUUCUUGUACAGACAGGCUUCUCCGUAAACCUGUAUGAACCCAAACGCUUAAAUCACCUCAUUAAAGCGAAUGUUCAAACUCCGAGAUGCUUGCACUAGCCCAUAGAUGGAGCGUUGGAGCUUGCACACUUUGUUAGCACCCUUAGGGUCGAAAAAACCUUCUGGUUGCAUCAUAUACAACUCUUCCUUAAGGUUCCCGUUAAGGAACGCUGUUUUGACGUCCAUUUGCCUAAUUUCAUAAUCAUAAAAGGCGUAAAUUGCUAACAUGAUUCGUACUGAUUUCAGCUUCGCUACGGGAGAGAAAGUCUGUUCGUUUUCAAUUCCUUGAAUUUGUCGAAAACCCUUUGCGACAAGUCGAGCUUUAUUAACAGUUACAUUACCGUUUGCAUCAGUCUUCUUCUUGAAGAUCCAUUUAUUUUCUUUGGCUCGCUGGUCAUCGGGCAAGUCUACCAAAGUCCAUACUUUGUUCUCAUACAUGGAUCCUAUCUCAGAUUUCAUAGCUUCAAGCCAUUUGUUGGAAUCCGGGCCCGCCAUCGCUUCUUCAUAGUUCGAAGGUUCACCGUUGUCUAACAACAUGAUUUCCAUCACAGGGUUGCCGUACCACUCUGGUGCGGAGCAUGCCCUUGUGGACCUUCGCGGUUUAGUAGUAACUUGAUCUGAAGCUUCAUGAUCAUUAUCAUUAACUUCCUCUUCAGUUGGUGCAGGCGCCACAGAAACAACUUCCCGCACUGUGCUACUUUCCUGUUCGAGAGGGGGUGCAAUUACCUCAUCAAGUUCUACCUUCCUCCCACUUACUUCUUUCGAAAGAAACUCUUUCUCUAGAAAGGAUACGUUCUUGGCAACAAAGGUUUUACCUUCGGAUCUAAGAUAGAAGGUAUGCCCAAUAGUUUCCUUAGGGUAUCCUAUGAAUACGCAUUUCUCCGCUUUGGGUUCGAGCUUUUCUGGUUGAAGUUUCUUCACAUAAGCAUCGCAGCCCCAAACUUUAAGAAACGACAACUUCGGUUUCUUGCCAAACCAUAGUUCAUACGAUGUCGUCUCAACGGAUUUAGACGGUGCCCUAUGUAAAGUGAAUGCUGCAGUUUGUAAUGCGUAUCCCCAAAAUGAUAGCGGUAAGUCGGUAAGAGACAUCAUAGAUCGUACCAUAUCUAAUAAAGUGCGAUUACGACGUUCAGACAAUCCGUUGCGUUGCGGUGUGCCAGGCGGCGUCAGUUGUGAAACGAUUCCACACUUCCUUAGGUGUGUUCCAAACUCGUGACUCAAAUAUUCUCCUCCACGAUGAGAUCGUAGACACUUAAUUUUUCUGUCUGGUUGAUUCUCGACCUCACUCUGAAAUUCCUUGAACUUUUCAAAUGUCCCAGAUUUGUGCUUCAUCAAGUAGAUAUACCCAUACCUACUCAAAUCAUCGCUGAGAGUGAGAACAUAACGAUAGCCACCGCGAGCUUCAACGUUCAUUGGACUACACACAUCAGUAUGUAUUAUUUCCAAUAAGUCGGUUGCUCUCUCCAUUAUUCCUGAGAACGGAGUCUUAGUCAUCUUGCCCAUGAGGCACGGUUCGCAUGUGUCAAAUGAUUCAAAGUCAAGAGACUCUAAUAGUCCAUGAGUAUGGAGCUUCUUCAUGCGCUUAACACCGAUAUGACCAAGGUGGCAGUGCCACAAGUAUGUGGGACUAUCAUUAUCAACUUUAAAUCUUUUGGUGCUCACACUAUGAAUAUGUGUGACAUCACGAUCGAGAUUCAUCAAGAAUAAACCAUUCACCAGCGGAGCAUGACCAUAAAACAUAUCACUCGUAUAAAUAGAACAACCAUUAUUCUCUGACUUAAAUGAGUACCCGUCUCGCAUUAAACAAGACCCUCAUACAAUGUUCAUGCUCAAAGCUGGUACUAAAUAACAAUUAUUAAGGUUGAAAACUAAUUCCGACGGUAGAUGUAGAGGCAUCAUGCUGACGGCGAUCACAUCGACCUUGGAGCCAUUCCCGACGCGCAUCGUCACCUCGUCCUUGGCGAGCCUCCGCUUAUUCCGCAGUUCCUGCUUUGAGUUGCAAAUGUGAGCAACAACACCGGUAUCAAAUACCCAGGAGCUACUACGAGCGCUGGUAAGGUACACAUCAAUAAGAUGUAUAUCAUAUAUACCUUUAAUGUUGCCGGCCUUCUUGUCUGCUAAGUACUUGGGGCAGUUUCGCUUCCAGUGACCUUUUCCCUUGCAAUAGAAGCACUCAGUCUCAGGCUUGGGUCCAUUCUUUUUCUUCUUCCCGGCAUCUGGCUUACCGGGCGUGGCAACCACUUUGCCGUCUUUCUUGAAGUUCUUCUUACCCUUGCCCUUCUUGAAACUAGUGGUCUUGUUAACCAUCAACACUUGAUGCUCUUUCUUGAUUUCUACUUCUGCAGACUUGAGCAUCGAGUACAACUCGGGAAUGGUGUUCUCCAUCCCUUGCAUGUCGUAGUUCAACACAAAACCUUUGUAGCUUGGUGGGAGAGACUGGAGUAUUCUGUCAAUUAUAGCAUCAUCCGGAAGUUCGACUCCAAGUGAAGUCAGACGACCGUGUAACCCAGACAUUUUGAGUAUGUGCUCACUGACAGAACUGUUCUCCUCCAUCUUAUAGAUAAAGAACUUGUCGGAGACUUCAUAUCUCUCGACACGGGCAUGAGCUUGAAAAACUACUUUCAGCUCUUGGAACAUCUCAUAUGCACCGUGUUGCUCAAAACGCCUUUGGAGCCCCGUUUCCAAACUGUAUAACAUGCCACACCUAACCACAGAGUAGUCAUCACUCCGCGUUUGCUAGACGUUCAGAAUGUCCUGGGCUGCUACGGGAGCAGGAGGGUCACCUAGCGGCGCAUCAAGGACAUAAGCCUUUUUAGUUGCUUCAAGGAUGAGCUUCAAGUUGCGAACCCAGUCCGCAUAGUUGCUACCAUCAUCUUUCAGCUUGUUUUUCUCUAGGAAUGCGUUGAAAUUGAGGUUGAGUUGGCCAUCUACAAUAUUUAUAAAGACAACUUUUAGACUAAGUUCAUGACAAAUUAAGUUCAUUUAAUCAAAUUAACUAUGAACUCCCACUUAAAUCGACAUCCCUCUAGUCAUCUAAGUGAUACAUGAUCCAUGUUGACUAACCCGUGUCCGAUCAUCACGUGAGACGGACUAGUCACCAUGGUGAGCAACUUCAUGCUGAUCGUAUUCAACCAUACGACUCAUGUUCGACCUUUCGGUCUCUUGUAUUCGAGUUCAUGUCUGUACAUGCUAAGCUCGUCGAGUCAACCUAGGUGUUUCACAUGUGUAAAUCUGGCUUACACCCGUUGUAUGCGGACGUUAGAAUCUAUCACACCCGAUCAUCACGUGGUGCUUCGAGACAAUGAUCCUUCGCAACGGUGCACACUUAGGGGAAUACGUUCCCGAAAUUUUAAGAGGGAUCAUCUUAUUAUGCUGCCGCCGUUCUAAGCAAUAAGAUGAAAAACAUGAUAAACAUCACAAUGCAAUCAUAUAGUGACAUGAUAUGGCCAUUAUCAUCUUUGCUCUUUCGAUCUCCAUCUUCAGGCAUCGCAUGAUCAUCAUUGUCACCGGCGUGACACCCUGAUCUCCAUCAUCAUGAUCUCCAUCUUCGUGCCUCCAUGAAGUCGUCAUGCCAACUACUACUAUCACUACUACUAUAGCUAACCGUUAGCAAUGAAGUAAAAGUAGUAAGCACAUGGCGUUGCAUCUCAUACAAUAAAUUAAGACAACUCCUAUGGCUCCUGCCGGUUGUCAUACUCAUCGACAUGCAAGUCGUGAAACCUAUUACAAUAACAUGAUCAUCUCAUACAUCAUACAUGCAACAUCACAACUUUGGCCAUAUCACAUCACAUGUCAAACCCUGCAAAAACAAGUUAGACGUCCUCUAAUUGUUGUUGCAAGUUUUACGUGGCUGAUUUGGGUUUCUAGCAAGAACGCUUUCUUACCUACGUGACAACCACAACGAUGAUAUGCCAAAGCUAUUUACCCUUCAUAAGGACCCUUUUCAUCAAAUCCAAUCCGACUAGAGUAGGAGAGACACACACCCGCUAGCCACCUUUAUGCACGGUGUGCAUGUGUGUCGGUGGAACCAGCCUCACAUAAGCGUACGUGUAAUGUCGGUCCAGGCCACUUCAUCCCACAAUACCGCCGGAAAAGAAUAAGACUAGUAGCGGCAAGCAAUUGAGAAAUCAUCGCCCACAACCUUUUGUGUUCUACUCGUGCAUAGAAUCUACACAUAGAAAACAUGGCUCGGAUGCCACUGUUGGGUAACGUAGCAUAAAUUCAAAAAAAUUCCUACGCAUAUUCAGAUCUUCCUAUGGAGAGACCAGCAACAAGAGAGGGGUGAAUGCAUCUUCAUACCUUUGAAGAUCGCUAAGCGGAAGCAUUGCUAGAACGCGGUUAAUGGAGUCGUACUCGCGGCGAUUCACAUCGCGGUGUGAUUCCGAUCUAGUGCCGAACCACGACACCUCCGCGUUCAACACACGUGCAGCCCGGUGACGUCUCCUGCACCUUGAUCCAGCAAGAAGGAUGGAGAGGUUGCGGAAGAUCUCCGACAGCACGACGCCAUGGUGUCGAUGGAGAGACGAAGUCUCCCGGCAGGGCUUCGCCAUGCACCGGCAUAGAGGAGGAGAAGGAAGAGCAGGGUUGCGCCGAGGGAGAGGAAGAUUGGUGUCUCCAACAGCCCAAAGUGCCCACUAUAUAUAGGGGGAGGGAGGGGCUGUUCCCCCUUGAGGGUUUCCCUCUCCUGGGAGGGGCGGCAGCCCUAGAUGGGAGGAGGUGCGGCGGCCAAGGGGGGAGGAGGGGUGGCGCACCCUUCUGGUGGGCCUUAGGCCCACCUGCGCUAGGGUUUCCCCCCUCUCCCCUCUUCUUGCCCAUGGGCUGAGUGUGGGGGGCGCACCUGAUGGGGAACGUCGCAUGGGAAACAAAAAGUUUCCUACGCGCACGAAGACCUAUCAUGGUGAUGUCCAUCUACGAGAGGGGAUGAGUGAUCUACGUACCCUUGUAGACCGUACAGGAGAAGCGUUAGUGAACGCGGUUGAUGUAGUGGAACGUCCUCACGUCCCUCGAUCCUUAAGCGUAGGAUUCAUAUAAUCCCGUAUGUCCAAUAGCGGGACCUGGAUGCCCAUAUUGGAUCGUACAUAUUCUACGAAGAUCUUAUCGUUUGAACCUCAGUGUCAAGGAUUCAUAUUAUCCCGUAUGUCAUUCCCUUUGUCCUUCGGUAUGUUACUUGCCCGAGAUUCGAUCGUCAGUAUCCGCAUACCUAUUUCAAUCUCGUUUACCGGCAAGUCUCUUUACUCGUUCCGUAAUACAAGAUCCCGCAACUUACACUAUGUCACAUUGCUUGCAAGGCUUGUGUGUGAUGUUGUAUUACCGAGUGGGCCCCGAGAUACCUCUCCGUCACAUGGAGUGACAAAUCCCAGUCUUGAUCCAUACUAACUCAACUAACACCUUCGGAGAUACCUGUAGAGCAUCUUUAUAGUCACCCAGUUACGUUGCGACGUUUGAUACACACAAAGUAUUCCUCCGGUGUCAGUGAGUUAUAUGAUCUCAUGGUCAUAGGAACAAAUACUUGACACGCAGAAAACAGUAGCAACAAAAUGACACGAUCAACAUGCUACGUCUAUUAGUUUGGGUCUAGUCCAUCACGUGAUUCUCCUAAUGACAUGAUCCAGUUAUCAAGCAACAACACCUUGUUCAUAAUCAGAAGACACUGACUAUCUUUGAUCAACCGGCUAGCCAACUAGAGGCUUGCUAGGGACAGUGUUUUGUCUAUGUAUCCACACAUGUAAAUGAGUCUUCAUUCAAUACAAUUAUAGCAUGGAUAAUAAACGAUUAUCUUGAUACAGGAAUUAUAAUAAUAACUAUAUUUAUUAUUGCCUCUAGGGCAUAAUUCCAACAGUCUCCCACUUGCAUUAGAGUCAAUAAUCUAGCCCUCACAUCAUCAUGCGAAUUACAUUGUAAUAAAUCUAACACCCAUACAGUUCUGGUGUUGAUCAUGCUUUGGCCGUGGAAGAGGUUUAGUCAGCGGGUCUGCUACAUUCAGAUCCGUGUGCACUUUGCAUAUAUUUACGUCCUCCCCCUCGACGUAGUCGCGGAUGAGGUUGAAGCGUCGUUUGAUGUGUCUGGACUUCUUGUGAAACCGUGGUUCCUUUGCUAAGGCAAUGGCACCCGUGUUGUCACAGAACAAGGUUAUUGGAUUCAGUGCGCUUGGCACCACUCCAAGAUCCGUCAUGAACUGCUUCAUCCAGACACCCUCCUUAGCCGCCUCCGAGGCAGCCAUGUACUCCGCUUCACAUGUAGAAUCCGCUACGACGCUUUGCUUGGAACUGCACCAGCUUACUGCACCCCCAUUAAGAAUAAAUACGUAUCCGGUUUGCGACUUAGAGUCGUUCGGAUCUGUGUCAAAGCUUGCAUUGACGUAACCUUUUACGGCGAGCUCUUCGUCACCUCCAUACAAGAGAAACAUCUCCUUAGUCCUUUUCAGGUACUUCAGGAUAUUCUUGACCGCUGUCCAGUGAUCCACUCCUGGAUUACUCUGGAACCUACCUGCCAUACUUAUGCCAGGCUAACGUCCGGUCUAGUGCACAGCAUUGCAUACAUGAUAGAGCCUAUGGCUGAAGCAUAGGGGACGGAGCGCAUAUGCUCUCUAUCCUCAUCAGUUGCUGGGCACUGAGUCUUACUCAAUCUCGUACCUUGUAAAACUGGCAAGAACCCCUUCUUGGACUGUUCCAUUUUGAACCUCUUCAAAACUUUAUCAAGGUAUGUGCUUUGUGAAAGUCCUAUCAGGCGUUUUGAUCUAUCCCUAUAGAUCUUAAUGCCUAGAAUGUAAGCAGCUUCUCCUAGGUCCUUCAUAGAGAAACUUUUAUUCAAGUAAUCCUUUAUGCUCUCCAAAAACUCUACGUUGUUUCCAAUCAGCAAUAUGUCAUCCACAUAUAAUAUUAGAAACGCCACAGAGCUCCCACUCACUUUCUUGUAAAUACAAGAUUCUCCAACCACUUGUAUAAACCCAAAUGCUUUGAUCACCUCAUCAAAGCGUUUGUUCCAACUCCGAGAUGCUUGCACCAGUCCAUAAAUGGAUCGCUGGAGCUUACAUACCUUGUUAGCAUUCUUAGGAUCGACAAAACCUUCGGGUUGCAUCAUAUACAAUUCUUCCUUAAGGAAACCGUUAAGGAACGCCGUUUUGACAUCCAUCUGCCAGAUUUCAUAAUCGAAAAAUGCAGCUAUUGCUAACAUGAUUCUAACGGACUUAAGCAUCGCUACGGGUGAGAAUGUCUCAUAGUAGUCAACUCCUUGAACUUGUGAAAAACCCUUUGCCACAAGUCGAGCUUUAUAAACGGUCACAUUGCCGUCAUCGUCCGUCUUCCUCUUAAAGAUCCAUUUGUUCUGAAUAGCCUUGCGGCCCUCAGGCAGUACCUCCAAAGUCCACACUUUGUUCUCAUACAUGGAUCCUAUCUCGGACUUCAUGGCUUCUAGCCAUUUGUUGGAAUCUGGGCCCACCAUUGCUUCUUCAUAAUUUGCAGGUUCAUUGUUGUCCAACAACAUGAUUGAUAAGACGGGAUUACCGUACCACUCUGGAGCAGCACGUGGUCUCGUCGACCUGCGUGGUUCGACAGAAACUUGAACCGGAGUUUCAUGAUCAUCAUCAUUAACUUCCUCCUCAACCGGCGUCACAACGACAGAGGUUUCCCCUUGCCCUGCACUACCAUCCAGAGGGAUGAGAGGUUCGACAACCUCGUCAAGUUCUAUCUUCCUCCCACUCAAUUCUCUCGAGAGAAACUCCUUCUCGAGAAAAGCUCCGUUUUUAGCAACAAACACUUUGCCCUCAGAUUUGAGAUAGAAGGUGUACCCAACUGUCUCUUUUGGGUAACCUAUGAAGACACACUUUUCCGCUUUGGGUUCCAGCUUUUCAGGCUGAAGCUUUUUGACAUAAGCAUCACAUCCCCAAACUUUAAGAAACGACAACUUUGGCCUUUUUCCAUACCACAGUUCGUAUGGCGUCGUCUCAACGGAUUUUGAUGGUGCCCUAUUUAAAGUGAAUGCAGCUGUUUCUAAUGCAUAACCCCAAAACGAUAACGGCAAAUCGGUAAGAGACAUCAUAGAUCGCACCAUCUCUAAUAAAGUACGAUUACGACGUUCGGACACACCAUUACGCUGUGGUGUUCCAGGCGGUGUCAACUGUGAAACAAUUCCACAUUGUCUUAAGUGAGCACCAAACUCGAAACUCAGAUAUUCACCCCCACGAUCAGACCGUAGGAACUUGAUCUUCUUGUUACGAUGAUUUUCAACUUCACUCUAAAAUUGCUUGAACUUUUCAAAUGUUUCAUACUUGUGCUUCAUCAAGUAGACAUAACCAUAUCUACUCAAAUCGUCAGUGAAGGUGAGAAAAUAACAAUAUCCGCCGCGUGCCUCCACGCUCAUCGGACCACACACAUCAGUAUGUAUGAUUUCCAACAAGUCACUUGCACGCUCCAUUGUUCCGGAGAACGGAGUCUUAGUCAUCUUUCCCAUGAGGCAUGGUUCGCACGUGUCAAGUGAAUCAAAGUCAAGUGACUCCAAAAGUCCAUCAGCAUGGAGUUUCUUCAUGCGGUUUACACUAAUAUGACCUAAGCGGCAGUGCCACAAAAAUAUGGCGCUAUCAUUGUUAACUCUAACUCUUUUGGUCUCAAUGUUAUGUAUGUGUGUAUCGCUAUCAAGAUUCAAUAUGAAAAAUCCUCUCACAUUGGGUGCAUGACCAUAAAAGAUGUUACUCAUAGAAAUAGAACAACCAUUAUUCUCUGACUUAAAAGAGUAACCGUCUCGCAAUAAACAAGAUCCAGAUAUAAUGUUCAUGCUCAACGCAGGCACUAAAUAACAAUGAUUUAAGUUCAUAACUAAUCCUGAUGGUAACUGAAGUGAAACUGUGCCGACGGCGAUUGCAUCAACCUUGGAACCAUUUCCUACGCGCAUCGUCACUUCAUCUUUCGCCAGCCUUCGUCUAUUCCGCAGUUCCUGUUUUGAGUUGUAAAUAUGAGCAACAGAACCAGUAUCGAAUACCCAGGCACUACUACGAGAGCCGGUUAAGUACACAUCAAUAACAUGUAUAUCAAAUAUACCUGAUUUUUCUUUGGCCGCCUUCUUAUCUGCCAGAUACUUGGGGCAAUUGCGCUUCGAGUGACCCAUACCCUUGCAAUAGUAACACUCUGUUUCAGGCUUAGGUCCAGCUUUGGGUUUCUUCGUCGGAUUGGCAACAGGCUUGCCGCUCUUCUUUGAAUUACCGUUCUUGCCUUUGCCGUUUCUCUUGAAACUAGUGGUCUUAUUCACCAUCAACACUUGAUGCUCUUUACAGAGUUCAGACUCUCGACUUUCAGCAUCACAAACAACUCGCUGGGAGACUUGUUCAUCCCUUGCAUGUUGUAGUUCAACACAAAGCCUUUAUAGCUUGGCGGCAGUGAUUGAAGGAUUCUGUCAGUGAUAGCCUCUUGCGGGAGUUCAAUCCCCAGCUCAGCUAGACGGUUUGAGUACCCAGACAUUUUGAGCACAUGUUCACUGACAGAUGAGUUCUCCUCCAUCUUGCAAGCAUAGAAUUUAUCGAAGGUCUCAUACCUCUCGAUUCGGGCAUUCUUCUGAAAGAUAAACUUCAACUCCUGGAACAUCUCAAAUGCUCCAUGACGCUCAAAGCGACGUUGAAGUCCCGGUUCUAAGCCAUACAAGACUGCACAUUGAACUACUGAGUAGUCCUCCUUACGUGCUAACCAAGCGUUCUUAACAUCCUGAUCAGCCGUAGCGGGUGGUUCAUCUCCUAGCGCAGCAUUAAGGACAUAAUCCUUCUUCCUAGCUUGUAAGAUUAGCUUAAGAUUACGAGCCCAGUCUACAAAGUUGCUUCCAUUAUCUUUCAACUUAGCUUUCUCUAGGAACGUAUUAAAAUUCAGGGUGACUGUCGCGUGAGCCAUGAUCUACAACACAAAUAUGUUCAAAGUGGACCUAGACUAUGUUCAAGAUAAUUAGAGUUUAACUUAAUCAAAUUAUUCGCUAAACUCCCACUCAAAAAGUACAUCUCUCUAGUCAUUUGAGUGGUUCAUGAUCCACUUACACUAGCUCAAGUCCGAUCAUCACGUGAGUUGAGUAUAGUUUCAGUGGUAAGCAUCCCUAUGCUAAUCAUAUCAUCUAUAUGAUUCAUGAUCGACCUUUCGGUCUCAUGUGUUCCGAGGCCAUGUCUGCACAUGCUAGGCUCGUCAAGCUUAACCCGAGUGUUCCGCGUGCGCAACUGUUUUGCACCCGUUGUAUGUGAACGUUGAGUCUAUCACACCCGAUCAUCACGUGGUGUCUCGAAACGACGAACUGUAGCAACGGUGCACAGUCGGGGAGAAGACAAUUUCGUCUUGAAAUUUUAGUGAGAGAUCACCUCAUAAUGCUACUGUCGUUCUAAGCAAAAUAAGGUGCAUAAAAGGAUUAACAUCACAUGCAAUUCAUAAGUGACAUGAUAUGGCCAUCAUCACGUGCUUCUUGAUCUCCAUCACCAAAGCGCCGGCACGAUCUUCUUGUCACCGGUGCCACACCAUGAUCUCCAUCAACGUGUCGCCAUCGGGGUUGUCGUGCUACUCAUGCUAUUACUACUAAAGCUACAUCCUAGAAAAAUAGCAAACGCAUCUGCAAGCACAAAUGUUAGUAUAAAGACAACCCUAUGGCUCCUGCCGGUUGCCGUACCAUCGACGUGCAAGUCGAUAUUAUCUAUUACAACAUGAUCAUCUCAUACAUCCAAUAUAUCACAUCACAUCGUUGGCCAUAUCACAUCACAAGCAUACCCUGCAAAAACAAGUUAGACGUCCUCUAAUUUUGUUGUUGCAUGUUUUACGUGGUGACCAUGGGUAUCUAGUAGGAUCGCAUCUUACAUACGCAAACACCACAACGGAGAUAUAUGAGUUUCUAUUUAACCUCAUCCAAGGACCUCCUCGGUAAAAUCCGAUUCAACUAAAGUUGGAGAAACCGACACUUGCGAGUCAUCUUUGAGCAACGGGGUUACUCGUAGCGAUGAAACCAGUCUCUCGUAAGCGUACGAGUAAUGUCGGUCCAAGCCGCUUCAAUCCAACAAUACCGCGGAAUCAAGAAAAGACUAAGGAGGGCAGCAAAACGCACAUCACCUCCCACAAAAACUUUUGUGUUCUACUCGAGAAGACAUCUACGCAUGAACCUAGCUCAUGAUGCCACUGAUGGGGAACGUCGCAUGGAAAACAAAAAAUUUCCUACGCGCACGAAGACCUAUCAUGGUGAUGUCCAUCUACGAGAGGGGAUGAGUGAUCUACGUACCCUUGUAGACCGUACAGCAGAAGCGUUAGUGAACGUGGUUGAUGUAGUGGAACGUCCUCACGUCCCUCGAUCCGCCCCGCGAACAAUCCCGCGAUCAGUCCCACGAUCUAGUACCGAACGGACGGCACCUCCGCGUUCAGCACACGAACAGCUUGACGAUGAUCUCGGCCUUCUUGAUCCAGCAAGAGAGACGGAGAGGUAGAAGAGUUCUCCGGCAGCGUGACGGCGCUCCGGAGGUUGGUGAUGACCUUGUCUCAGCAGGGCUUCGCCCGAGCUCCGCAGAAACGCGAUCUAGAGGAAAAACCGUGGAGGUAUGUGGUCGGGCUGCCGUGGAAAAGUCGUCUAAAAUCAGCCCAAAAACCUCCGUAUAUAUAGGUGGGAGAGGGGGGGCCUUGCCUUGGGGCUCAAGGAGCCCCAAGGGGGUCGGCCGAGCCAAGGGGGGAAGGUCUCCCCCCCCAAACCGAGUUGGACUUGGUUUGGUGGGUGGGAGUCCUUCCUUCCCUUCCCACCUCCUCCUUUUUUUUCUUUCUCUUUGAUUUUUCUUCCAAUGCGCAUAGGGCCCUUUUGGGCUGUCCCACCAGCCCACUAAGGGCUGGUGCGCCACCCUCAAGGCCUAUGGGCUUCCCCGGGGUGGGUUGCCCCCCCGGUGAACUCCCGGAACCCAUUCGUCAUUCCCGGUAACUCUGAAAACCUUCCGGUAAUCAAAUGAGGUCAUCCUAUAUAUCAAUCUUCGUUUCCGGACCAUUCCGGAAACCCUCGUGACGUCCGUGAUCUCAUCCGGGACUCCGAACAACAUUCGGUAACCAACCAUAUAACUCAAAUACGCAUAAAACAACGUCGAACCUUAAGUGUGCACACCCUGCGGGUUCGAGAACUAUGCAGACAUGACCCGAGAGACUUCUCGGUCAAUAUGCAAUAGCGGGACCUGGAUGCCCAUAUUGGAUCCUACAUAUUCUACGAAGAUCUUAUCGUUUGAACCUCAGUGUCAAGGAUUCAUAUAAUCCCGUAUGUCAUUCCCUUUGUCCUUCGGUAUGUUACUUGCCCGAGAUUCGAUCGUCAGUAUCCGCAUACCUAUUUCAAUCUCGUCUACCGGCAAGUCUCUUUACUCGUUCCAUAAUACAAGAUCCCGCAACUUACACUAAGUCACAUUGUUUGCAAGGCUUGUGUGUGAUGUUGUAUUACCGAGUGGGCCCCGAGAUACCUCUCCGUCACACGAAGUGACAAAUCCCAGUCUUGAUCCAUACUAACUCAACUAACACCUUCGGAGAUACCUGUAGAGCAUCUUUAUAGUCACCCAGUUACGUUGCGACGUUUGAUACACACAAAGUAUUCCUCCGGUGUGAGUGAGUUAUAUGAUCUCAUGGUCAUAGGAACAAAUACUUGACACGCAGAAAACAGUAGCAACAAAAUGACACGAUCAACAUGCUACGUCUAUUAGUUUGGGUCUAGUCCAUCACGUGAUUCUCCUAAUGACGUGAUCCAGUUAUCAAGCAACAACACCUUGUUCAUAAUCAGAAGACACUGACUAUCUUUGAUCAACUGGCUAGCCAACUAGAGGCUUCCUAGGGACAGUGUUUUGUCUAUGUAUCCACACAUGUAAAUGAGUCUUCAUUCAAUACAAUUAUAGCAUGGAUAAUAAACGAUUAUCUUGAUACAGGAAUUAUAAUAAUAACUAUAUUUGCCUCUAGGGCAUAAUUCCAACAGCACCAGCCCACCUAGGGGCUGGUUCCCUCCCGCACUUGGCCCAUCUAGCCUCCCGGGGUGGUGGCCCCCUUCCGGCGGACCCCCGGGGCCACUUCGGGUGAUCCCGGUGGUCCCGGUACGUUACCAGCCACGCCCGAAACACUUCCGGAGUCCAAAACCAUCCGUCCUAUAUAUCAAUCUUUACCUCCGGACCAUUCCGGAGCUCCUCGUGACAUCCGGGAUCUCAUCUGAGACGCCGAGCAACUUUCAAUAACCUCGUAUAACAAUUCCCUAUAACCCUAGCGUCAUCAAACCUUAAGUGUGUAGACCCUACGGGUUCGGGAGACAGGCAGACAUGACCGAGACACCUCUCCGGCCAAUAACCAUCAGCUGGAUAUGGAUACCCAUGGUGGCUCCCACUUUCUCGACGAUGAUCUCAUCGGAUGAACCACGAUGUCAAGUAUUCAAUCAAUCCCGUAUACAAUUCCCUUUGUCUGUCGGUAUAAAACUUGCCCGAGAUUCGAUCGUCGGUAUACCUAUACCUUGUUCAAUCUCGUUACCGGUAAGUCUCUUUACUCGUUCCGUAGCACGUCAUUGUGUGACUAACUCCUUAGUCACAUUGAGCUCAUGAUGAUGUUCUACCGAGUGGGCCCAGAGAUACCUCUCCGUCACGCGGAGUGACAAAUCCCGAUCUUGAUUCGUACCAACCCAACAAACACUUUCAGAGGUACCCGUAGUGCACCUUUAUAGUCACCCAGUUACGUUGUGACGUUUUAUACACCCAAAGCACUCCUACGGCAUCCGGGAGUUGCACAAUCUCACGGUCGAAGGAAAAGACACUUGACAUUAGAAAAGCUUUAGCAUACGAACAAUAAGAUCUAGUGCUACGCUUAGGAUUGGGUCUUGUCCAUCAUAUCAUUCUCCCAAUGAUGUGAUCCCGUUAUCAAUGACAUCUAAUGCCCAUGACCAGGAAACAAUGAUCAUCUAUUGACUAACGAGCUAGCGAACUAGAGGCUUGCUAGGGAUACAUAGUGAUCUAUUUAUUCACACAUGUAUUACUGUUUCCUGUUAAUACAAUUAUAAAAUGAACAAUAGACGAUUAUCAUGAAAAGGGGAAAUAUGAUAAUAACAAUUUUAUUAUUGCCUCUAGGGCAUAUUUCCAACACUCUCAACAAGAUAUAAGUGAAGUUCUUAGAGCAUUCUUUAAUGAAUACAGAGAGACCAAUAUCCAAGCUAAAAAUAUAUAAGUGAAGCACACAAAGCAUUCUAUAAACCCACCCUUACAAGAUUUAAGUGAAGCACACAAAGUAUUCUAUAAAUAAACCGAGGACUAUCUCAUACCAGCAUGGUGCAUAAAAAUAAAAGGGAAUAGUAAACACAAAAUAUGCUCCAAGAAUAGCACAAGUGAAUGAAUGAAAACUAAGGAUCAACAUUGUCUAACUAAUAAUUGUUGACGAAGAGAGGUGGGAUGCGUAGCAUCCCCAAGCUUAGAUGCUUAAAACUUCUGGUAAUAUUUACUAGGGGUACCUUGGGCAUCCCCAAGCUUGAGAUUUUUUAACCCGUUCAAUCCUCUAAUAUCUCGCUUUCACCUAAGUCUCAAAAACUUCAUCCACACAAAACUUGAAAAGAACUCGUGAGAUAGGUUAGUGCACAUAAGAAUAAAUCUACACUUCAUGUACUACAAAGGCAAGUUGCAUAAUAAUUUUCAAACAUUAGGUAUUGUAUACUAUCAUUUACAUAAUUUAUAUCUAUCAAUAUGAGCCAUGAAAACUCUAGGAUAAGUAGAUAACAAAGCUAUGACAACGAUCUUUCCAAAUAGGACAGUCUGUAGAAAUUCAUUUAAGCACUGUAAUUCUGUAUCUCCAAAAAUUUCUGAAAGUUUAGGAAAGGAUAAAUACUUUGUAUUCAAAAACUGUGUUAAAAUUUCAGAAACUUCCCACGUUCUAGUAAAAUAUGAUAAUUCAAACACUGUAGAAAAAGUUUCUGUUUUUACACAACACUCCCCACACAUGCAAUUAAAGCAUUUUAAAGGCAAUUCUUGGAAAUUUUUAUUGAUAAACAAGAAUACAAAUAACAUAAAGCAAAUACUAACAAAAUAAAAUUACUCUCCAAGCAAACACAUAUUGUGUGAUGGAUAAAAAUAUAGCUCCAAGUAAGAUAUACCGAUAGUGUUGAAGAAGAAAGAGGGGAUGCCAUCUAGGGCAUCCACAAGCUUAGACGCUUGAGUCUUCCUUGUAUAUUACCUUGGGGUGCCUUUGGCAUACCCAAUCUUUGGGUCUUGACGCUCCUUAUUCUCCUCAUAUCGGUAUCUCACCCAAACUUGAAAACUUCAAUCACACAAAACUUAACAAAAACCUUGUGAGAUCCUUAGGAUAAUAGGCAUAUCAUAAACUGUAGGUACUGUUAUAAAUUGAUUCAUAUUUAAUUAUUGCAUAAGGUACUCUAUUCUAACUUCUCCAUGACGUAUAGCCCCCGAUACAAUCCAUAGCAUCAUCAAAACAAGUAAACUAUGCAAGCAAAAACAGAAGUUGUCUAAAACAGAACUGUCUAUAAUGAUUAGCACAAAUACCAAAGUUGCAAACUCAUUUUUUUUGCAAAAUUAGGAGGGACUGGAUAAUUUGUAUAUUAAUGUUGUGUAAAAAAUCAUAUCAAAAAUACGUUCCAGUAAAAUCACGGAAAUUCUGCACUGGACGUCAAAGUUUCUAUUUUUGCACUGUAUCAAUUCUACUUGUUAUCCAAAUCAUCCUAAAGGCUUUCCUUUGCACAUUAAUGAAAUAGCACACACAAAACAUGAUAAAUACAAUAAUUUAAUCACAUGAACACACAAAAAUAUAAAGUAUAAGUAUUGGGUUGUCUCCCAAUAUACGCUUUUCCUUAGAGCCUUUUAGCUAGGCAUGAUAAUUUCAAUGCUGCUCACAUAAGGAUAGUUGAUGAAACAUGCAAAAUAGCAUCAUGAAUAUUAUGAUAAGGACAUUUUUUAUGGUAGAGUGGUUUAUACAAGGGUAUAAAUAUUUUUAUGAGAAACUUCCAUGAAAAAUUCUGCAUUGUUUCCAUUAGCAUGAACACAAGUGUUCAAGGUCGACCCUCACUUCUCCAUUGCAUAACUUUCCAAUCGCUUCUCUAAUAAAAGGCCCCCCCCCCCCCCAUUUUUUUGUGUUUUUAGUUUUUCAAAAUUUUAUUUAUUUCAUCCACAACUAAAGAAAUAAAACAAGAAAAGAUAAACAAAAGAAAAAACAAAAUCUACUUAGUGAUAGAGCAAACAAGCAUACACGAAAAUAUUAACCCCACGCUAUUGCUCCUCAACAACGGUGCUAGAAAAGAGCUUGAUAAUCCCUAAGUGCAAGGAAUCGUCGUACCAAUUUCCAAACAAGGAAGUGGUAAGUAUGGAGUGUGGAAACAACAAGUAACUAAAGGUAAGGUCAACAUUCUCUCAAGUCCUAUGUGCCACAGAUAAGACUGUACAUACAACGAACGUUUGCUUUUAUCUAGUAACGAGAAAUAAAACCGUGUUGUGGGUAUAAAGAGUAUAACUUUGCAUGAUAUUGGAGAACUAAAAUAUGAAAAUAGUCAAUGCCUAAGUAAAGUUAGAAUAUAUUACAAUAUAUUACAAAUAGUGAGUGUGGCAUAAUGAUGGUAUGUUGUGCGGAAUCAUCCUAGGUAAUUGAUAAGAAGAUCGAUAAUCAUUCUUGGAAUUUUAUAUGAGGGAGAGGCAUGAGCUUACAGGCUUUCAGUGACACCCGUGGAUUCAUGCUAAGUGUUCAUUGUAAUUAGGCUACAAUUACCCAGGAGAUUAAGCUAAUGCUUUUUCUAACCCAAGUUUGAUCGCUUUUGGAUUCAAUUCUUAAUUCAAUUUAUUUUGCAAUUCAAAUUCGUCUGAAAAGUGGAUUAAUUGCUUUUGCAAAUGUGAGAACUAAAAUCAUGGUUUGAUUGCAAAUAUUCCUUUAGUAUUUAUAAAAUAUGAACCACCAUGUUAUCAACUAUUUUGGUGCCCAAAAAUAAUUAUAACAAAGGGCAAAACAAUAAAUUGAAUACUUUUUUGAAUUAUGAAAAUUUCCAAACUUAUUCAAAUAAGUCCUAGAGUUUUCAUGGCACUGCUAUAAAUUGCAAUGUAUUUAAUGGACCACGUCCCAUAUUUUACAAAAGUCAACCAGUGAUAAUAUAAAAUAAAGCAGAAAGAAUUAAGAUAGAAAUAAAAAAUAGAAAUAUUUAAAAGAAGAAGGCCUAAGUGCACUCUGCAGUUAAGCCUGCCACCCCGAAGGCUAGCCCAACCCACCUAGCCCUCAUCAUCUUCGUGUGUGCAUCACAGGAGAUGUGGGCGCGAGGAUGCUUGCGAGCGGCGGGGGCGAUGCCGUGGCGGUCAUCCGCCGGCUGCCGAGGCCUACAAGCCCCCCGCACCACCGUGAAACCUUAGUCGGCCCCUAGAUCCCCUCACCCUCUCCCUCUCCUCCCUCACGCCGCUCAGCUUCCCCCGUCACCAAGGCCAUCGCCAUCCCCACACUCCCCUCGUCCCCGUCGGCUAGGAUCAUGUCCACGAGCCCCACAGUCAUCGCCUACGUCAACUACGAUGACCAGAUCGGGCCCCGAGCCACCACAUUGCCGCCUCGCCCGCUUCUUCCUUCUCGGACGCCACCGCUCGCCGUCGACGAAUUCGGCCGCACCAAGCCUCCCCCGAGCCCGCUAUCGCACACCUGCAUGGCCAGUGAGCUCUUGCUCCCCUCCCCCUCACCGUUAGAUCUCGUGCGUUCUCCUAGCCACCUUGCCGCCGUCGCCCGACUUCCUUGCCAUCGGCGAUCUCAGUGUCGUGGUCACCGUUGCGUAGCUCACGACGGGGAACCACAUUGAGCUCCUAGAGCUCGCACGAGUCGAACGCACGCGCGCUCAGCCUUCCCCGAGCCCUAUAGCAUGUUCGCCACCUUUGCCCGAGCACGGCCGUGAUGACACACAAGUGUAGGGGAUCUAUCGUAGUCCUUUCGAUAAGUAAGAGUGUCGAACCCAACGAGGAACAGAAGGAAAUGACAAGCGGUUUUUAGUAAGGUAUUCUCUGCAAGCAUGGAAAUUAUCGGUAACACAUAGUUUUGUGAUAAGGUAAUUCGUAAAGGGUAGCAAGUAAAAAAUGUAGCAAUGGUUCAGCAAAUUGUCCCAAUCCUUUUUGUAGCAAAGGACAAGCCUGGACAAACUCUUAUAUAAAGCAAAGUGCUCCCGAGGACACAUGGGAUUUUCUGUCAAGCUAGUUUUCAUCAUGCUCAUAUGAUCCGCGUUCGUUACUUUGAUAAUUUGGUAUGUGGGUGGACCGGUGCUUGGGUGCUGCCCUUACUUGGACAAACAUCCCACUUAUGAUUAACCUCUCUCACAAGAAUCCACAACUACGAAAGAAGAAUUAAGAUAAAUCUAACCAUAGCAUGAAACAUAUGGAUCCAAAUCAGCCACUUACGAAGCAACGCAUAAACUAGGCUUUAAGCUUCUGCCACUCUAGCAACCCAUCAUCUACUUAUUACUUCCGAAUGCCUCCCCAUAGGCCCAAAUAAUGGUGAAGUAUCAUGUAGUCGAUGUUCACAUGACACCACUAGAGGAGAGACAAGAUACAUCUCAUCAAAAUAUCAAACGAGUACCAAAUUCACAUGAUUACUUAUAACAAUAUUUAUCCCAUGUCCUCAGGAACAAACGUAACUACUCACAAAGCAUAUUCAUGUUCACAAUCAAAGGGGUAUUAAUAACCAUUAAGGAUCUGAACAUAUGAUCUUCCACCAAGUAAACCAACUAGCAUCAACUACAAAGAGUAAUCGACACUACUAGCAACCCACAUGUCCCAAUCUAAGGUUUUAAGACAAAGAUCGGAUACACUACAAGAAAUAUGCUCAUACAUGACGUUCUUUAAGAUGUCAUUGAUGAAUUCGUCAUAAAUCUAUGACGAUUUCAUCUGAGAUUGUCGUAAGCUAUUUGAGGGGAUCAAAUCUACAUAUAAAUUAGGACGAUGUGAGUCAAAAACGUCGUAACCGCAUAAGAUGAGAUCGUCAUAACUUUUACGACAAUUAUAAAAAUGUCGUAACAUGUUCUAACUAUGUUGGCAUGUCACUCGUGGGUCCAUUCUGUCCCACCUCAUCCUAGUUUGCGAAGCAACCUACUAUUCUGUCAUUCAAAAAAUUAUCGAAAAAUUCUCAUAAAUACUUUUGAUCAUAUAUUCCUCAAAUAUGUGAAAAACCUUCCUUCCAUAGUUCAAAAAUAAUCCAGCAAUAUUCAUUUCCCUAUUCUUUCCAGAAUAGCACUUUCUGAAGUAAGUGCUAUUUCUAUUUCUUUUAUUACCCUCAUAUUUUUUGGCACUCUUCCCUAUCCAAAUCAUUGCCUCAUGAAAACUUUCUUAACCAUUUGCCUAGUAAAUCUUUCUCAGCAAAUUUCCAAAGUUUGUGCUCAGCUAACAGCUUUGUGAAGGAAGUACUAGAUAGGAAUAUCCUGAUGAGUUGAAUUUUUUCCACAUCUUCUAUGUGCCCAAAACAUAGCUCUCCACAAAAUUUUAGCCCUAUCUAACAAUUCAUGUGAGCUCAUCAUCCAAUCUUUGUUUUUGGUAAUAUUUUCAGUUUGAAGUAACUACAUUUUAUAGUGCUUUAUAGUUGAUGAAAAUUUACCACGGAAUAAAACUGAGCAUAUAACCUCACUCCACCAAAUUUUAGCUCAUUUAAUCCAGCCAAUUUCCCUCAAUAUUUUCCCAAUAUUCUAUUCAGUAGAGAGCAUUGUGAAGGAAGUACAAAUUUUGUUUAUCCAAAUUUGAUGAAAUUUUUAGAGUGCCUUAAUGUGUCUAAAUUAUCAUCCUCUUCCAAAUUUCAGCUCAAUCCAAUCAUCUAUGUGAGCCUAGUUUCAGUUACCAUUUUCUGUCCAGAUUGGCACAUUGUGAAGGAAGUGUCACUUUGGCAUGUUCAAAUGGUAUAAUUUUUUACACUGCCUUCAUAUGCCCAAAUUAACAUCAUACACCAAAUUUCAGCUCAAUCCAUUCAUUCAUUUGAUCCGAGCUUCAACAUCCAUAUUUCUGCAGAGUGUGUUACUUUGCAAAGUAAGUGCCACCUAGGUUCAUUCAUUUGAGCUAAAAAUUUGCGACGAGAGUAUCCUUAGUAGAUGAUCAUCCUCAGCCAAAAUUUAGGCCCAUUGUCUAUGUUCAUUAUCCGCAUCGCUAAUCAAACACUUGGUUGCUAAUUCAUGUUUGAGCUUAGUUCAGUCUCCCGAUGAGAUUCUUCUAUUGUAUUCUUCUUCCUAACACCUACCAAGGGAUUGUUCAAUCCACCAGACAUGCCUAUUCCACCCAGAACGCAUGGCAACGCAACGGUCAGGCGGUGACCAUGCGACUGGCAUGCAAGUUCACGCGCUCUGCAGUUGGGGCCCUCGACCACCAUCCAGACCUCGACAUCAAGCCACCACACCAUGUAUUUCUUAUUAAAUAGAUACUUAUGUAACUAUAAAUGAAUUUUGGGAAAAAUAAAGAGCAAACUAUAAUGCAACUGCAGUUCAAAUUUAACCCGCUUCAAACUGAAUCGACAUAAAUUUAUCUUUUUCACGAGAGGUGGAUAAAAGCUUUUAACACCCAACCAUUUUGUCAAUUGUACAUUAAAUAUGGCCUAGUAUUUUAUAAAAAUGAUUUGGUCCAAUUUUGAAACAAAUAUAUGGUAGGUCCUUCACAAAAAAAUUCAUUUUGGGCACAUGAAAAAUGGAAAAUAAUUUUUACAUACAAGGAAAAUGAAAACUUCAUUAAUCAACAUUGUUUGCCAUUCCAAUAUGCACCCUUGUGCAUAAUAUUAUAUCAUUUCAACAAACUAUGUCAUGAAUAUGGCCAUAAGAUUGAUCAUUUGGCUUGAAAGGCAUGAAUCUUCACACAUGAUAGCCCAUUUCUAAGAACACUUUUUAAAAAUAAUUGUCGUAUUACAAGUUUAUUAUUUUUCCUGGUAACUUUGUCACAUAUAAUGACACAAUGCAAUGGUUUUCCAUUUUUUUUGAUUUUUUUGAAUUUUUCAUGGCCAUUUCAAAAUGCGGUCAAAAUAGCGAGUAUGACCGUUCGUACCUAGUGGUUGAAUAUUUGAAAUAUUUUGGUGUUUCUCUGAUUAUAUAGAUACUUGUGUACCUAGAAAUGAUUUUUGGGAAAAAUAAAAAGCAAACUAUAAUGUAGUUGCAGUUCAAAUUUGACCCGCUUCCACGUGAUUCAACGAAAAUUUGCCUUUUUCAUGAGAGGUCGAUAAAAGCCUUUAACAACCAAUCAUUUGGUCAAAUGUACAUUAAAUAUAUCAUAGUAUGUUAGAAAAAUGAUUUGGUACAAUUUUGCAACAAAUAUAUGAUAGGUCCUUCAUAAAAAACUCAUUUUGGGUACUCGAAAAAUGGAAAAUGAAUUUUCCGUCCAAAGAAAAUGAAAACUUUAUCACGCAACAUUGUUUGCCAUUCCAAUACGCACCCUUGUGCACAAUACGAGAUUAUUUGGACAAACUAUGUCAUGAAUGUGGCCAUAAGAUUGAUCAUUUGGCUUGAAAGUCAUGAAUCUUCACACAUGAUAACUCAUUUGUAAGAACACUUUUUAAAAAUAAUUGCCGUAUUACAAGUUUAUUAUUUUUUCUGAUAAGUUUGUCACAUAUAAUGAAACAAUGCAAAGGUUUUCCAUUUUUUAUUUUUUUUUCAAUUUUUCAUAUCUAUUUCCAAAUGCGGUCAAAAAGGCGGGUAUGACCGUUCCUAGCUAGUGGUUGAAUCUUUCAAUUUUUUUGGUGUUUCUGUGAUGAAAUAGAUAAUUGUGUACCUAGAAAUGAUUUUUGGGAAAAAUAAAGAGCAAAAUAUAAUGUAGUUGCAAUUCAAAUUUGACCCGCUUCCAGCUGAUUCGACGAACAUUUGUCUUUUUCAUGAGAGGUGGAUAAAAGCUUUUCACACCCCAACAUUUGGUGAAUUGUCCAUUAAAUUUGGCCUGGUAUUUUAGAAAAUUGGGUUGGUCCAAUUUUGCAACAAAUAUAUGGUAGGUCCUUCACAAAAAACUCAUUUUCAUUACUCGAGAAAUGGAAAAUUAAUUUUCCGUCCAAAGAAAAUCAAAACUUCCUUAGACAACAUUGUUUGCCAUUCCAAUAUGCACCCUUGUGCACAAUAUGAGAUCAUUUCAACAAACUAUGCCAUGAAUUUGGCCAUAAAAUUGAUCAUUUGACUUGAAAGCCAUGAAUCUUCACACAUGAUAGCUCAUUUAUAUGAACACUUUUUAAAAAUAAUCGCCAUAUUACAAGCUUAUUAUUUUACGUGAUAACUUUGUCACAUAUAUUGACACAAUGCGAAGGUUUUCAUUUUUUUUGAAUUUUUCAUUGCCAUUUCAAAAUGUGGUCAAAAUGGCGGGUAUGACCAUUAUAUUAUUUGAAAAUGUAAACAAACUCUCAUGUUUAUGAAAUUUGGUGUGGUAUUGGUUUAUAUUCUCUUGAAAGCAUGGAAAAUUUGUGAAAUUUUUUACUAAUUUUUAACAUGUUUAUUUUGACAAAAGUAAUAGUCUAAAGAAACACAAAUUAUUUGAAGCUUCCGUAUUGGAUGGAAUAGAACUCUCGUGGAUCGAUGACGUGGCGGACAGAUCCACAACCCACACCCACCACAAAUCCUAGCCCGGUCCACCGGUCAGCGAGCAGUGUACGGGGUCAACCCAACCCCUCGCUCUCCGAGUCUCCCUCCCCACGAACCCCUCCUCCCUUCCAGAUCUGCGCCGCCACCUCCCUUCCAGAUCUGCACCAUCACGAGCUCGCCGCCGUCCUCCUCCUCUUACCCAUGGCCUCCCCACGCCCCUCCCAUGCCCACCAGCGUCACCUCUCCAUCCGGCGACCGUCUCCUGGUCACCCUACUCCGUCUACAUCUCCUUCCUGUAGUAGAUCCACGCGUCUAUAUGCACGUCCGGGACCGCCUCGCCGCCAACGCCACCGACGCGCCGCCGGUCCGCUGCCUCCUCCGUCGCUUCGUCCUCGGUUAUAGAGAUCUCACAGGUUCUUUGGUGGUUGGUUCCGCAGAUGAACAAGGAGAGGCUCAUGAAGAUGGCCGGCGCCGUCCGCACCGACGGCAAGGGCACCAUCCGCCGGUCGGUCCUCCGCGACCGAUCUAUGAGAAAUCUUGGGAUUUCAAGCGCUAAUCUAAUAUGCCUCAUUGGUUGUGGUCUCGGUGCAGGAAGAAGAAGGCGGCGCACAAGACGACGACCACGGAGGACAAGCGGCUGCAGAGCACACUCAAGAGGGUGGGCGUCAACACCAUCCCGGACAUCGAGGAGGUCAACAUCUUCAAGGAUGACCUCGUCAUCGAGUUCCUCAACCCCAAAGGCCCCCCCCCCCUUUACGACGCUCUUCAAUGAGCUGCAUAUAUUACUUGCUUGUCAUGUGGAUGUGCAGAUGGGGAUUACUGACUUGUUUGUGUUCUGUCGAUGCAGUGCAAGCGUCCAUCGCCGCAAACACAUGGGUGGUCAGUGGGACUCCCCAUACCUAGAGUAUGGAUCCCUCUCACUUCCCUAUCAUUUGCUCAUGAUGAUGAUGCAAGUUAUAUCAUUCUUAGAUUGGCACCUGUUGUAGUUUUAUCAAUCGUUUUAAUGCACAACUAACAUGCAUUUACAUCAUUUUGAGAUCCAUUGGCGGUGAUAUCUUACUAGUCCUAGUCAAUUUGAACAAGUUUAUAACAUGCUCAUUUUAACUUUGGCCAUCCUACACAUCUCUGUGUGCACCUGAUUAGUCUUCGUAAUGUGAAGCUAUGCACUUUGGUUUGCCCUUCCUGUCAUGUCUGCUAUGAAAACGCAUGUGUAUUAUAAUAUGUUGCUGUCUUCGUGAUUACUUAUUAUAUUCAUGGUUUGACUUGACAGAGCUACAAGAUGUUCUUCGUUCUAUCAUCAACCAAUUGGGUAUGCUACUUUUUGAUUUACUGAGGCCAUCCAAUAAAUUGUUUAGUUUAAUAAUAUUUUAAGAUGAUUUAUAAGCCUGUGCUGGCACUUGGGCUUCAAGUAUUUGACUUCCAUUUUAUUCAGGUCAGCAGAAAUAUGUUUGCUCACUCACUUAAUGUAAGUUAUGGUUUGUAUAUGUCAUUUUUGAUAUGUGUAUAGGUGUAGGUUUAUCUUACUUCUGUUGUGUCUGCUUAUGCUCUGCACAUCCUCUUAAUCAAAUCAUACAGUAUUUGAGCUAAUAGCAUGACAUCCUACCUUAGAUUUGUUUUUAUAAGCCAGUCCUAGGCACAACAAACCAACCAGAAUCUACAUCUGCAUAUUAUGAGUCUUAGAUUUAUGCGUGCUUAGCUAGUUUUCUCUUUUGUUGCGCUAAAAAAGUGUAACAUUGUUCCUUCUCCGGUUCUUUCUUUAAUUCUUUCUUUAAUUUAAUAAUUCAUCAAUCCUCACUGCCCUGUUACUGUUCUACUCUAGCUGUUCAUAACCGUGUUAGUGUUCUUCAACCGUGUGGCAAAGUUUUGUACCUUGCUCUACAUUCUUCUUACGUGACAACCAACGAUUGUGUUGUUUUCUUUUACCCUGUUUUAUUCCAUCUUUUUAUUAUACGUAAGGAUGUUCCUUUUUUCUUCCUUAUAAUUUGUGAAGCUUCACUGCCGUGUUCCUUGUGAUUUGAAGUUACUAAUCUGUGCUCUGGUGAAAUAUUACGGUCAAAUGUUUUUUUGUUUUGUCUCUUUUUCUGUUGCUCGGAAAGUGGUGAGAAGAUGUCGAUGAUGCCUACUUGGGAAAUUCAAAUAAACAAAUCAUAAAAAUUUCUGAACCUAUGUCUCAUAGGAGAGUGGAAUGAACUCCAUUGUUAGCAGAUGUGCCAUUGUUCUAUUGUGCAUUUUUGUCUGUUCUUGCUAUAUUCCUGUGUAAGGAAAUGUAUUCACGAGAUGAGUUAUUGUGUUAUGUAAACCUGUGAGAUGUAUUAUGUGAUGUUAUAUGAUGGAUGAUUUUAAUUCGACUUGGAGUUUUCUUGAUUUGAAUAUGAAAUAGUGUUGGAUUAAAUAUUGGACAAAUAAUUGGGUUGAAAAGUCCCAACAAAUAGAAAUGAAACCAAGUUCUGGAAUAAGAAGUUGCUGAAUUCAAAAAUGAAAAAAGGCCAAAACUGAAAUUAGACCAAAUGUAUUUGGGCACUAAAAGGCCAGGGCCCNNNNUUAUAAUGAUACAAAUAAAAUCAAAAAAAUACUAGACGUGGCUGUAAAUAGGCUAAGGCCCAAAAAGAAGCCCAAUAAGAAAAAGCCCCAAAAAUUAAAACCAGCCCAUGUGGUCAAUUGAAAUGGGUUGGGCUGAUUUCAACCAUGACGUUUUGAUUUCAUCGUAAUUUUGCCACGUAGGAUUGCCACGUAGGAUUGGGUUAGAUUGCCAAUGGCGAUUUAGGAUCGUCGUAAAGGUUACGCCGAUCCAGGAAUCAUCGUAAAAGUUACGACGAUUUCGAUCAAAAUGUCGUUGCUGUCAGUUUUUGACGCUCCGUUUUAGACGCUUGGUUUUUCAUCGUAAGAUCAUCGUAAAUUAAAAACCGUGACGAUGUAGCGACGAAAAUAUAGCGUCGUGUAUUAGAAUAUUUCUUGUAGUGAUACAAGAGAUGAACUAGGGUUUGAAGAGGAGAUGGUGCUGAUGAAUAUGUUGAUGGAGAUUGACCCCCUCUCUAUGAGAGGAUCGUUCGUGAUGACGAUGACUUCAAUUUCCCCCUCCGGGAGGGAAGUUUCCCCGGCAAAAUAGUGCGCUGGAGCUGUAGAUUUGUUCUGCCGAAGUUCCGCCUCGAGACGGCGACGCGUUGUCCCGAAAGUUUUGAUAUGAUUUUUUCUAGGUCAAAACCUUUCAUAUAGCAGAAGAUGGGAACCGGAGGCCUGCGAGGGGGCCCACAAGCGUGCAGGGCCCGCCCACGGGGUAGGCCGCGCCCCCGUGGCUUGUGGCCACCUGGUGGGUCCCCUUAAUUAUUUAUUUCUCCCAAUAUUUUUUAUAUAUUCCAAAACAAUUCUCCGUAAGUUUUCAGUACUUUUGGAGUUUUGCAAAAUAGGUCUCUCAGAUUUGCUCCUUUUCCGAUCGAGAAUUCCAGCUGUCAGCAUUCUCCCUCUUCAUGUAAACCUUGUAAAAUAAGAGAGAAAAGACAUAAGUAUUGUACCAUAAUGUGUAUUAACAUCCCAUAAUGCAAUAAAUAUCGAUAUAAAAGCAUGAUGCAAAAUGGACGUAUCAACUCCCCCAAGCUUAUACCUAGCUUGUUCUCAAGCGAAAACCAAUAUCGAUAAAUAUGCCCACAUGUUUAGAGGUAGAGGUGUCGAUAAAAAUAAAGUGCCGACAUGAAGGCACCAUUGUUAUAUUUAGAACAACAACACAUAUUGACAUAGAAUAUCUUAUGCUAGAGUAAUAAUUCAUUCACAAGGUAAAAUAUGAAUCAAUAACUCUAUUGAGAACUAACAAACUAUGAUUUCAGUCAUUGAAGCAACUCCAAUUUCUCGCAACGUAGGAAAGAGUCAAUAUAAGAGCUUGUAAAGCAAAUCCACAUACUCAAUCAUCUUAUGGUCUUUCAUAAUUACUAACACUCACGCGGUACCUAUGAGGUCAAAGCUUCGAUCGGACACAUAGUAAGAUAGUGGCUUAUAGUUUUCCGUCCCAACUAUUUACCUCAAGGGUAAUGUCAACAAUAAUAACUCAUGAUCAGCCACAUCCGAGUGGAUAUAUUUGUCUAGAUCAUUCCCCAACACAUGACGCUUGCCAAAAGAUAAAGGCGAAAUAAAGGAAAUGGUGAAGAUCAGAAAGUAAAGGUAAUAGAUAGGCCCUUCACAGAGGGAAGCAGAGGUUGUCAUGCGCUUUAUAGUUGGAUGCGCAAUACCUUAAUGCAAAAUAAGGUCAUUUUAUAUUGCCCCUUGUGAUAAAGAACUUUAUUAUGCAGCCUGUCACUUUUAUUUCUUCUAUAUCACAAGUUCGUAUAAAGUUUAUUUUCCUCACACUAAUAAAUCACACAUAUUUAGAGAGAAUGUUUUAUUGCUUGCACCAAUGGAAACUUACUUGAAGAAACUUACUCAAUCCAUAGGUAGGUAUGGUGGACUCUCAAGGCAAAACUAGGUUAAAGGUGUUUGGAUGCACAAGUAGUAUCUCUACUUGGUGCGGAAGUUUUUGGCUAAUAUGGGGUGGAAGCAAGCAACACAUGUUGAAGGAUCUAUAGCCAUAUAACUUCUAUUUGGAAGUAAGCAAACAUAACUCAUUAUGUUGUCUUCCUUGUCCAACAUCAACUUCUUAACAUAUAAUAUUUUAAUGAGUGCUCACAAUCACAAAAGAUGUCUAAGAUAAUAUAUUUAUAUGUGAACCUCUCUUUCUUUAUUACUUCCUUUUAAUUGCAACAAUGACCAAUAGCUUUGUUUGUUAACUCACAACAAAUUUCAGUCGACAUACUUUUUAUAUGUGAAGUCAUCACUCCCCGUAAGAUCAUUAUAUAUACUCUUUUGCUUUUAUUCUAUACUUAUUUCUAUUACUAUUUCUCAAGAUCAUAACAAGCAAGCAAAGCCCUCAACUCAAAACUACUCUUUAUUAUAUAACUCUUGGAUUUGCUUACAUAGGGGGAACAUAAAGCAAAACUCAAAACUAGAUCACUCUAAAACUUUAUUCUACUAGAUGAAUAUAUAACCAAAAGGAUCGAUCGAAGAAAAACGAAGAAAGUAAAAGCUGUGAUGGUGAUACGAUACUGGGGCACCUCCCCCAAGCUUGGCACAAGCCAAGGGGAGUGCCCAUACCCAUGUGUUUAGUUGUCUUUCUUCGGAGGUGGUGAUGUUGGAGUUGUUGGUGAGGUUGAAGGCUUGUCCUCCAUAUUCCAAGGCAUGGGCUCACCAUCAUAAAAAAAUGAACGAGUCUCCACGAUCCUCAAGUCUGCAACUAAAAUCAUUUUCUUAAAUAUGUAUUCAUACUCAUAGUUUUCGUUUGGAGGUUAUAGAUCUGGGCUUGGAGGUGCUCGAUUUUCUCGUAAAUCCCGAAGACAUGAUCCCAGAGGUCCUUGGUGUCUAGCUUGUACUUAUGAGUAAACUCCGUGAUCAUCAUGUGAUUGGCAUUGAGUCCUCAUUCCACCAUCCCUUGGCACUUGAAGACUUGUUGGUCCAUUGCUUCGAGCCUUGUCUCCACGUUUCCGGUCUUCUUUCUCCCCUCAACAUAACGGAUGUGCAACACCCCCUCAUGCAUCUCAAUGGUUUGAGGGUGUUGCAGCAUCUCCGAGGGGUAGGGUUUGAUGACCCUCUCGAAGAACCUGUCCUUCAAAGCACUUGAAGACGUCAUGUUGAUCUAAAUCUGCUGCAGAAACAACUCAAAAUGAAAAUUGGAGGUAUUGUUGUGAUACGAAGGUCAAAACCUUCGGGAGAUUAUAUAAUGAAUUUUUGCCAACCCAAGAGAGUAUACCACAAGAAAACGGAGUCCGGAGAGUACAUGAGGUAGCCACAUGCCAGCAGGGCGUGCCCCUUGGAUUUUCGUCUCCUUGUGCACUUUUCGGACUGCUUUAAAUUUUCCUAAUUUUUUAAAUAUUCUAAAACUGAUAAAAAUGCCAUUGGGAACAUUUUGGAGUCGGUUUUGUUGGGGCAUAGUUUAUGCCUAAGUAAUUUUGGUGAUUGAUGACAGUACCGUAAAGGACUAACCAUGUGUGUUAAGGUUUCAGAUAACACACGUCAACGGCACAAGACGACUCGCCUCCUCGUUCGUGGAACAGAAGCACGACGUUCUCUACGAUUCUCUUUAUUUGAGUCAUAGGAAAGCCGUACUAUUAAGAGGGGAACCGUAGUGGAAAGGUUUGGGUGGAAUCAAUCUUUGCACGCGCACACUUCACAUAUUUUCCCCUUGCCGGCAACUUUGGAGUGGCUCCCGACUUUGUGUUUCCUUCAUCUUUGCAAAUGGUCCCCCCAGCGGUAGUACCGCUGGGCCUAGCGGUAGUACCGCUGGAGUGCUAGCGGUGGUACCGCUGCAACUCGCGGUAGUACCGCUAGCUGGCGGUAGUACCGCCCCUAUCAGCGGUAGUACCACUCCAGGAGCUUUGUACCGCCUGCCUAGCGGUUGUGCGUGGACGGAUCUUUUUGCGAAGACUUUCUUGGUGGUGGUAGUGCUUGCACUACCAGGGGCCUAGCGGUAGUACCGCUGGAGUGCCAGCGGUAGUACCGCUGCACCCAGCGGUAGUACCGCUGGACACGGGCUGUGAGUGGGAAAACGGUUGGAUUCCCCCCCACUAUAUAAAGGGUUCUUCUAGCUGUGAAACCUUACCUCUCAUCCUCCCAAGCUCCAUUGUUGCGUUCUAAGCUCAAAAGUGCCCGAUCUCUCUCCCUAGCCAAUCAAACUUGUUGAUUCUUUAGGGAUUGGUUGAGAAGGCCUAGAUCCACACUUCCACCAAGAGAAAAGUUGAUUCCCCCACCAAUCCCUUGCGGAUAUUGUUACUCUUGGGUGUUUGAGCAUCCUAGAUGGUUGAGGUCACGUCGAAGCCAUAUUCCAUUGUGGUGAAGCUUCGUGGUCUUGUUGGGAGCCUCCAAGCUUUGUGUGGAGUUUGCCCCAACCUUGUUUGUAAAGGUUCGGUCGCCGCCUUCAAGGGCACCUAUAGUGGAAUCACGGUACCUUGCAUUGUGCGAGGGCGUGAGGAGAAUACGGUGGCCUUAGUGGCUUAUUGGGGAGCAUUGUGCCUCCACACCACUCCAACAGAGACGUACUUCCUGUCAAAGGGAAGGAACUUCGAUAACACAUCCUCGUCUCCGUCGGUUCCACUUGUGGUUAUCUCUAACCUUUACUUUGUGUAUGCUUAUGUUGUUGUCUAUAUCCUACUUGUCUUAAUAGUUCUCGUUGUUAGCUUCAUUAGGGUUCACCUCAUUGUCAUAAUAUUUGUGAACCCAUAUGUUGUUUACCUUAACUUGCUAAGUUUAAUUAAAAAGUGGUCAUUGUCUAUUCACCCCCCUCUAGUCAACCAUAUCGAUCCUUUCAAUUGGUAUCAGAGCCACGUCUCUUUAUUAAGGGUUUAACCACCCGAAGAGUAUGGAAGGCGAAGAGGGAAUUAACCAUGGGCAACCCGAGGCCAUGGACUUGACUUCGGUCACAAGGGACGACUUGAAUACGGCUAUGGCCGCCCUCAAGACGUCCUUGACGAACGAAGUCAAGACCAUGCUUAAAGAGUUAAUUGAGGGAUUUAAUAGUUCUCCCGAACCGACUAUAGUGGUUAAACCCACCGUCACCGGUUCGGAGGCCAACUCCUCUAAGGAAGCGGCUAAAGGUAUGCGACCUACCUCAUCUCACGAAAAGGAUGGGACUGGAACAUAUGCCUCAGUUCCCCCCCAUGGCCUAUGGAGGAUCCGUUCCCGCACCGCGUCUUAAUCCUGUUGGUCCUCCUCCUAAGCUUGUAAAAGGUGACUUUGCUAACUGGUCAUUUUCUAUUAAGUCUCAUUUGAAUCACAACUCAACAAACUUGUGGAGAAUCAUCGAACAAGGAUAUUAUCCCCAUGAUCCAAGCAACCUCACUCCAAGAGAAGAUGCAGACAAUCAAUACAAUCACUCCGCUUUGUUCAUUCUCCAGUCCGCAGUGCCACCUGAAGAUCUUCCUCACUUGCAUCCCUUCACAUUGGCCAAGGAUUGUUGGGAGCAUAUUAUGGUGUUGUAUAAGGGAAGCUCAAGCAUUCAACGAUCCAACUAUGAAGUGAUACUUGAUAAGGACGAUGAGUUUGUGAUGAAGGAAGACGAGGACCCUCGUGAUCUAUAUCGGAGGGUUACUGCUAUUGCUGUGGCACUAAAGGAUCAUGGGAGCAAGGAUGUGGAUGAUACAUGGGUCAAGCGCAAGUUUCUCAAAGCCAUCAUGCCUUUCAACAAAGCCAUGUCAUCUGUCAUUCGUCAGCGGCCAGACUUCCACUCCUUGUCUUCCAGUGAGGUGUUGGAUGAAUUCAUUGCAAUGUCAAUCAUGAAUGAAACAGCCGACAAUGCACUUGCUCGUGUUUGCUCAAAGAAAAAUUCACCCAACCUUGCGUUGAAAGCAAAAGCAAUGCCUGAAGAAGAAGAAGAGGAUUAUGAAGAAGAGAGCUGCCCUGAAGACACAAAGUAUGCCUAUCAUGAGCACAUGGCUCUUGCAUCAAGGCAAUUCUGGGGCAACAAGAGGAACUCAAGACCCACCUUCACCAAGAACAACUCGAGUGGAUUCAAACCCAAACAACGAGUAAGGACAUGUUAUAACUGUGGUAACGUGAGUCACUUCGUGGCCGAAUGUCCCUAUGAGAAAAGGGAAGACAACGGGGGCAAGCUCAUUCGCAAAGACAAAACCAAAUCAUUUCCAAUCAAGAACAACUUUGUGAAGAAACCCCACCCAAAAGGGAUGGUGGCCCUUGAAGAGUACCCUUCCGACCCCCCAUGAUGAUACAGUGGCAACGGCAACUGUUGCUAUUGCCACUACCUCUCCCCAGAAGGUGUCUCUCUUCAACGCCCCCAACGAGAGCCACAUCACCAAGUGCCUCAUGGCAAAAGGUAUCAAUCAGGUAACUCCCGUCAUUAAGACCAACAUCGCUUCUGCCCCUUCAUUGUUAAAUUGUGUUGAAGAUAGUGAUGUUGGGGAACUUAAUGAGCAUGAUCUUGACAAGUUUCUGUGCACUAUUAAGGGAGAUACCAAGAAGCACUUUGUUGCUCUCUUGGAACAACUGGGUGAGGCCACUGACCUCAUUGAGUCUCAUGAGGAGACCAUCUCCGAGCUUCAGGGACACAGUCGUGACUAUGCCGAUAAAAUUUCUGAAUUAUCUAAUGCUCUAGAAAAGUAGCGCACUCUUCGUUUGGCUCUUGAGGAGUCAUAGAACGAUGUCUGCACUAAAAUGCAAAAGAAAGUAGAUCAUGAUGUCGUUCUUACUCGUAUGCUUAAGUCUGACAAGUAUGCUCUUGGGGUUGGCCAUGACAGACUCAAAGAGGAGUUUGACACACUUGACAAGGCCCACAAGGUCUUGAAAGGUGUUCAUUUCUCUCUGAAAGAGUCUCAUGAUCAACUCCAAGUAAAGCUUACCAAGGAGAUCUCUACUUGUCCUCCCUUUGUGUUAAUUGAUAAUGCUUGUGCACCUAACCCCUGUUGUGAGCAUGUACAUCUUGUGGAGGAAAAUGCCAAGUUAAAGGAGAAACUUGAGAAGGGCCUUGUGGCAUGCAUACAAGGUGAGAAGAGCCCGAACGACCUCUUGAGCACUCAAAAGGGUGUUGUAGGAAAGGAGGGACUUGGACUUACCUCCAAGUCAAAAGGUAAAAGGAGGAACAGGAACAAACGAUCUCCUACCCUCAUGGACAUCUUUAUCAAAGAGGGUGAGGGGACUCAGAAGGUGAACAGGAACAAGGUGGACUAUGGAAACCUCAAGAAGGGAAAAACCAUUCCUACUAACACAGCCAGCAAACUCAAUUCUUCUUAUGUCUUAUGUUGUGCUAGUGAUGGGCAUGUUUAUGCUAGAUUUGUUGGUUCCUACGAUGAGUAUAUUGAAUGGGCUAUCUGGGUUCCUAAGACCCUUGUCUCUAACAUGAAAGGACCCAUUAAAAAAUGGGUACCUAAAACCAAGCCUUGAUCUAUUGCAGGAGUUUGCUUCCGGUGGGGUAUCAUGGUUGCUCGAUAGUGGAGCAACAAAUCAUAUGACCGGAAGCAAGGACUUAGUGGUGGAUGUGCAUCCUUCUCCAUCUAUGCCCACCCAUGUCCAAUUCGCCGAUGCAUCCUCUUCAAAGGUAUUGGGAUUUGGUAAGGUGGUCGUCUCUCAAGAUUUAUCUAUUGAGAAGGUCAUGCUUGUUGAGUCACUUGCCUACAAUUUACUUUCGGUUCGUCAACUCGCAAUUAUGGGUUUUUCCACAUUCUUUAAUCUUGAUACUGUGGUCCUCCUGAGGAGCAAGACUCUUAAAGUAGCCUAUGUUGGAUAUGUCGAAAAUGGUCUUUAUGUGGUGAACUUCUCAAAGCGACCCACUAAGACUGCGACAUGUUUAAUGGCUAAAGUUGAUGUGGCUGGCUUUGGCAUCGCCAUUUAGCUCAUGUCAAUAUGAGAUCUUUGCAAAGCCUUCUGACAGGGGACCAUAUUCCUGGACUAACAAAUGUGAGUUUUGCUAAAGAUCGUGUUUGCAGUGCCUGCAUUGAAGGAAAUAUUCAUGAAACUGCUCAUCGUCCAACGACUCUUAUCUACACUAAGAGGCCAUUGGAACUUCUCCAUAUGGAUCUGUUUGGUCCUCCAUCAUUUGAUAGUCUUGGAGGCAGAAAGUAUUGCUUAGUGAUUGUUGACGACUACUCAAGAUAUACCUAGGUAUAUUUCUUUAAAAAGAAGAGUGAGACUCAACAAACGGUCAUCAACUUUGCUAAUGAAGCGCAACGUCAACAUGAAGCAAAGAUCUUGAUGAUUAGAAGUGACAAUGGCACCGAGUUCAAGAACUACACCUUGGAUGAGUUUCUAGGUGAUGAGGGAAUCAAACACCAAUAUUCUGCACCAUAUACCCCUCAACAAAACGGCGUGGCAGAAAGGAAGAACUGGACCUUGAUAGACGUUGCAAGGACAAUGAUGGCAGAAUUCAAAUCUCCAUAUAACUUCUGGGCAGAGGCCAUCAACACAGCAUGUCAUGCAUCCAAUCGUCUCUAUAUCCGCAAAGGCUUGAACAAGACUCCGUAUGAGAUUCUAACUAGAAACAAACCCAAUCUCAAGUACUUCCGGGUAUUCGGUUGUAAGUGUUUCAUUCUCAAGAAAGGUGCACGGUUAGCUAAAUUUGAUUCUAGAGCACAUGAGAGUAUCUUUGUUGGUUAUGCUACAAACUCUCAUGCUUACCGUGUCCUCAACAAGUCCACCAGACUCAUUGAGGAGACGUGUAACGUGGAGUUCGAUGAAAAUAAUGGCUCCCAAGUGGAGCAAAGUGGUCUUUGUGAUGUAGGUGAUGAAAUUCCUCCCCAAGCCAUAAGAAGAAUGGGGAUUGGUCAAAUACUCCCCAUUGGGGAACCCCUUGUGGCCGAAGGAGAAGGACAAUGCUCUACUCAAGUGGAGCCAUCACCUCCACAAGUCCCACACGGUUCCGAUGAACAGAGAGAAGACUCUCAACAAAAUAAACAAGCUCAAGGUCAAGAUAAAUUGCCCAACAAUGAUGAUGUGUCUCAGGAUAUUCAAGCACUACCACAAGACUCCGAACCUGCUCAUGAUCAAGAUCAAGUUCAACCACGAGAUCCAGACCAAGUAGAAGCACAAGAUCAAGAUCAAGAGCAACCACAAAUACAAGAACAAACUAGUGAACCUGCUCAAGUCGAAGGACAAGAUGAUCAUGAGACUGUCUCACAAUUCCCUUCUGCAGCACCAACAGCCGGCUCAAGACGCAAGGGCAAGCAAAGUAAACAAGUCGAUGCUUCCCAGUUAUCUAAUGAUGAACUCUUGGAGCGUCGAGCAACCAAGAUUGCGAACAAGCUGAGAGUCAAGUCACAUCUUAUGAAGAAUGUACUUGGCAGUUUAAAAAGGGGAGUAUCCACCCGUCAACAGAUUUGGAAUUAUUGUGAGCAUCACACGUUUGUUUCGUAUUGUGAACCUCAACAGGUACAGGAAGCGCUCGAUGAUGAGGAUUGGCUUAUGGCCAUGCACGAAGAACUUAAGAACUUCGAGCGCAACCAAGUCUGGGAUUUAGUGCCUAGGCCAACGGAGGAACAUAAUGUCAUCGGGACCAAAUGGAUAUUCAAGAACAAGCAAGAUGCCAAUGGGAUUGUGAUUCGAAACAAGGAAAGAUUGGUGGCUCAAGGCUACUCCCAAGUCGAGGGUAUCGACUACGGUGAAACCUUUGCCCCUGUUGCUCGUCUAGAAUCUAUUCGCAUGUUGCUUGCAUUUGCUUCUCAUCAUAACUUCAAAUUACAACAAAUGGAUGUGAAAAGUGCCUUUCUUAAUGGUCCUUUAAAUGAGUUGGUCUAUGUCAAACAACCCCCGGGAUUCGAACAUCCCAAGCUCCCCAAUCAUGUGUACAAACUUAAUAAGGCACUCUAUGGCCUUAAACAAGCCCCACGCGCGUGGUAUGAGUAUCUUACUGAGUUGUUACAAGAUCCUCUCCCUANNNNNNNNNNNNNNNNNNNNNNNNNNNNNNNNNNNNNNNNNNNNNNNNNNNNNNNNNNNNNNNNNNNNNNNNNNNNNNNNNNNNNNNNNNNNNNNNNNNNAGCUCACAAAUGCUCUUGGGAUCUAAGAUUUGGUGUGAGCAAAUGUGUGUGAGGUAGAAAUGUGUUCUUAUGAGGAUAUGGCUGUGUUAGGCCCCCUCUCACGAAGUGGGAGGGGGUAUUUAUAGUGGAGAAGGGAAAGUGACCAUUGGGGUCACUUAAGUCUGACAGUGGUCGGACGUCCGACAGUUCUCGGAUGUCCGGACUCCCACAAGGGGUCGGACGUCCGACAUGGGUCGGUCGUCCGAGGGAUGUAUAUAUAUCAAGAACCACUGUGUAGUCGAACAGGGACCGGACGUCCGGAGGAAGCCGGACGUCCGGCCCUCGGACGUCCGGAGAGAGCCGGACGUCCCGCCCUCGGACGUCAGGAGGAGGCCGGAAGUCCGAGUUAUUUGACUCAAAUUUCUUGUGGUGCAAGGUUCCGGUUUUCCGAAGGGGGUCGGACGUGCGGAGAGAGCCGGACGUCAGGCCCUCGGACGUCCGGAGAGAGCCGGAAUUCCGAGUUAUUUGACUCUGGAUUUCUCUGGUAUAAGGUUCCGGAUUUCCGAAGUGGUCGGGCGUCCGUCCCUCGGACGUCCGGAGGAAGCCGGAUGUCCGAUGCAUUGGUUCUGUUUUUAGAUAACAGCAGAGCGGUGGAGAUGUGGUAUGAGCAGAAAAGUAGAGAUGUAGUUUGAGCAAGUUCAUCGCAAAACCUGUGAUCCCCUCUUAAUAGUGCGGGCUCCCUAAAGACUCAAGAAUCAUAAAAGGGGUACUGGUGAUCCAUACUUGAGUGUAUACUUUUAUUCGCUGAUCAUCACUCCGCACCACUAACGUCAAAGGAACUGAUACCUUUGAGUUAGCCCUUUCACUUGAGCUUGAUGUUGUUGUUCCUUCUUGGCUCAAGUUGAAAGCAAGACAUCAUGAAGUCUUCAAGCAGCUCUCCCAUACACAAUGUGGAAAGCCUAGCUUAUGUAUUCAUCUUCAUUUGUCCACCAUGUGAACAUCCACAAGAAUCAAGCAUGUAGUGCUCAGGAAUGCUUAUCUUGAUCUUGUCCUUGUUAGCACAUGAGCUUGUCCUUAUCAACACAUGAUCAUUAACAAUAGUUUCAAUGAUAUAUUCGUGCUGAUCCACUUGAACUUGCACACCACAAUCUUGAUGACGAUCACCACUUGACGUCAUCCUUCAUGGGUUGUAUGAGAUCUUCCUUUUGAUGCAAGCCCAUGUAAGCACACCUAACCCCCACAUAGGUCUCUCACAAAGACCAUGGGUUAGUACACAAACACGUAAUGGACAAUGCUUACCAUACCAUGGGAUCACUUGAUCCCUCUCGGUACAUCUUAUACGCUUUGUGUGUUGAUCAUCUUGAUUUACUCUUUGUCUGAGAUCUUGAUCAACCUAGUGUCUCUAUGACCAUUCUUUGGAUAAUACCUUGAAUACCAUCUUGGUCAGCAUAUAAACUCCUUGAACCCAAGAGAUGGACUUCAAGAAGUGCCUAUGGACAAAUCCUAUAAAUAUGACUUAAGGCAACCAUUAGUCCAUAGGAAUUGUCAUCAAUUACCAAAACCACAUAUGGAGAUAUGCUCUAACACUUUUGUACUAGCAUUAUUCCUCUUCCCCUCCAAAAACAUUGGUGGGAAGGGUGCCACAACGGCUGUUUUGAAAGGGUACAUGACUGCAGUCCGCCCUGACAAAGGUGGUCUUCGCGGGCAAAAGCUUCUUUUCAUGACGCGUUGGUGGGCUCACGGGUGACCUCCAUCCUGCCGAGCUCCCAGCCUUAGUCCUCUUGCACCGAUGUGGGAACCUUUGGGAGGUUGCUUUGGGGCCCACCAGCUGGCCCCUCUUCCUUAGCACGGAAGUGGAAAUCCUCCCUAUCCAUGCGUGCUGACACCCCCCUUGUGCCGCAUGUGCAAUCCCUAUCACCCACGCGGAGCGCGCAGGGUCGUGGGGCCCGGCCAUGUCGCCCUUGACGAGCUCGCCUUGCGAGGGCUUGACGGGUGGCCUCGGGAUGCGCCCUUCCUGCAGGAGACCCCUCGUGAUCCUCAAUGGUGAUCCCUUGACACUUUCCUCGAGAAGUAGGGGCCCUCGUGAGGGUCUUUGUUGCCGAUCUUGCCGAUGGGCCGAUCCAGGCUUGCCCAGCCGCGUCGCGCUUGGGGCCGCACGCCGACGGGUCUAGGUACCCCAGAUCCCAGAGGCCCGACAAUAUACCCAAGCAUAUCUUGAGUAAUCAUCCAAAAUCACCAAUCAAUACUUUCUUCCCCCAAGAUUAUUGAAAGAUGGAGGACCAAAGAGAUCCAUGUGAAGGAGCUCCAAGUCCCUCUUCGAGUAGAUGGUAGUCGUGGGACUGUGAGUCGUCUCAUGUAGCUUUCCUUAGAUACAAGCAUUGAAAGCACGAUCUUUGGAAAAACUAACUUUCUUUAGUCCAUGGAUGUGAUCCCCUUUGAGGAGACUUUGCUAAGAUUUUAUAUUGACAUGGGAUAGCCGGAAAUGCAAAAGCCAUCCUAGAUCAACUUUAGACAUUAAGCAAGUCGCGGUCUUAGUGGGUCGCUUCGAAAAGUUAACCACAUAGAGACGAUUCUUGAAAUUUCCAACAAAGGCUACUCUAAGAGUCUUGCUCCAUAAAAGGGACACGGUGUCAACACCAAAUAAGGCACAAAAGCCCAUGAGUGCAAGUUGAUGAAUGGAAAGUAAAUUGUAUGCAAGGGUCUUAACAAGCAUGACAUUCUCAAUGGAUAAUUCCAGAGAGAUUACCACCUUGCCAAGGCCCAAUACCUUUGAAAUCACAUCAUCACCAAAGGAGACUUUAGUGGAAAAGGAUGGAUUAGGAUGAACGUCCACCACCAAGUCCUUGCUUCCGGUCAUAUGAUUUGUUGCUCCACUAUCAAGCAACAUGACACUCCUCCACAAGCAAACUCCUAUAAGAGAUCAAUGCUUGGAAUUCGGUACCCAUUCUUUAAUGGGUCCUUUCAUGUUAGUAACAAGGGUCUUAGGGACCCAAAUAGACAACUCAAUGUAUUCAUAAGAAGAACUAACAAAUUUAGCAAAAACAUGUCCAUCACUGGUGUGACAUAAAACAUAAGAGGGGUUAAAGUUGUCGGCAUUGUUGGAUGGAUUGGUUUUGCUAUUCUUGGCAUUACCACCCAUAAUCUUGUACUUAUUCUUCUCAUGACUACCCUCCUCGGCUUUGACAAAGGUUUCCUUGAGAGGGGGAGGUUGCUUGGUCUUGACCUUCUUGUUCUUCAUGGACUUGGGUGCAAACCCAAUUCCUUCCUUUGCAACCACUUCCUUUUGAUAGAUCAAAAGGUCAUUGGGGUUCUUCUCGCCUUGGAUGCACGUCACAAGGCCUUUCUCAAGUUGAUCUUUCAACUUGGAAUUCCCCUCCACAAGAUUCACAUCCUCACAACAAGGGUUAGUAGCAUUGACAUUAUCAAUGAGCAUGGAAGGAGAAUAUGUGGUUAUUUCCUUAGUAAGUUUUAGUUGGAGUUGAACAUGAGGCUUUUUUAGAGAAGCACGAGCACUCUUCAAAGCCUUGUGAGCCUUGUAAAGUGUGACAAACUAUUUAUGGUCAACCCCAAGUGCAACCUUUUCGGUUUGGAGCCCACGAGAAAGAACAAGAGCAUGAUCGUGAUCUUUUUUGUAAUUUAGCAAGGUCGUCAUUGUGUGACUCCUCAAGAGUCAAAUGAAUAUCUCACUCUUCCUCAAGAGCAAUGGAAAGAUCCGCUAUCUCAUUGACAUAGUCACGAAUAUGUCCCUCUAAUUGAGAGAUGGUCUUUUCAUGAGACUUAGUGAGAUAACUAGCCUCACCUAGUUGUUCCAACAGAGCAACAAUAUGCUUCUUGGUAUCACCCCUAAUAUUUCUCAUGAAUUUAUCAAAUAAUUUUAUCUCAACUUUUACCUCCUCUUUUUAUUCUCCACUAUUUAUAGAAGAAGGGGUAGUGGAAAUGGUAGUUUUGAUGUUGGAGGUUACCUUGUUGGAUACCUUGGCCAUAAGGCACUUUGCAAUGCGGUUCUCAUUGGGAAGUCAAAGAGAGACACCUUGCUUGGAUAGGAGGAUGCAAUGUCCACCAUGGCCAUUGAUAUUACUUCACCACUUGCAUCAUCAUCAUCAUCAUCAUCAUCAUUGGAGAAGUACUCUUCUUGACCCACCAACACCUUUUGAGGCAUCUUCUUGGAGAAUUUGUUCUUGUUGGGGAAGGACUUGGCUUUGUCUUUGCGAAUGAGUUUACCACCAUUGUCUUCCCUCUUCUCAUACGGACAAUCCACUAUAAAGUGACUCACAUUGCUACAAUUGUAGAAAGUACUCACACGUUGCUUGCCCUUAGACCCACUUGAAUUGUUCUUGGAGAAGUUGGACCUUGAGUUUCUCUUGUUGUCCCAAAAUUUCCUUGACACAAGAGACAUGUGCUCGUGGUAAGCAUAUUUGCUGUAUUCGGGAAAGCUCUCCUCNNNNNNNNNNNNNNNNNNNNNNNNNNNNNNNNNNNNNNNNNNNNNNNNNNNNNNNNNNNNNNNNNNNNNNNNNNNNNNNNNNNNNNNNNNNNNNNNNNNNUAUACUUGUGGGUCAUCAGAUAUCUACUACCGCACGAGCUUGACUCCCGUGAGCUCCAUUUUGCGUAGUGCGGUAGGAUAGUUAGUAGCUCUGGUGAGCUUCGAUGAGCUCCAGUAGGUGAUGCCCCCCUCUAGUACUGAAUGUAGUUUGUAUGAUCAUGACUGUGGUUUCAAUUUCGCCCGCAAAUGUUUAUUUUUCAAAUUAUGCAGUUUCAUUAUGCGGGUUCUGUUCUACAACGCAACUUUUCGUCCCGCAAAACCCCACUUCAUCGAACUGCAAAACGCGUUUGCAGAUCAUGAUUAUACAUGGUCUGCUAGAGUUGCUCUUAGAUGGGAGGAGAGUUCCCCCUUUGGUCCAUGGCCUCCAUGGCGGUGGAGGGGCAGGAGCCCCUCCAAGAUUGGAUCUCCCUCUCNNNNNNNNNNNNNNNNNNNNNNNNNNNNNNNNNNNNNNNNNNNNNNNNNNNNNNNNNNNNNNNNNNNNNNNNNNNNNNNNNNNNNNNNNNNNNNNNNNNNNNNNNNNNNNNNNNNNNNNNNNNNNNNNNNNNNNNNNNNNNNNNNNNNNNNNNNNNNNNNNNNNNNNNNNNNNNNNNNNNNNNNNNNNNNNNNNNNNNNNNNNNNNNNNNNNNNNNNNNNNNNNNNNNNNNNNNNNNNNNNNNNNNNNNNNNNNNNNNNNNNNNNNNNNNNNNNNNNNNNNNNNNNNNNNNNNNNNNNNNNNNNNNNNNNNNNNNNNNNNNNNNNAGAUUGGAUCUCCCUCUCUGUUCUCUUUUGUUUCGCGUUCUUGUUUUUCCGCCCUUCACAGUUUCUUAAUUUCCUGGUGAUCUGUAACUCCAAUCGGGCUAAAAUUUUGAGGGGAUUUUAUCCAUAAAUUAGCUUUCUUGCGAUCGAAGAAGAUCCCCAACCAACUUACGAGGUGGCCACUAGGCACCAUCCCGUGCCACGCGGUAUGGGCCGCGCCCUGGUACCUAGUGGAGGCCACGGGCCUCCGUUUGUGUUGUUUCCACCUCCCAAAAAUCACAUAUANNNNNNNNNNNNNNNNNNNNNNNNNNNNNNNNNNNNNNNNNNNNNNNNNNNNNNNNNNNNNNNNNNNNNNNNNNNNNNNNNNNNNNNNNNNNNNNNNNNNUCACACUUCAUUCAUGGUGUUUUCCGCAAGAUGCUCGCUAAGUAUGAUGUCAACCAUAGAGUUGCAUCUCCUUAUCAUCCUCAGUCUAGUGGUCAAGUGGAGUUGAGUAAUAGGGAGAUCAAAUUGAUCCUACAAAAGACCGUCAAUAGAUCUCGAAAGAAUUGGUCUAGCAAACUUGACGAUGCACUAUGGGCUUAUAGGACUGCCUAUAAGAAUCCCAUGGGCAUGUCGCCGUAUAAAAUGGUUUACGGUAAGGCCUGUCAUUUACCUCUUGAGCUGGAACACAAAGCUUAUUGGGCAAUCAAAGAGCUCAACUUUGAUUUCAAACUUGCUAGUGAGAAGCGGUUGUUUGAUAUCAGCUCGUUAGAUGAAUGGAGGGCCCAGGCAUAUGAGAAUGCCAAGUUGUUCAAGGAAAUGGUUAAGAGAUGGCACGACAAAUGAAUACAAAACAAGAGUUCAAUGUAGGUGAUUAUGUCUUGCUAUACAAUUCUCGUUUGAGAUUCUUUGCAGGCAAGCUUCUCUCUAAAUGGGAAGGUCCUUACGUUAUUGAGGAAGUAUAUCGUUCCGGUGCCAUCAAAAUCAAUAACAUGGAAGGCAAUUUUCCUAGAGUGGUUAACGGGCAAAGAAUCAAGCAUUAUAUCUCUGGUACUCCCAUAAAUGUUGAGACCAAUAUCAUCAAUGUCAUAACUCCAGAGGAGUACAUAAGGGAUGUUUAUCAGCCUGUUUCGGACCCUGAAAACGAAGAGGUGUCUGUUUCGGUAAGAAAUUGGACUCCGAUGCUUUUCCAAUAGGAAGUUUCCUUCGUUUUGGAAUUUUUGGAAAAUUAGAAAAUAAAAAGCAGUCCGGAGAGCGCACGGGGCAGCCACAAGCCCUGCCAUCGCCCUCUAUCCCCUGGUGGUGGAGGGCAAGCUUGUGGGCACCUCGUGUGCCUCCCAGACUCCGUUUUCUUGCGGAGCACUCCUUCUGAUCCACAAAAAUCAAUAUAUACUCGCCCGAAGGUUUUGAUCUCCGUAUCACGUAGUUUUCCUCUGUUUUCGUUUCGAGCUUGUUGUCUGCCGCAGAUUUAGAGCAAAGAUGUCUCAGGAAUCUGUUGGGGAGAAUGAUCUUCACCAAGUUCAUGAGGAAGUAGAUGCUGAUCUGAAAAGAGUAGAAGUCAUGGAAGCCACGGACCAAGCUAAGGAGAAAACCCAAGCUAGGGAGGAAGUUCAACCUAUGUUCAACAUUGAAGAUGUUGAAGGAGUAGAUUUUCUCCAACCCUUCCUCCACGUGCUAUCUCCAUCCUUGAUUGAACUCUUGAGGUUUUGUGAAACAGCUCGUGCUUGCAAUAUUUCCCUUUCUCGUGAAGUUGUUUUGUUGGAAAACCAUGUCACAGAUCUCAAAGGUAUAAAUCAAAGAUUUAUAGCUCUCUUGGAAUCAAAGGCGACAACUCCACCACCAUCAUCACCGAAGGAAGACAACUAAGCAUUGGUAUGGGCAAUCCCCUUAGCUUCUGUCAAGCUUGGGGAGUUGCCCUGGUAUCGUAUCACCUUUAUAUAUUUUGCUUUUACCUUUGUUUUAGUUCUUUCCUUUUCAGUUUUUAUUUCUUCUCUUAGAGGAAUAAGUCUUUAGUGUUUAGUUUGAGUCUUUUGCUUUUGUCUCUCCCCCGAUGUAUUCGAGCUUACGAGCUAUAUAAUAAAGAGUGUCUUAGUCAAGGGCUUUGCUUUGUGCCAUGAUCAAUAGUAUGAAAAGAACGAUAGCAUGAAAGAUCAUGAGACGAUCUUAUGGAAAGUGAUAACUUCACUUAUGACACGUAUGAUGAUUGAAACUUGUUGAGAGUAAAUCAACAUAGACCUCAGUCAUUGUUGCAAUUAAUAAGAAGUAAUAAGGAAAGAGAGUUUCACAUAUAAAUAUAUCAUCUUAGACACUUUUUACAAUUGUGAGCACUCACCAAACUAUUACAUGCUUAGGAGUAGAUGUUGGACAAGGAAGACAACAUAAUGAAUUGUGUUUGCUUGGUUCCAAACAAUGUUAUAUGAUUAGAGAUCCCCUAGCAUGUGACGAUUGCUUCCACCUCAUAUUAGCCAAAACUCCCGCACCAAGUAGAGAUACUACUUGUGCAUCCAUAAACCUCCAACCUAGUUUUGCCAUGAGAGUCCACCAUACCUACCUACGGAUUGAAUAAGAUCCUUCAAGUAAGUUGUCAUCGGUGCAAGCAAUAAAAAUUGCUCUCUAAUAUGUAUGAUCUAUUAGUGUGUGGAAAAUAAGCUUUGUACGUACCUGUGAUGAGGAAGACAUAAAAGCGACAGACUGCAUAGUAAAGUUUUUAUCACAGGAGGCAAUAUAAAGUGAUGUUCCUCCACACUAAGAGGACACGCAUUCAAACCUCAAAAGCGCAUGACAACCUCUGCUUCCCUCUGCGAAGGGCCUAUCUUGUACCUUUACUUUUGCCCUUGUAAGAGUCAUGGUGAUCUUCACCAAUUCCCUAUUUUGCCUUUGUCUUGGCUACCGUCACAUGCUUGGGAAAGAUCUAUAUUCAUAUAUCAACUUGGAGUUGAGUACUCAUGCUUUAUUAUUGUUGACUUUACCCUUGAGGUAAAUCGUUGGGAGGCAAAACUAUAAGCCCCUAUCUUCCUCUGUGUCCAGCUGAAAUUUGACACCAUGAGUACCACGUGACUUGUAACAAUUGUGGAAAACAAAGAGAUGAUUGAGUAUGUGGAUUUGCCUUACAAGCUCUUAUUUGACUCUUUCCGACGUUGUGAUAAAUUGCAAUUGCUUCAAUGACUAUUGAUUAUUGUUGGUUACUUCUCGGUAAGGUUUUUGCUUCAUGCUUUGCUUUGUGAAGGAAUUGUUACUUUCCCAUAAGAAUCUUUAUGAUGUAUCGCUGUUCUAUAUGUGAUCAUAAUGCCCUCAUGUCCGUAAUAUGUUUUAUCGACACCUUCGUCCCUUAACAUGUGGAUAUGUUUAUGGAACUUGGUUUUCGCUUGAGGACAAGCGAGGUCUAAGCUUGGGGGAGUUGAUACGUCCAUUUUGCAUCAUGCUUUCAUGUUGAUAUUUAUUGCUUUUUGGGCUGUUAUAUUACUUUGUGGUACCAUAUUUAUGCCUUUUCUCUCUUAUUUUGCAAGGUUUAUUUGAAGAGGGAGAAUUCAGGCAGCUGGAAUUCUGAACUGGAAAAGGAGCAAAUCUUAGUCCACUAUUCUGCACAUCUCCAAAUGCCCUGAAAAGUUACGUGGAUUUUUCUUGGAUUAUAUAAAAAAUACUCGGUGAUAGAAGUACCGGAGGGGGGCUGCCAGGGCGCCACAAGCACUGCCACCGCCACCCCCUCGUGGUGGAGUGGGGCUUGUGGGCUCCCCGACGGCCCACUAGCCCCCUCUUUUGCUAUAUGAAGGGUCUUGGUCCAGAAAAAAUCAUUCGGGAGCUUUUUCGUGGUUUUGCCGCCGCCAUGAGGCAGAACUUGAGCAGAUCCAAUCUAGAGCUCCGGCAGGACGAUCCUGCCGGGGAAACUUCCCUCCCGAAGGGGAAAUCAUCGCCAUCGUCAUCACCGACACUCCUCUCAUCAGAGGGGAGGCAUCUUCAUCAACAUCUUCACCAGCACCAUCUCCUCUCCAAUCCCUAGUUCAUCUCUUGUAACCAAUCUUCGUCUCACGACUCCGAUUGGUACUUGUAAGGUUGCUAGUAGUGUUGAUUACUUUUUGUAGUUGAUGCUAGUUGGAUUACUUGGUGGAAGAGUUUAUGUUCAGAUCCUUGAUGCUAUUCAUUACCCCUCUGAUCAUGAUUAUGAUUAUGCUUUGUGAGUAGUUACUUUUGUUCCUGAGGACAUGGGAUAAGUCAUGCUGAUAAUAGUCAUGUGAAUUUGAUAUUCGUUCGGUAUUUUGAUAUGUUGUAUGUUGUCUUUUCCUCUAGUGGUGUUAUGUGAACUUCGACUACAUAACACUUCACCAUACUUGGGCCUAGAGGAAGGCAUUUGGGAGUAGUAAGUAGAUUAUGGGUUGUUGGAGUGAGAGAAGCUUAAAUCCCAGUCUAUGCGUUGCUUCGUGAGGGCUGAUUUGGAUCCACUAGUUUAAUGCUAUGGUUAGACUUUGUCUUAAUUCUUAUUUCGUAGUUGCGGAUGCUUGCGAGAGGGGUUAAUCAUAAGUAGGAUGCUUUUCCAAGUAAGGGCAGUACCCAAGCGCUGGUCCACCCACAUAUCAAACUAUCAAAGUAACGAACGCGAAUCAUAUGAACAUGAUGAAAACUAGCAUGACAGAAAUUCCCGUGUGUCCUCGGGAGCGUUUUUCCUCCUAUAAGACUUUGUUCAGGCUUGUCCCUUGCUACAAAAGGGAUUGGGCCACUUUGCUGCACCGUUGCUACUUUUGUUACUCGUUGCUGGCUACAAAUUAUCUCACCACACAAUCACUUGUUACCGACAAUUUUAGUGCCUGAAGAUUUUACCUUGCUGAAAACCACUUGUCAGAUCCUUCUGCUCCUCGUUGGGUUCGACACUCUUACUUAUCCAAAGGACUACGAUUGAUCCCCUAUACUUGUGGGUCAUCAAUGAUGCGUUAUGGGCUUAUAGAACCGCUUACAAAAACCCUAUGGGUAUGUCUCCAUAUAAAACGGUUUAUGGUAAAGCAUGUCAUUUACCUCUAGAGCUAGAACAUAAAGCUUAUUGGGCAAUUAAAGAGCUUAACUAUGAUUUCAAACUUGCUGGUGAGAAGAGGUUAUUUGACAUUAGCUCGCUUGAUAAAUGGAGAACCCCAAGCCUAUGAGAAUGCUAAGUUGUUUAAAGAAAAGGUUACGAGAUGGCAUGAUAGAAGGAUACAAAAGCGUGAAUUCAAUGUAGGUGAUCAUGUCUUGCUAUACAACUCUCGUUUAAGAUUUUUGCAGGAAAACUUCUCUCUAAAUGGGAAGGGCCUUACAUUAUCAAGGAAGUAUAUCAUUCCGGUGCCAUCAAGAUCAACAACGCUGAAGGCACAAAUUCAAAGGUGGUAAAUCAGGAAAGAGUCAAACAUUAUAUCUGAGGUACUCCCAUAAAUGUUGAAACUAAUAUUAUCAAUACCAUAACUCCGGAGGAGUACAUUAGGGAGACCUAUGAGAAUGUUUCAUACUCCGAAAAGUAAUAGGUAUGUGUUACGGUAAACAAACCGACUCCAAAACUUUUCUAAUGGCAAUUUUGACCAGUUUUAGAAUAUUUAUAAAAUUAGGAAAAUUCUAAGCAGUCCGAAGAGUUCACGAGGAGGCGACAAGCCAUGGGGCAUGGCCUACCCCCCUGGGCGUGCCCUGGAGGCUUGUGGCCACCCCGUGUACCCUCCAGACUCUUUUCUUAUGGAAAUCUCCUUCGGGUUGGUAAAAAAUCAUUAUAUAAUCUCCCAAAGGUUUUGACCUUCGUAUCACGAAAAUAUCUCCUGUUUUCAUUUUGAGUUCUUUCUGCAGCAGAUUUAGAUCAACAUGGCGUCUUCAAGUGCUUUGAAGGACAAGUCCUUCGAGAGGGUCAUCAAGCCCUACCUUGCGGAGGUGCUGCAACACCCUCAAACCAUUGAGAUGAAUGAGGGGGUCCUGCACAUCCGUGAUGUUGAGGGGCCAAAGAAGACCAGAAGCGUGGAAACAAGGCUUGAAGCAAUGGAACAACAAGUCUUCAAGUGCCAAGGGAUGGUGGAACGAGGACUCAAUGCCAAUCACAUGAUGAUCGCGGAUUUUACCCAUAAGCACAAGCUAGACGCCAAGGACAUCUCGGAUCACGUGUUCAAGCUUUACGAGAAAAUCAAGCAUCUCCAAGCCCAGAUCUAUGACCUGCAAAACAAAACUUUGAGUAUGAAUACGGAUUAAAGAGAAUGAGUUUGGCUGAAGAUUUGAGGAUCUCGGAGACUCGCUCAUCUUUUUACAGUGGUGAGUCCAUGCCUUGGAAGACGGAGGACAAGCUUCCAACGUCACCAACAACUCCAACAUCACCACCUCCGAAGAAAGACAACUAAACACAUGAGUAUAGGGCACUCCCCUUGGCUUGUGCCAAGCUUGGGGAGGUGCCCCUAUAUCGUAUCACAAUCACAUCUUUUACUUUCUUCAUUUUUCCUCUUUCGAUCCUUUUGGUUAUAUCUUGAUCUAGUAGAAUAAAGUUUUAGUGAGAUCUAGUUUUGAGUUUUGCUUUAUGUUCCCCCUGUGUAAGAAAGUCCGAGAGUUAUGUAAUAAAGAGUAGUUUUGAGUUGUGAGCUUUGCUUGCUUGUUAUGAUCUUAACAAAUAGAAAUAGAAAUAAGUAUAGAAUAAAAGCAAAGAGUAUAUAUAAUGAUCUUAUGGGGAGUGAUGAGUUCACAUAUAAAAAGUAUGUCGACUGAAAUUUGUUGUGAGUUGACAAACAAAGCUAUUGGUCAUUGUUGCAAUUAAAAUGAAGUAAUAAAGAAAGAGAGCUUCACAUAUAAAUAUAUUAUCUUAGACAUAUUUUAUGAUUUUGAGCACUCAUUAAAAUAUUAUACGUUAACAAGUUUAUAUUGGACAAGGAAGACAACAUAAUGAGUUACGUUUGCAUAUUUCCGAAUAGAAGUUAUAUGGUUAUAGAUCCUUCAACAUGUGUCGCUUGCUUCCACCCCACAUUAGCCAAAAACUACCGCACCAAGUAGAUAUACCACUUGUGCAUCCAAACACUUCCUUGAGAGUCCACCAUACCUACAUAUGGAUUGAGUAAGAUCCUUCAAGUAAGUUGUCAUCGGUGCAAGCAAUAAAAAUUGCUCUCUAAAUAUGUGUGAUCUAUUAGUGUGAGGAAAAUAAACUUUAUACAAAGUUGUGAUAUAUAAGAAAUAAAAGCGACAGACUGCAUAAUAAAGUUCUUUAUCACAAGGGGCAAUAUAAAGUGACGUCCUUUUGCAUUAAGGGAUUGCGCAUCCAACUAGAAAAGCGCAUGCCAACCUCUACUUCUCUCUGCGAAGGGCCUAUCUGUUACCUUUACUUUCUAGUAUUUACCUUUAUGCAAGAGUCAUGGUGAUCUUCCCCAUUUCCUUUAUUUCGCCUUCAUAUUUUGGCAAGCGUCAUGUGUUGGGGAAUGAUCUAGACAAAUAUAUCCACUGGAUGUGGGUGAUCAUGAGUUAUUAUUGUUGACAUUACCCUUGAGGUAAAUAGUUGGGAGGCAAAACUAUGAGCCUCUAUAUUUCUCUGUGUUCGAUUGAAGCUUUGACCUCAUAGGUACAGCGUGAGUGUUAGCAAUUAUGAAAUACUAUAGGAUGAUUGAGUAUGUGGAUUUUCUUUACAAGCUCUUAUAUUGACUCUUUCCUACGUUAUGAUAAAUUGGAAUUGCUUGACUGACUGAGAUCAUAGUUUGUUAGUUCUCGAUAGAGUUCUUGAUUCAAAUUUUACCUUGUGAAUGAAUUGUUACUCUAGCAUAAGAAAUUAUAUGUCAAUAUGUGUUGUUGUUCUAAAGAUAACCAUGAUGCCUUCAUGUCUGUAUUUUAUUUUUAUCGGCUCAUCUAUCUCUGAACAUGUGGGCAUUUUAUCGAUCUUGGUUUUCGCUUGAGGAAAAGCAAGGUCUAAGCUUGGGGAGUUGAUACAUCCAUUAUGCAUCAUGCUUUUAUUUCGAUAGUUAUUGCAUUAUGGUCUAUUAAUACACAUUCUGGUACAAUACCUAUGCCUUUUCUCUCUUAUUUUACAAGGUUUACAUGAAGAGGGAGAAUGCUGGCAGCUGGAAUUCUGGAGUGCAAAAGGAGCAAAUCUGAGAGACCUUUUCUGCACAACUCUAAAAGUCCUGCUAACUUACAAAGAAUUAUUUUGGAAUGUGUAAAAAAUAUUGGGCAAAAGAAAUACAUCAGGGAACCCACUAGGUGGCCACAAGCAAGGGGCGCGGCCUACCCCGGGCAUGCCCUGCAGGCUUGUGGGCCCCCUGGCAGGCCUCCGGUGCCCAUCUUCUGCUAUAUGAAGGAUUUUGACCUAGAGAAAAUCAUAUCAGAACUUUUGGGGUGAAGCACCGUCGUCUCGAGGCAGAACUUCGACAGAACCAAUCUAGAGCUCCGACGGAGCUAUUCUACCGGGGAAACUUCCCUCUCGGAGGGGAAACCUGAAGCCAUCGUCAUCACCAAUGAUCCUCUCAUCGAGAGGGGUCAAUCUCCGUAAACAUCUUCAUCAGCACCAUCUCCUCUCCAAACCCUAGUUCAUCUCUUGUAUCCGAUCUUUGUCUCAAAACCUUAGGUUGGUACAUGUGGGUUGCUAGUAGUGUUGAUUACUCCUUGUACUUGAUGCUAGUUGGUUUACUUGGUGGAAGAUCAUAUGUUCAGAUCCUUAAUGCUUAUUAAAACUCCUCUGAUUAUGAACAUGAAUAUGCUUUGUGAGUAAUUACGUUUGUUUCCGAGGACAUGGGAUAAGUCUUGCUAUAAGUAAUCAUGUGAAUUUGGUACUCAUUCGAUAUUGUGAUGAGAUGUAUGUUGUCUCUCCUCUAGUGGUGUCAUGUGAACGUCGACUACAUGACACUUCACCAUUAUUUGGGCCUAGGGGAAGUCAUUGGGAAGUAAUAAGUAGAUGAUGGGUUGCUAGAUUGACAUAAGCUUAAACCCUAGUUUAUGCGUUGCUUCGUAAGGGGUUGAUUUCGAUCCAUAUGUUUCAUGCUAUGGUUAGAUUUAUCACGCCUAGGGCAAGUCAUUGGGAAGUAAUAAGUAGAUGAUGGGUUGCUAGAUUGACAUAAGCUUAAACCCUAGUUUAUGCGUUGCUUCGUAAGGGGUUGAUUUUGAUCCAUAUGUUUCAUGCUAUGGUUAGAUUUAUCAUACUUCUUCUUUCAUAGUUGCGGAUGCUUGCGAGAGAGGUUAAUCAUAAGUGGGAUGUUUGUCCAAGUAAGGGCAGCACCCAAGCACCGGUCCACCCAUAUACCAAAUUAUCAAAGUAACGAACGCGAAUCAUAUGAGCAUGAUGAAAACUAGCUUGACAGAAAUUCCCAUGUGUCCUCGGGGGCGCUUUGCUUUAUAUAAGAGUUUGUCCAGGCUUAUCCUUUGCUACGAAAGGAUUGGGCCACUUUGCUGCACCAUUUUUACAUUUGUUACUUGCUACCUGUUGCGAAUUACCAUAUCACAAAACUAUCCAUUACCGAUAAUUUCAGUGCUUGCAGAGAAUACCUUACUGAAAACCGCUUGUCAUUUCCUUCUACUCCUCAUUGGGUUCGACAAUCUUACUUAUCGAAAGGACUAUGAUAGAUCCCCUACACUUGUGUAUCAUCAGCAGUGCGAUGGGAUGGCUCAUCGGGAGACAUGCCAGUAGGUGUGCGAAAUGAUGGGAUGCGUGCGAGCAGUCCUCUAUGCAGACUCAUCACGAGACAUGCGAGUAGGUGUAUAAAUUGAUUGGAGGCAUGCGAGAAGACCGUUGUGUAGGCUAACCAGGAGGCGAGUCAUUUAACCGCCUCCCGUCGAGCUCCCAAUCACCCCAUAUUAAUCAUGUAUGUGCUGCUGGUUAUAAAAAGCGGACGGACUUCCCACUCUCUCCACACACCGCCAUCAUCCCCGCCGUCGUUCCUAGUCGUAAAUGCUCUCAGAAGUGUAUCAGAUGGCAACCAAGCGCACCAUUGGAGGGAAUGCUGACGCGGGGUUCGAAGCCGGGGCCAGCAAAGCACAUAAGCAUCUCUUGAUGUUGGGUGACGAGGUUGCACUCUCCGUCGAUGAGGUCUCGGCCGGACAGAAGCGCGACCACAACAUCGCAAGACCCAUCGUGCUACCCGAGCAGGAGACGGUGCUGCACAAAGACUACUAUGACAUGUCUAAUGACCAGCCCAGCGACGAUGACUCCGACGGUGACAACUCGGACGACAACGGAGAACUAGUUAGGUAUGCUAACAAUCUGUCUAGGGUUAUAGUGAUUUAAUGGUUGAUUUCUACAAAUGAUCAUGUUGCUAAUAAUUCGUCUAGGAUUAGUGAUUCUGCUAAUAAUUCAUAGACAGAUUUUAGAAUCGAUAUGAAUGGCCUACAUAGAUGAUUACUCCCUCCAAUCUUAUGUAUUAGGGUCGCUACAAGGAGCGUUGCGACCUAGGUGUAUGAUGGUAGGGCGAGUGAAAAUCUCACGCGGUUUGUUUUAGCCAAUACGCCUGCUUAAAAUCGUGUGUAAUCCUUCACAAUUUGGAUAGUUAUUACUGGGAGAGGAAACAAUAGCCAAUCGCUUGUGUCAAUCACUAUGGGACAUUUGCAUGGCUCUAGCUGUCAAGGUAACUACCCAAUCACACCCGAGAAACUAGCACAUGCAUUGCUAGCACACUAUCAAUAAUGCCAAUUAAUCAAGCCAUUAACUACUAACUAGGCGUAAAUAUGGAGUAGUUGCGGAACAAAUAUAUUUUGGUAGUGAGCCCUAUACACCAGACCAGAGGGAGUGUAGAUGUACCCCUCUAUAAACAAAUAAGUAUAAGAGCAUUUAUAUCACUACUUUAGUGAUAUAGGGUGUAGUACUUCAAACUUACUACUCCUAGUUUGUUUGAUAAUAAUCAGUUCGUGCAUUUAGAAUCAUUAGUUAAUAAAAAUUUGCACUAUAAUUUUUUGUCGUACAUUUUAUGCAUUUCAUUUAUCAAUGUAAUAGGUGCUAUCUAAAACGUUGACAGCGCUAAAUAUUACCAAAAGAGGUACAAGAAACAAAAUCUUGGGAGCUCUAUGCGGGAAAGCAUAAUUGUCAUAUCAGGACCCAAAAUGGGGGCUUCGGAAGCCUGUUCUGCACGCAAAGGCUUAACCCCGCGUUUGCAAGUGUUCUCGAGCAUGCUAAAGGACGAGCCAUUGGCUCCUUCAGAUAAAAUUUUCUUGCAGGGUGGCGCACGCCACGUACGCGGAGUACCUAGAGAAAGUUUACGUUGUUGGUGGGUACUAUCAAGAUUGAGUUAUAUAUACAUGUCGAGCACUACCCUAGCUAUCUAGUUUGUGUGUAUUAUAUGUAUGCUUGAGUAUGUUUAUUAUGUGUUGAUCUAGUUGUUGAUGAGACUUUGUUUUAUAAACUAGUUGUACAUGGAGCAAUGUAUAUGCAAUCUUGUGCUCCAAUCAGUUUGGUUGAUGGAAUAUUAAUAUACUAGCAAUCAUUGGCCCACAACACGCACAUCUACCUAUGAGUGUUGGCAUUUUUCAAACACUGUGCAUAUUACGGUAAAAAUGAUAGACUUAUCGUGAAACUUGUUGACCGCGGUAAAAGAAACCAGGUGUCACACAAAAAUGAAAUUUGGAACUGAUUUACAAACUUGGUUAUUUUCCCAUAUUGAAACCAUGUGCGAUGACUAACAUUGUGUCGCGACACACAUGUCCUCAUUGUCCAGUAUGCAUUCUCGUGGAUCGCAAUUCUGCAAUCGUAGGAUUUACACAUGUCACGAUAGUCAUUAUUGCACGAGAGUGGCACUUUCCGCACACGGUUUUGUAAACACUGUUUUGACAGUACCAUUUUGACUUAAAUAUGCAACGGACAAUUGAUAUCUGCACCUUAACAAUCAACCGACUUGUUUAAUUACCAUUCUCCAUAAUGGCUUGUGUUUACCUUCCCGGUCUCAUUGCAAACAAAUUAUAUUAUGCAACCGACAGCGAUCAUUCACAUCGUCACACCAGUUGCUUAGUGUUGAACGUGUGCGCUGCUUUAAGUCAUUUCAUGCAGUUCAUUUUUGCCAACCGUUUGCCAUUUAACACCCACAAUAAUGUGAGCUUCUUUUGGACGACGCGUUCCCAGCCGAGCUAAGUGGGGAAGCUCUAGACGGUUGCGCGCUGGGACCUGCACAGUUGAGCGGGAACGGGCUCAACAACGAUACAUUGGUGGCACUUGGAGCCACCGCGUGGCCAAACGAACCGCGUGUUUUCGAGUUGGUCAAGCUUGCAUAGCAAUCCUCUACCGAGAACACGGUGAAAAGACAUGCCAGUAACAACUCGUUCGGCCCCAUUUACUCCACCGCUCUUUUAACCUCUUGUUUGUCUUCAACCUUUACCCUCAAUACAAGAAGGACACCCACGACUCCAAAUACAAAGAUGAUAUCCUGCUCGGCUCAAUGAUGGAGCUCCGAGCGGCUUCCGACAAUGAGCGGAAGUUCACCAUUCGUGCCUACGUGGACACCCACAUAAGGUUCAAGGACCUCUCGAUAGUGUACACCAACGACCCGGUCAGGGUGGAGAACUCCAUCCACACAUGGAGUAGUUACUUGUCGGUGACAAGUACAAAGUGGUCGGCUUCGACCUCGAGUACACCAACGGUCGUGUCGGGCAUGAUCAAAAGGUUGCCAUUGCCCAGUUGUGUGUGGGCCAUUAUGUCCUCGUCUACCACUACUGCGUGGCCACAAGGCCUUGCCAGCGUUUCGCCAGGUUUGUCAAUAGCCCCGACUAAUCGGUAUGAUGGAGACCACCAACUAUGAAAAGGUGCUCAAGACCAUGGGCUUCGCCUAUCGAAAUCUUGUGGACAUCCAAUGCUAGUACACAAUCGUGGGUGCUAAUGAGAAGCACAAAGACUCCCUGGUUGACCUCUCCAUGGCCAUCAUCAACCCCUCCUAUAGAGGCAUGAAGGAUGUCUGCAAGAAAUAGAAAGUUGCCUAGCACUCCUGGUUCAAAAGACUAGAUGAAGAUCACGUCAAGUACGUGGCCAAGGACGCGUACGUAAGAUACAAGAUGUGCAGGCGGAUCAUUGACAUGCGAAAGUGCCUCCGUCUUGCGUCGACUGGCACCUGUCAUCACAAGAAGUAUAGAUGAUUUGAUGAUCGUUACUACUAGUUUAGUAUGCAUGUACUUGUUAAUUGAGGUGUGCAAAUGUCAUGUGUAGUGAGUAAUGUAAUUGAAUGUUUAUUUAGGUUAUGUGAUCAUGUUGUUGUUUUGUAGACAAAGUAUAGAUGGUAUGCAGACCGAGCAAUUCACAUCCCUUAUGAUUAAAUAAAGGAACUUGGGUGCGAGCAAAUGUUUGCCCGCAGCACAAACAACUUAUUAUGUAUGUCUUUUUAUCUAUCUUCCCACACAAUUCCGAUUACUAACGUGUUUGUUGGAUAUCACACACAUCUUGUUAGGCUGAACCGUUUGUGCUAUUUUUGUCGUAACAAACAGUUCGUCCGAGUGACCCGUUUACCUAAUAUCACAUACAACUUCAGAUGCCCAUUACUCGUUCCUUUUCACGAAAAUCCAAUGCAUAUCACGAGUACGAGUGACUCUCUUAGAGUGAUAUUUUUAGUUAAUAUAUUCAUAAUGAUGAUUUCUAUACCAACCAUGCCGAUACGACGAUUCUACGUACUAGACUUGCUCUCAGAGGUCAAUUUUGCAGUAUAUUGUCAUAAAGGCACUUUAUUUUGGAUCGGGAUUGCUUGGUAGAAUUUUACCUCACCUCACUAUCAUCAAACUAUCUGAAACACAACAUGCUAAUAAUAAGAACAAAUAUGGGUGUUUCCACCUUUUCUGGUGCGAUACAUUGCGACGGGCCUUUUUGCAGGCGAGAUGGGCAGCGGCACCCAUCCAAGCAAAGGGAGGUGACAACUUUUAGUACACCCCACAUCCAUGGCACAGUGCGCAUUCAUUCAUGGUGGUAAAUGCCACAUAGCAGGCACGAGCAACCAACCCGGCCGGCCGCUUGACCCAGUCGUGUUGCCUUUUAGUUGGAGGCGCUCUCUGCGAGCAAUGCUUCACGGUGGUACUACAUCUCACGGGGAGGGAUGGAGUUGAGAGAGAGAGAUGGGCGCUGGCAGGCCCAGGCGGCAGGUCGCUGAAUGAGCCGGUUACUCACUCGUCGGGCUACACGGGCAGUGACUGUGCCAUGAUAACCCUGUCCCUGGAUGCCCUACAUGUCCUCCCCAGCAGAUGAGGGUGGAGGCAUUAGGCCAAGCACAGCCAUCCUGGGGCCCGCCCGCCCCGCCCAUCACACACACAUGUAUGAUGAUGAUGCCCUCCCUUUGAACAAUGAACACACGGACAAGAAGCAGGGGCAAAUGCACAAGCAAGCACACAUGCGUCUAUCCAUCCAUCCAUCCAUCGCCAGCAUGCAGCGCCGUUGCGUUGCGUUGCGUUGCGUUGCUAGAUACACUCGCGGGAAUUGCUCGAACGCUGACGAUGAGAUGUGAACUCUUCGGACUAGAUUUUGUGUGUGCGUGAGAUUGGCCGAGGAACAUGCCGCGUUUUUGGGCUGCCGGCUGGCCAUUAAUGGCGAGGAUGACACCCCGAGGAAAAUGAGAAUUAGUACAACUUCAUUGUGAGAAUUUUGUAAGAAUUUAAAAUGAGGAUGCAUAUUUGAGCUUGUUUCUGCACAAGGAAAAGAAAGCGCUGGUGCUGCACUGCACUGCAUAUGCAUGCAUGCAUGAUAGACUGUGAAAGCCACAUGGUGGUAUUGAUACCACUAUUCCGAUGGGUGGGAAGGGAUCAUGAUAGCACUGGGCGAGCUUGGUUUAAGCCGGAGCUCCAAAACAACGCAGGCAGAGGAGAGGGCCCACGCCCGUGAGGUGACGCCAGAGGCUCCAUUCCGAGGCACAGUUUGUCAAUGUCACCAUGGCCUUUGUAGCUUUUCCAGACUUUGUGUUGUGUGUUCGGUUGUUGUUGUUGCUGCUGUGCUGUGCUGUGCUGCUGCAUGGCGGAGUCAUGGACCCUGAGGCAGACUACAUGGAGGAGCUCUUGGGGCUCCUGAAGGGUAAAACUAUUCAAUUCACUUCACCCGAGAGAAAAUGGCCUGCCAUGCCCUGCCUGUGUAGCUAAGCCUGUGUGGACGGAGAAGCUGCUUAUUACUGACCUGUGAAGAUAUAGUAGAUGCCCAUCACCAGCAGCCUCAUGAAUUUUUACCAUAUGUGACAACUGCCGUUCGCCCAGGCCCAGCUCUCUCUCUCUCUCUCUCUCUCAGAGCGAAGGAAUAACAAUAAACAAACCAUAACAAGGAACACGCUCCAAGCUCAAAUCUGAACCUGCAACCCUAGGUUUGAACAGCCCUCUUGAGAUCUGAGGGAAUCAGCUUGCCACUUACUGGCUGGACACGGACGAUUAGUUUAACCAGGCCUAAGCAUUGGACACAGCACCAUGCAUCUACAAUGGAGAAGGCGAGUAUAAUAAGGCGAGGCGAGGAGCCAUGUUACCCAUGAGAUUAAGAUAUGAGCAGAGAGAGAGAGAGAGAGAGAGGGGGAGAGAGGACAAAAACUGGUUAAGGGAACCUUUGACCAACUAAAGGCUAAGCUAAGCUCACUGAUUGAUGAUUUGAAGACAAAGCAAGCCCCGGAAAUUAAAGAAAGGUGGCCGUGCUGCGUGAGUGCGCCUUCUUGUAUGUGUGUGCGCGCCACAGUGCCUCCGGCCCCCACCACACACCCACACCCACACCCACAGGCCAUGCGCUACCUCACAUGGAAACAGGAGCUGUGUCAGCCUCUUGACUGCCCAUUGGCUGGUCUUUCGCUGUUCACCUCGGCCUCCCUCCGUCCUCCUGCCUGCCUGCCUCCAGUGUACCCACCCUCUCAGAUUUACAUAGCUCAGGGUACGUAGGGUUUCCACCGUGCAUCUGCAGCAAUGGUACCAUGUUUUGAUCAUCAACUGAUGCAACACACAUUGUAUGUACAAUGCCCCAGCCAACUGCUAAGCAACAACAACACUCGAAGCGAAUUUUUGACGAGGACGCAACCGCAGUCGAGGGAACUUGCACCGAAGAAAAUCCACCAUUUAUAUAUGUACAUACACAGCUCUUACUGGAGCGCUACGACAAAAUAAACAAGGAGAUGAAGAAGAAGAAGAAGAAGAUGAAGAAAGCUGGCAAAGAAAGAGAAGAAAAAGGUGAGCUACUCCUAUAGGUACAUGACGGCUUGGGCUUACGAGAGCUACAAGGGAGGGAAAAUUUCUUCUUAUCGUGUACCAUCACAGGGAGGUUCUAAGCUUGCGUGGGAACCUCAGAAUGGUAUCAUCACAUCAUCAUCAAUCAUCUGAGAGGCUGAUUUCUAC